rnacentral:lncRNA from 1 species
CUGCAAGACCGCAUACAUAAACAUAGUUAACCCGUAGCUACUCGACCUAAAACAGAAAUGCAUAGCAACACUAGACAUAUAUAAGUCAUGAAGUGAAAGGUGUUGCUACAGCCAAAAGAGGAGUCUUCUUACGAAUAGUAAGGCCAGGUCGUUCAGUCAUAUCUAGAUCCUCUUCCUUCCCGUUGGGUAACUCCCAGUCAAACUUGAGCAAAAGAUUGGCCAACACAUUCUCAUUUGUCGCCAUUGCAAAUGCAAUCCCAGGACACCCCCUCCUUCCAGCACCAAAUGGAAUCAAAUCAAAGUCAAGACCUUUGUAAUCAAUUGCACAAUCCAAAAAUCUCUCAGGUUUAAACUCAUCGGGUUCAUCCCACACUUUAGGGUCUCUUGCAAUGGCCCAUGCAUUAAUGAUUACCCUAGUUCCUUUCAUGACAUCGUAGCCCAUGACUUUCGCAUCUUGGCUCGCAACACGAGGAAUUAAGGUUGGGAUUGGAGGAUGAAGCCGAAGAGUUUCUUUAAACACGGCUUUUAAGUACUUCAUGUUGUCGAUAUCAUCAUGGUUUAUCUUUGACUUGCCUUUAAGAACCAUCCUUACUUCAUCCCGAAGUUUCUUGAGAAUCUUUGGAUGUUUUAGAAGUUCUGUAAAUGUCCAUUCUAAUACUGUUGCUGUUGUAUCUGUUCCAGCGGUAUAUGCAUCCUAGAUAAGAUAUAUCAAAGCUUAAUUUGUUACCAUGAAUUAAAAUGUAACUUAGUCAUUCUGUAUAUUUAAUGCUUAUAUUUUAUUAUUUUUUGAAUGAAUAUGAUUACUAACCGAUUUAAGUAUUGGCCAGUACUGGAUAUAUAUAUUUAAAUAUAUAUACUAGUCCUGAAACCGUGAAUCAUGCUACAUGGAGACAUCUUGAUAAAGACGAAAUCCAUGAGAUGCACGAACUAUAAAAUAUACAACAACUAUACGUCUAUAUCCAUCUUAAAUAAAUUAUUUAAGUCGUAUAUAAGGACCAGCUUUGUAUGAUGAAUCUUUUUGUUUUACCACGUGGAUUUGUUCUUUGAAUUGAAUUGAAAAAGUAACGAUUUUAACGAACGGUUAUUUUAACCAUUUAAUUAAUCAUUUAUACCUUAUAGACAAAAUUUCUGGAUCUACUACUAAUUUUAGGGCACGUAUGUUUUUAGAUGAAUGUUUUACUUUUAAAUCGACCCAUCUCCGAUUGCUUAUUGAACGGAGGGCGAUCCACGUCAACUGGAUAUACUUAAUCUUUUUUUUUAUAAAGAACAAAUAUCAUCGAUCAAAAUAUUAAAGUCAAGAUAGAGGAAAGAGAGUUACCAAUAGGAGUGCUUUAAUUGCUAGUCUGUCGAUAGUAACGCCUAUGUUAUCAUCCUUCUGAAUCUUAAGUAGUAUAUCAACGAAGUCUUCACCACCACCACCACCACCAGCUGCCGACCCUUUCUUCAGCCGGUCCUCCACCACACCGUCCAAGAACUCAUCCACCUCUCUCGCCACCCUCUCGACUUUAUCAUUCAGUCCUCUCAAUCGAUCCACCCAUGCAAGUUGAGGAAUAAAAUCCUCCAAAUUAAGACCUCCCAAUAUCUCGAAAAACUCCCUCAGCAUAUUCUUAAACUUUCUCCCGCUUUCUCCCUCGCUAUACUUCCUUCCAAACGUCAACCUACACACGACAUCAUUCGUGAGCGUCACAAACAUAUCACUCAAAUCCACCACCUGGUUACCAGAUUUCUUGAUUUUAUUAACAACAAAGGCGAUCUCUUCAUCCCUCACUUCACUACUAGAUUCCACCCUUUUGUUGCUCAAAAAAUGGAGAACCAUUAUGCUCUUGACUUGCCUCCAGUACUCGCCAUAAGGUGCUACCGAGACUUCUUUCAGGUCGCAGAGCAGUUUCCGCCACAUUUUCACGUCGGGUCUGUUGGCAAAUAUGAGAUCUUGGGUUUUCAUUAUCUCCGAGGCUGCUUUGGCUGAUGAUACCACCAGGGUUGGGAUGCAGCCCAUGUGGAUGAGCAUGAGUGGACCACCGUGGAGUUGGGAUAACGAAUGGAGGGAGCGAUGGAGGAGUGGGCUGAUCUGAUGGAGGUUACCGAUCACCGGUAGUUUUGGUGGUGAAGGUGGUAGGUUUCUCUUGGUUGAAGGUCGAGUAAAGUAGUAGAGUUUGAUGAGAAAGAACACUAGCAUUAUCAAAGUGGAAGCAUACAUUAAAGGAGCCAUUGUUUCGUUUUUGGUGAAACUCAACGUUUUGAGAAAAUGAAGUGGUGUGGCUCAGUGGCUGUCUUCGUCUCUUCUAUGAGUUUAUUUAUAUUUAUAUUUUUAUAUUAAUAAUGAUACAUAAUAACAAAUUUUAUUUAUUUAUAACCAUGUCAAAAGAAGGUUAAAGAUGAAGUAUUAAAUAAAUUACAACCAACGAACAAUUCAUGGUUUGGGAUAGGAAAACCCAAAAAAGAAAAAGGAUUUUAAAAUUUUUUCUAAAAAUUAUUUUAAAUUUCAAUAUAAAUUUAAUAUUAAUGAUAUUCAAUAUUAUUCUAUGUUGAAUCGUAUCAACUAAAUCUUUUUAAUGAUGUAACUUUUUUUUUUCUCUAUAUUUUUUGAUAUAUUUCCCUAUACUAAUAAAAGAGUAGUGUUUUUGUCAUGUGUCACCAUAUUAGACUCUUAAUUAAUGUGUUGCCACUUGUCAAUCUAUUAGUUCUCUAUUUUAAAUUUAUUAGACCUUCUCAUUAAUGUGAUGCUAUUUGUCAAUGUAUUUAUUCUCUAUUUUAAAUUUAAAUUUUAAAAUUUAUAUUAUUGUUUUCAUUAAUUCACAAAUAAAAAAUAUCUAAUAUAUAUUAAAAAUCAAUUUUACAUAUUUAUUUGAAUCAACGGUUAUAAUUUCAUAUAACUAAUAAAAAUAUCUUUUAAAUUAAUAAUUUAUUUAAAAUAACUGAUUAAUAAUUUUAAGUUUUUAUUAUAAAAGUUUGAUUAAUUUUAUAACCGUGGUUCCCACGGGUUAUAAACUAGUUAAACAAAUAAAAGAAAAUGGCUAGGAUAUAAAAUAAAUAAUUGAACUUAAGAGGGUAUAAUAUGUAACAUGAAAGUAAAAGAAAAAACUGCAAACAUGGUCCUUAUCGUUUGUUAUUUUAUGUUGCGUCCGUAUUGUUUCAAAAUUGUAAAUUCUGUCUCUUUGUUAAUUAGUUGUGGAUUUAGUCCUCCAAAACUAAAAUGACUUUUCAUUUUUUUCUUCAAUUAUUUUAUUAUUAUUAAAUAUAAAAAAGGGGCCACACACAAACCCCACCCCUUUUAUCACUGUCUCAACCCUUCUUCUUCCUAAGAAUCGUAAUCCAAUUUUCUCAACAUACUCGAUGCUUGAAGAAGAUUUAAGCCUGGUUUCAAUCAUUCAUGGGCUUUAGAGAUUUAGGUAAUAUGAGUUAUGAACAACGCAAUGUUUUGCAAGUUAUUCAUUGUUACAGGGAAGAUAUGGACUAGUUCAAAAAAUCCGUUUUGUUCUAUUUUUGUCUUUGAUUUAGUGAUAAGAAUUUGUUCUUGGGUUUGACAAUGGAAACGAGAAACAUAUUUUUAUGUCUGAUUUCUAUAUUUAAUUUCAUCUCUGAGUUUUUGUCUGUGUUUGAAUUCAUCCACGAAAAUAUAUUUUUAGGUUUGCUUUGUUGCUAUAAUUACAACGGAAAAUGGUGAUGGUUUUUGGUGUUGUUUUAUCUUGGUGGUGAACAUGUUUAUUACAUGUGGGUGGGGAAAAUAUGAAGAAGAUGAAGUAGGGGUAAGGGUAGGGUGACCGGGAUGGGGAUAAUUCCUUUAUCAAAAUUUAAAAAUUGUUUAAAAAUGACAACAAAAUAUGAAUGAUAAAUUAAAAGGGAAAGAUAGUCUUAAAUAGUUAAAUUUGAUAGGGACCAAAUCUGUAACCACGAUAGAUAAAAAGGACCAAAUCUACCACCAAUCUAGACAAAAGGUUCAAAUCCAUUAUUACCACAUAAAUUGAUAUAUUGAUAUAAAUUGAUUUUGCAAUGAUAUUUAUGAAAGCUUGCAUUCAAUUUGUGUAUGUGUGAUGUGGCCACCUACAUGACACUUUUUGUCAAGAUAAGUUUUUAGGACCUAUUCCAACCACAUAUAUAUAAGGCGUGUAAAAAAUAACAAUAGUUAGAAGGUGAUAGAUUGAUAAUCUGAUAUAAAACGUGUAAAAAAAAACAAAAGUUAGAAUGUGAUAGACAGAUAUGAUAGCUUUUUAACAAUAGAGAAUCUUAAGUUGUCAGGAUUAUAUGAUAAUUACUUAAUUACGAUGUAGCAAAAUAUUAAUUUCUUGAGUCUUAUCUAAAACUAUGCUAUGUAGGAGCCAAGUUAUUGAUGUGAGAUGGGUCCAUAGGGUUUGGUAUUCCAUUUUUUUUAAAAUUUAUCAGUAAUCAUUACACAGAAGGAAUCGCUAAAUUAACACCCUAAGGCCUUGUGGUAUACAUACCACCAAGGCACUCGUGGUCUAUGUGGCAACGAGCACGGAUCGUGCACACCACCCCGACGUUCCGUGGUCGGACGUGGUCGUGGUUCUUCGUGUUCCCGACGACGGAUUCAAACGAGAAAGCUGAUUGAUGUUUGAUUUUUUGGCCGUUGAACCGCUAUUUUGGCCGUUUUUUUUUCAAACACAAUUUACUAAUUAUAAAUAACACUUCUAUUAUAUCAAAAUUUACACCCCGUUCUAUUCUCUAAAAUCACAAAACACAUACACAUGGAUCUCAGAAUACAUAUAGAAUUUUUAAAAAGUUUUGACUCGGAAUGUGGUGCUGAUGUGGAGUGGUGUGUUAGUGGUAGGUAUCUCAUGUUAAUGAUAGUGAAAUGUGGUGCUGAUGUGACACCCACUACAUAUGUGGUAUGUGGUAGGUAUAACGGAUGGUCUAAUUUACUAAAAAAACAGUCUUUACUAAAAAUACACCCCUUUUUAGAACUCAUUAUUAUAUUAAUAAUUAAGUAAUGAUUAAAAAAACACUUUUUAAUAUUUCUACUUUAUCUUUUAGAAUUAUUUAAAUAUAGGAGUAUGUGUUUUUAUAUAAAUUGUUUCCUCUAUUUACUAAUUUUUUUUAACAUCUAAAUAUUUUGUUCAUAAAAAUUAUUUUUUCAAAGGUAACCAUAUGAAUAAUAAGAAGGGAUCCCUAAUAAAAAAAAUACAAAAUAUAAAAUACCAUCAAUUUAUCAUUAUUAUACACCUAAGUUUCUUAUAAAAAAUUCUCAAUAUUUUUAUUUCGGUCUAAUUAAUAAACUAGUGGUUUAGUUUAGCAUUUAUUUAGAUUAUAAUACGUAUUUAUCAUAAGUAAAAAAAGUUGCGCUGCACUUUCAUCAAAUGAAUUAUUAAUAAAAAUUAAUACUGUUGCUAAAAAACUAAUAUUAUAAUAUUAAAAAACUGUUAUCUAAAAUCUUUGUUUUUAUAAAUUUUAUCACAUUUCACAAAAUUUUCAUUUACACGAAUAUGUUUACGUUUUGAAGUUUAUUUAAUAAACAAAAUUAGAAAAAAAUAUUUAUAAAAACUAAUAAAAAUAGAAAAAAAAUAAUCAACAAAAAAGAGCUGAAAUAUAUAAUAGCAACAAAAAUAUGAUAAUAAAGAAAAAAAUAAAUUUGUAAUUAACGUUUAGCUUAAAAAAUAUAAUCAAUAAUUUGUUUCGAUUCACGGAAUACAAAGCUAACAAUAGGUAUUCAAUGGCUAAUAAAAGUUUGACUUUUAAGAAGGAUGUUUAUGGGGGUGUUUAUUUAUUAGCACACUAUAGAAAAACCAUUUAAUUUGGGGGUUGGCUAAAAAGACACUUUAUUUUUUCAUUUAGACAUACUAUUAAAAUUUUAAGGUUUUUUUAUUGGUUAAAUUUGUACUGUUUUUUGAAAAAGUAAAUUAUAAAUAGUUUAUUAUUGAUUGACUUUUAAUAAAAGUAUUCAUAGGGUGUCUAAGAGAUGUCAAUUUAGCAACACCCUUGAUAGCUUAUUUUAUUUCCUUAUUUUUACUAGUUUAUUUUAGAUUUUUAGCUAUUUUUAAUUAGUAUUGCAUUGUAUUUUAUUUAUUUUCUUUAUUAUGGAUCGUUUCGGGGACUUUUAUUUUGCAUGAGGAAUUUUACAGGGUUUUGGAGCUCAUUGCGGUUGCGCUUUGACUGGAGUUGGGCUUAGUGGGCUUUAUGAUGCAUUAUUGGGCUUGGCGGAUCCACCAAAGAAGAUUUGGGCUUAAAAUGCUAAAGGCUUGGAUGAAGUGGGCUUGUCAAGAUGGAUAUUGGACUUUUAUUUUGAGCUUGGAGCAUCCAUAUUUGAAGCUAAAUGAUGAUUGGUUGAUUUAAAUCACAUGGAUAUGGAGGGGACCAAAGGAAUCUUUGGUAGUGGAAGGGUGAAGUGGAGGAAUGAGGAGCCAAUAGCAUUAUAGCAAACACUUGUGCAGGUGGAAUUUUCGUUGCACGGGUACCCGCGAGACUGCCUAGUUUGGGCAUUUUGGUCAUUUGACACACCAUAACCUGGGGGGAUCAGAUCUAUCAACCACAUUGUAACAGCCCGAAAUCUCAGGUAUUAUUAAAUUAUGUNNNNNNNNNNNNNNNNNNNNNNNNNNNNNNNNNNNNNNNNNNNNNNNNNNNNNNNNNNNNNNNNNNNNNNNNNNNNNNNNNNNNNNNNNNNNNNNNNNNNUAGGGGGUAACUGAACUCAAACCGAGGAUUUGAGGAAGCUUUUCACUUGAAUGAGCUUGGCACUUGAAUGAGCUAAUGUUAGUUUAUUUCUUUGGUUUUGUAUUGAAUCAUUGAAUUGACAUAGAACAAGAGCUUUAUGAUGGUAAAAAUCAUCUAUAGUUUAUGAAUCAUAGCUCCUUUAUGGAUGUGUAAGCAUUGACAUCCUCUUGGAAUUGGGGAUUCCUUCUUUCUUAAGGCUAAUCAACUUCUUGGGUUCAAUUGCUUUAAUUAAACCCUUGAUAUUGAUUAAGAAGGUGUGUUGUGGGCUUCCCUAACCUCCAUACUACCUAAGAGGAAUCUUGGCAUAUCAUCUUUCAUGAUUGCUAUAACCAAUUUGGGAUGAAUGAUAAGCUUCAUGUUGAAUCCUAAUGAUAAACACACAAAUGUUCAUUGUGUUGAAUUGCCUUAGUUAAUCAACUCUCUCCAAUAUUUGAGCAUCUCACUAUCUUGCUUAAUUGCAAGUUUUUAGUUAUUCAAGUCUUUUAGUUUUCAAGUAAUCAAUCACCCCCCCCCCCUUCCUUUUAGUUUAAUUGUAGUUAGUUAGUUUAUUUACAAUAGUUCUUUUGGAUUGCAUUGGUGAUUGAAUACAACCAUUUCCUCGAGGAUCGAUACCCCUUUUUACCAUUAUACUACAAAUGGUGUAAUUUGCUUGGUGGACUUGACAUCCCACUAACCCUUUAAUUUGUAUACUACUAGGAAAAGGCUAAUAUAUUCUUAAUCGUUCAAAAAACAAAAGGAAAAAGCUAAUAUAUAAUACGGGGAUGAAAAAGUGAAUACGAUGGCUAAUUUUCUAUCAAUCAUGACUAAUUUUACUAGGUAUGGCUAAUUUAUUAGCCUGAAAUCUAAUACGCCUUAAAAUAGAUCAAAUACAGGCAUACGGCUCAUUUUAUUAACCAACGAGAGGUUUUUUAUUAGCUGAAAAUCCAUUAAGUACAAAUAUUUUAAAUCAAGUAUGACAACUUAAAAUCGACACACUCUUUUACAUUUACGGGCUAAACCAAACAUAGAAAAACUACCCUCUUACACAUAUUUCAUACGUUUCCCAUCGGCUUUAUUAUAUGAAUGUAAAAUCACUAAUUAGUUAUUGGCUAAAUCAAUUUCUAAUAGAUAACUUGUUUUUUAAAUGGACUCGGUUGCAAAUAUUCUGCCAAAUAUCUCAUAAGAAGUAUGGUAAUGUAUAUUAAUUUUGUCAGUUUCACCAUAACUCGUUUGUAUUUAUUUUGGUCAACAAUUGAUAAAUUAAUUUUGUAAUCAAAUUAGUAAGCAUGUUGUAAUAUUUUUAUGAAAUAAAUUUUAUUGAACAUUUAAGAUUCUGAAAAUGCUUUAGAACUUGACUUGGCCCAAGAACUUUGGAUCAGUGAUUAAUUAUGACUCCAUGGUGUGAAGAUUUCGAAUAAUAAAAUGUUUAAAAUCCAAGAUAUGUGAUUGGAAAAAGUUAGUGUUUUAGUUGUUUAACAAUGAAGAAAUGUUUGAAAGUGUUUAAAGAUGCUCAAAACGUAUAUACCUUGAUACUGUGAUUCAAGAUGAAUAUUGUGUGCCCAAUAUAUGUGUUGCUGUAAAUAAGAUUGGGAAAAGUAUGUUGAUGCAAAUAUAAAAAAAUAACUUAUUUGAAUGCUUAAAUGAAUAAAACAAUCAAAUAAUAAAUUGAAAUAAACGCAAAGACAAAUAGAUGUACGAUGAAAACACUUAAUUUUUUUUAGGAUUUCUGACAUAAAACAUCGGGAGGUGACAAUGUCACAUACUCACACUACCUCAGAACUUAACUUAAGUAGAAAUCAAGUUACAUGUGCUAGUUAAUCGUCUAGUAAGUGUUCUUAUGCUCAAGUAUGUUCAGAAAGAAAGUGAGAGUGAAAAUGAAUACAUAAGUGAGUGAUAAACAACUAGUCUUUCUAUACAAUGUAGAUAUAACACGCUAUCCUAAAAACUCGGACGCUCCUUGAUUCUUUCAUGAACCAAUUUUUAGGAGAGACUUCAACGUUUAUUCUGGUUUGACCACGUGCCCUUUGACUUGGUUUAUAUUCUUUUGGAGUUUUUAGUCAUUCAUUAAGAAAGACAAUAGGCACGAUGGCAGUCCCAAGAUGUGUUUGGUUUUAUAUGUAUGUAUACACUAAGAUUAGAGAACGAAAUCAAUUAAUAAUAACCCUAACUGUACAUGCACCUUAGAUCUAAGUUUUACUAUUAUAACAACCUACUUUCAAAACUAAAAUAUUAAUGCUACAAGAAGGAUAAAAUUACUAACCUUUAAGCAAAAUUAGAUUUUCUUCUAGAACAUUUGUAGAUCUUGAAUUCUGUGAUGCUCUUUGGCAGGGCUAGCACCCAAAGUAUAAUGCCUUUAAAGUAUCACACCCAAAAGUCUAAACACUAGAAAUCAAAGAGAUAUGAGAGAAGAGAUAACAAAACUUGAAUCAUGAGAAUUCUAAGAGAAAGAAAUGAAAAUUAUGAAGGUUCAAAGGGUUUAUUUAUAGCUGAACAAACUUGCAGAGAAAGUAGAUUUGAAUUAACUAAAUAAUUAGACUAAAUCCUAACUCAAAUCCAUGCCUUAUCAGUACCUAUGAAAAAUUUCUAGAAGAAAGAAAAAUUAAUGAUUCAUAUAAAUCACUUACUGGGAAAUGGCCCGAAUAAAUCCAACGAGUGAUUAAUAAUCCUGUUAGACAUAAAAAAGUAACUAUCAUCCCCUUUUUUGACGAAUCAUAUGGUUUUAUGAUUUCAUUGCCCAAUAAGAUUAUCAAAUGAAUUAUAAUUAUAAUUGAAACGAUCGGAAAGAAAAUAUGAGUGAAUAUAUGCUCUAAAGUUGAAAAUAUCAUAAAAAUGAGAAAAAAGGGAGGGAAUCCCCUAAAUUAAUAUUAAUUAAGAAUUAGAAAUCGGGAAUUUAAUUUAUUUUUAUUAUAGGAUCUAUUGGAUAUCUUUUAGAAUAUGUCAUGCCGCCACUCGGACUCGAACCGAGAUGUUCUAGCACUGCUUCCUAAGAGUAGCGUGUCUACCGAUUUCACCAUAGCGGCUUACUCGAGCUAAUAGUAGCCUAUUUAUUUCUAACCCUUCUUAAAACCAUCCAUCCCAUAAGGGGUUCUAGAAUAUUUUAGUUGUUGAACUAUUGAACAAUUAAUAUUUAGUCCAUAUACCUUUAAAUAAUUCCUGAUUAAUCUUAUUAAUUUAAACAAGAUUUUAAUUAAUUUAUCAAGCUAUGAUAAAUUAAUAAACUAUUUAUCUCACUCUGUUAAAUCCUUUUCUAGCUAUUUUAGCUCUUGAGGGUAACCCUAAAGGGACUUUGUUAUUAUUCCCAAAGUUGCACCAAUUAGUUAUAACAAUGGACACCUAUUUCCAACAGUCUCUUACUUGGAAAAUUCAUCAAAUAGUAUUGGUCGAAUAAUCUUUGAAUAACCAACAAAGCGUGCCUUUCCAACAUCAAUUUAGUCCAAAAUUGGCCAGGCCAAUAAGACAUCAAUACGAAAUCAUUGAGUGGCCCAAGGACAUCAUUUCUCUUGUUUAGGCAGAACAAACAUAUAAACUUUGACUACAUAGUUUUUGUCUGCUUGUCAAAUCAUGCAUGGACUUACUCAUUAUAACCACCGAUUACAGACAUCAUUAGACCAAGACCAAUGCACAACCAACUUCUAUGCAAAGAACUCAAUGUCUCUUUGUUUAAAGAAUAAAAUAUAUUAUCAUCUCAGAAUAACCUACGAGAGAAUCCAUGAAGUAAUUUCUCUGAGUACGGGUUGUUCCAAUACUUAAAUUGUAACACUCUAAAAAUUCAAGCCAAUUUAAACUUUUCAAAAACAACCCAUUUUCGUUAAGUCGUUACAAAAAGAUUUUCAAUACAAUUAUUAUUAGAGUCUUCCCAGAACCAUAUCGUAAAACAUAAACAUGAGGAGCAGUAUGAUCACGCCUUCACCUUGCCACGGUCUCCUGAAGUACCUGAAAAACAUUAACCACAACUAUAAGCCCGAAAGCUUAGUGAGAUACCCCCAAAAUACCAACCACAUAUACCACACAUAACAUAUCAUAACCGAACAGAACAACCAUGCACUUUGGGUUUACUGUGUGACUGGUCCGCCCUACCGGGCCUUUAAUCCACCUGGUCCACUCUUCGAGUCUAGCCACAUCCAUCGAGUCUACAGCGUGGUUGUUCCGCCCGCAUCGGGCCUUCAACCCACCUGGUCCACUCUCUGAGUCUACAGUAUGACUGGUCCGCCCGCACCGGACCUUCAGUCGGCCUGGUCCACUCUCCAAGCCUCGGCACGUCUGGUCCGCCCUCGCGGGGCUUACAGCCUAUCCGGACCGCUCGCUGGGCCUUCGGGAUAACCGGUCCGCCCUAGGUAUGUUGGCCUACAACACAAAGCCGGACCCGCCUCAACCCAACCCCAAUCCAACAACCAUGUGCACAUAAACAUACAAUCAUAUAACAAUUCAUAUCCAAUCAAACCGAUCUAGCAUAUCACAUAACAUGACAUACUCUAAACAGGAUACCGACCUAACCGGUCACUAGCAUAGCAUCAUCCUAUAUACCAGGAUACCGACCUUAACCAGGUCUCCAACAUAUACCAUCCUAUAUACCAGGAUACCGACCUUAACCAGGUCUCUAUCAUAUACCAGCCUAACUACCAGGAUGCAAACAUAGCAAAGCAACAAUCAUAACAACGAUACCUGGAUUACAAUCCGAUAAAGGGCCGGCCUUGGUGCCUUAGACCCUGUUGAUAUAGUGAGGAUAACUCACCUCGCAACUGCUGACUGAAAAGAUAAGAUCACAUGGCUCCAACCUCUGACAUGAACUCCACCACUGACAAUAUCAAAAGACCGAACUCAAUAAAUACCAAUAAUUACCAAAUUAUCCUUGGAAGUCAACUCUUGGUCAAAGUCAAAGUCCUCAGUCAAAGUCAAACUUCCUGACUGACCCUACUCACCAAGUCAGCUCACUGACUCGUCUAGUCCCUCAACUCUGAAAACUCCCAUAUCGCGACCCAACUCGCCGAGUCGCCCCAAGAUUCGCCGAGUCCCACGAACUCUGAGUCACUUCCUGCUCAACUCACCGAGUCGUCCCUUGAUUCACCGAAUCACAGCUCAACCAGGAAAGGUUAGGACCUCACGAACAGACUCACCGAGUCCAAGAACAGACUCGCCGAGUCCAAGGCUAUCUUCAACCAACUCGCCGAGUUGUUCUUCCACUCGUCGAGUUUCAACCUAUCUUCAUACAACUCGCCGAGUCCACCCAUGUGACUCGCCGAGUACCACUAGCUCUUAACCCAUACAGAGGCUUUCCAAGCUAUGCAGGGUCUCAAAUCCAUAGAUCUACUCUUCUAAAGUGGCAAUCCAUCACGUAAAGUGGCAAACUUUACGUGAAUCCAAAGAGAUCUAAGAAUAAUAUACUCUAGGGCUAGGGUUUGGGACAAAAGAACCUCACCAACAACUCUUGAGCAUAGACUUUAUGGCUUUCUGGAUUAUUAACAACCUAGAUCUGAGGUAGCAACCUCAGAUCUUACACCAAACUUGAGAUAUACCUCAUUUAUGCCCCCAAAACCCCAUAAAUGAUAGAUCUAGAUGCACAAAAGCUCAAACAACAGAUUAUUACCUCAAAUGAAAGCUCCAACUGAUGAAUAAGCUAAAUCUCUGCAAAGCCCCUUGCUCCAACCUUGUUGCUCUUCGAUUUCUCCCCAAGAUUCCAUCCACAAAGGCUCUAAUCUCUCACAAGGAAAGCUCACACGAAUCUAGGGCUUCUGGAACUCAAGGGGAAGGUAAAGAGGCUGGAGAGAGGAUAUCAUGUUCUUUAUAUAGGGCUCGACCCCCGAAAUUAGGGUUUUCUCCACACAGCACCAACUAGCCGAGUCCACCCAUGUGACUCGCCGAGUUGGUCACUUAACAUGUGACCCGAACGCGACUCGACUCGCCGAGUCUAUCCAUCGACUCGCCAAGUCGACCUUCUUAUUUUCACCUUUAGCCCUUCCACUUUACUUAUGAAUUUCCGGGAUGUUAUAAUUCUCCCCCACUUAAAUUAGGCUUCGUCCUCGAUGCCUGUGGCAACACAACUCCAGAAACUACUCUCGCAAUACACCACCUAGCAUUAACCAAACCAGGUUCCUCAAAACACUACCACCGAAACCCAAAACCUAACUCUUCCCCUGCGGUGUCCUGACCACCGCCACAAGCUGGCCACCGGCUUCAUCCUCUGAUAACCACACUUAUCAACCGAGUACCACUUCAUGGUAAUUUUCUCGUUCCAGAUCACAAAAAUCACUUGACUCUUACGAGCUAGAUGUAACCUUGAACCACCGGGAUCCCGACCCGGUACCGCACUGCUAUCAUUUUCCUCGUCAGAAAUAUCCUUCACCGAAUUAACUGCUAAGACAUAACCUACUCCCUUUUUUAGUCCAACUCUAUCCCUUCCAUGCUGACAGUGUAACGCCCGUGUUUCCGGACUUGCCAUUUCUAGCAAUGUAAUAGUCUAGGUUAACCUUUGUAACCCCAAUUUGAAAUAAUAAGAACGUAUUAUUUGAGUAUUAUGUGUUUUGUGCUUAAUUGCUUAAUUAAGUGAUGUGAUUAGUUAAGAAUAAAAUAAGCGUCAAAAUUUAAGUGUAAAAUAAACUUGAUAUCAUUGGAUAAUGUUGUAGUAGUUGAAACGAGGUUUCCGAACAUAUAUAGAACGCCCAAAUCUGACUUCGUAUGAGGAAGUUAUGAUUUUCUGAAGUUUCAACUGGGCAGUAUGCAACCCGAAUACUCGAUUUGAGAUCGAGCGGUUUUUUAGCCGAAACGAUCUAAACGAGAAUCGAAGAUCUCGUUGUUAGUAGCGAAACGAUGAAAAGUUAGGCGAGAACGAACGUCGGACGAAGAAGUUAUGAAUUUAUAACGAAGUUUUUCUGUCCCGGCCUACUAAAAAUAAAUAAGACAAAAUUGCAAAAAUGGUCCCUGUGGUUUGCAAUUUUUCAGGAAAAAAGUCCAAACCACGAGUUUUUUGGUUUUGUGGUCCUUUUGGACUGGUUUGUUUGUGAGAAUGGUCCCUAUACUUAACACCCGUUAAAAAAAAUCCGUUAACCCCCUCAUGUGCCUUGCACGUGAGGGUAUUUUUGUCCUUUUACUUAUAGGGACCAUUUUUGCAUAUGGAAAAAUAAAACAUCCUUUAUAUAUCGUUUUCUUUUCCCAGCUUCUUCCCCAACGUUCUUAACUGUUCUUCCCCAACGACUAUUCUCUUCCAUUUCUCCUUUCUUGACUUGCAAUCGAACAAUGGUGGUUUGUUUUUGUGGAAAGCUUGCUUUGGUGAAAACGUCUUGGACACCACUGAAUCCCGGCAGGAGGUUUUAUGCUUGCCCUACUAAGGAUUCUGUUUGUGGGUUUAUCGGGUGGGUUGACCCACCUAUGUGUGCUAGGAGUAAAACCAUCAUACCUGGUCUUCUAAGAAACAUAAAUACAUUGGAGGAAAGAUGUAAUGGGCUGGUAAGAAGUAUCAACAUGUUACAGGAACAGUGCAAUGGACUUUUGAGCAGGAACAACAUGUUGGAGGCAAGGUGUGAUGCAUUGAAGGAUGAAGGUUUCAAGCUGAAGAUGUAUUUAUGUGCAAGUUGGUUUAUGUUUGUGAUUGUUAUCUUUAGUACUUGGUCUAUGUAAGGGAUAGGGUUAGGCAAAUGUGGGGAUUUUUGUUGAUCAAGUGAUGCAGGGUAAAAAUGGUAUAAUUUUGUUGUAAUUUGACUUCAUCAUGUUUGUAAUGAAUUCCAAAAUGUGUAUCAGUUGUGUUCAAAAUGUGUAUCAGUUGUCAGAUAUAAGCACAUAAAUAGAACCAAAAUGUAACAAAAGUACAUUACCAAAAUACAUGUCAUAAAUUUACCAAAAUGAACAUUCCAUUAACCACAUGAGUGGAACCAAAAACCAUUACCAAGUUAAGCAUACAAGUGUCUGUGCACCAUACAUAACCACAUCAUCAAACCAUAACUAAAGUUUUCAAAAACAAACAGUUUUUAACAACAAGAAACUAAAUAGUCAUUGCACCACAACAAAUAACCAUAAUCACUUCUUAGAUUGAUUCCCUCCUUGCCCUUUACAGGUCCUAGAGUUGUGUCCUUUAUUCUUGCAUUUGCUACAAGUAACACUAAUAUGUUUCCUUGAUAGCUUCUGCACUCCAUCAUUUCUUGGCCCUUGGGAAUUUUCUCCUUGCAUCUCAUUGACUCCAUCACCUUCACUUGCCUUCUGCCUUUUGCUUAACCUUUCACCCUCACUUUGUCUUCUUUUUUUCUUAGGCCUUCCCACCUGAGUGUGAUGUGGAGGAGGGAUUAGCUUUGUUGGACAAUUACUUUUAGGCCACAUGGGUCUCCCUUUAAUUGGUUCCACCUUAAAUGAAUAAGCUUUUUGCCAUGUCUCUAGCCAAUACACCUUGUGUACCCACUUGUAAAUGUCAAGCUCAGCCUCAGGGUCUUUGCUCAUUUCAUUCAGAGUUGCAAUUGCAUGCCUGCAAGGUAUUCCCAUUAAUUCCCACUUUCUGCAAGUACAGGUUUGGUUCCUAACAUCCACCACAUGUUGAUCUUGCAAUGCUGCAGUGACUUGAUACUUGUUUGCCCCAUUCCACCUAGCAAUAUAUUGUGAAGCACCUUUUUUCCUUGCAUCUAGGAUGUCUGUUGCUGUAGGUGUUAGUGGACCUUUAGCCUUCUUCAUUGCCUUCAUGACAUUGCAUAUCCUCUUCAUUAGAUACUCCCUAAUGAACUCUAAACAUGAAAUUACAGGUUUGUCCCUGCCUUUCUCUAUCUUCCCAUUAAACACUUCACACAUGUUUGAAAUCAACACAUCAGAAACAGCUCUUCCUGCACAUUACAAUAACAUACAAUUAAUGCUGAUAAAUAACUGAAACACAUAAUCUUUACCAUAUGCAAACAUAUACAAUUACCUGAGAAAUGACUCCUUGCCCAAUGUACAGGAGGAAUUUGCUUCAACCAUUGACAUGCCUCCUUAUCAUACUCACUAAACUCUUUCAUCAAAUGUUCAAACUCAGGAAUGGUGGUUGCUGAUGCACACCUCCAUAAAUGGUCCCUGUACUCAGUUUGCCCCCACUUCUUUCUCAUAUUGUCAUGAAUAUGUCUAAUACAAUACCUAUGCUCAGCAUUGGGAAACAAUUGAUCAACUGCAAUUUGUAAUCCCUACAUGACUCAACAUACAAUAAUUAGAAUUAAUUUCUUGGUAAAAAAACACAAUCUAAAUGAUCAAUUGAUGAGUUUUAAUUUACCUUUUGCCUGUCACUUAUGAAAGUAUAGUUUGAGUUGCUCCCAAGCUCCAAGUCAUCCCCAAGGUUUUCUAAAAACCACUUCCAGCUAGCUGUGUUUUCAGACUCAACAAUUGCAUAGGCUAAGGGAUAAAUUCCAUUGUUGGAAUCUAGACCAACUGCUGUAAGAACCUGACCAGGGAAUGGGCCUUUCAUGAAGGCACCAUCCAAACCUACUAAGUCUCUAAGACAUGCUUUGAAACCUUUUUUCAGUGGACCCAAGCAUACAUAAAUCCUUCUAAACUGCCUUGUUGGGGAUGCAGGGUUGCCAUUAGGACACACAUCUAUUUUGACUGUUGUGUCUGGGUUUGUAGCUUGAAGUUCAAGAGCAUAGUCCCUCAACAACUCAAACUGUUUUGUGUAGUCCCCAGUUACAUGCUUUCUUGCCAUAUCUUUUGCCCUAAACACCUUAUCCAUUGAAAUACCCACCUGGUAGGUCUUUUGAAAGUGAUCUUGUAUGGCUCUCAAAGGAAUCUUCGGAUCUGCCUCAACUUGAUCUAUGAUUUUCUUGCAGAUUAAAGAAGCAGUACAAGCUCUGAGUUUUCUUGUUUGUAAGCAUGUAUGAGUUUGGUUUAAGGUCCUUAUAAACCAAUCAGAUUCGGGGUUUGACCUAGAUGCAUGUAUAUACCAACCACAUGUUUCUUUUUGUGUCUUUACUUCUUUGCCCUUGCUUUUUGAAGUGGUAGGUUUAGUCCCCACUUGACCUUUAUUGAUGACAGGUACAACUCCUCUGCACUGUGCCCUAAGCCUUUGACUGUCAUUUUUUUUAAAGAAUAGAUUCCUUCUUGUUUCUAGUGCGUGCACAUCAAUUAACUCCUUUAAUUCUUUUUUACUUUUAAACUUUUGCCCCACUGAGAAUGACUGUAUAUGUACUGACCCAAGGCUGCACCUUUUUUCUUUUCCCAAAUUUCUUAUGAGAGCUCUUCUUUCUCUGUCUUGGUCUGAUCCUUCAUCCAAUGAUUCGAACUCCUCAUUGUUGAUCACUUCCAUAUCUUCAGGUUCAUGACCAUCAUUAAUACAUGCUCCUUCAACAUCACUUUCAACAUUUAGAAAGAAGUCUGCCAUGUCCACAUCAACAUCUUCUAUAUUGUUCUCCUCAUCCAUUAUGUCAUCCACUUUAUCUUCAUUUUCUGAUUGUUUCCCAUCAUGAUCAUCACCUUCAUCCUUUUCAUACUCUUCAUCACUCUCUUCAGAUUCAACAUCCCCUUCAUACUCUUCAACAUACUCAUCACUUCCAUUUAAAUUUUCCAUAAGGUUGUCAAAAAGUUCAUUAUAUUGUUCAUCAUCAUUAAUGGGUGGGGUGUUGUAGCAUCCAUCAAUAUGGUCAUUAUCAUGAACCCCAAUCAUCUCAUCCCCUACAUUAGCAAUAUUUGAAGUAAAUGGAUUGUAGCAUCCUUCAACAACAGUUGCAGCCUCAUGAACCUCCUUAACACCCUCAUUAGUGUUUUCCUUCUCUUUUAAAUCAUCGAUAUCCUCUAAAUUAAGCCUCUUGCUACAAGAACCUUCCUCUCUUUUUGAAUUCCCAACUCUACCCCUUCUAUACUCUGGAGAGAAUGCAUCAGUUUUACUCCCAAAAAGAAUCAAAGACAUGUACUCACCAAUUGGUUCAUCAUUGACAUGGUUCAUAUUUCUCAAUGGAGAUUCUACAUGAACUUCAGCCUCAUAUUUAGCCCCUUGAUCAUCAUUUUCUGGUAAUUCCUCAAUGACAACUUUACCCUUUGCAUUUGGAGACAUGAAGUAUGUGAGUAGAUUUGUCUUCCCAUGUUCUGUGUACACUUCAAUCAACUUGUUAUUUUGAAUAAAUUUAGAAAGAUUGAUAACAUCCUGAUCAUUCCCUAAAGCUCUAAGACCAAAUUGAAAGUCACCAUUGGGUAUCCUGAAAUGGUAGUAUAUCACUGGGGAUUCAACACUCAAUUCAAUCAUCCGUGGGUCUGGGUAACCUAGGUCAAGCAUUAUGGCAUCAAGUUCAUGUACAGAAAACUCAUCUAUGUCCACAUAAUCAACAUAACGCACUUCACCUCCAGUAUACUUUAUGUCAGGUAACUUAGUAAACUUCCCACCAUGAUGAAGCUUAAUACUAAACCAUGUGGGUGCACCCGCUACAAGUCAAAAUUGUACAUGAUAACAAAGUCAAAAUUUGGCGGAUUUUAGUAUAAAUCAAGGGUAAAAUGAAAAAUAGGAAUGUUUAAGAAAACAGAGCAACUUACCAUAUAAGGAUGAUACGUCGACAACUUCAUUUUUUGGUCUGAUCUGCCACAUUACGUACACCAUUUCGACUUUANNNNNNNNNNNNNNNNNNNNNNNNNNNNNNNNNNNNNNNNNNNNNNNNNNNNNNNNNNNNNNNNNNNNNNNNNNNNNNNNNNNNNNNNNNNNNNNNNNNNNNNNNNNNNNNNNNNNNNNNNNNNNNNNNNNNNNNNNNNNNNNNNNNNNNNNNNNNNNNNNNNNNNNNNNNNNNNNNNNNNNNNNNNNNNNNNNNNNNNNNNNNNNNNNNNNNNNNNNNNNNNNNNNNNNNNNNNNNNNNNNNNNNNNNNNNNNNNNNNNNNNNNNNNNNNNNNNNNNNNNNNNNNNNNNNNNNNNNNNNNNNNNNNNNNNNNNNNNNNNNNNNNNNNNNNNNNNNNNNNNNNNNNNNNNNNNNNNNNNNNNNNNNNNNNNNNNNNNNNNNNNNNNNNNNNNNNNNNNNNNNNNNNNNNNNNNNNNNNNNNNNNNNNNNNNNNNNNNNNNNNNNNNNNNNNNNNNNNNNNNNNNNNNNNNNNNNNNNNNNNNNNNNNNNNNNNNNNNNNNNNNNNNNNNNNNNNNNNNNNNNNNNNNNNNNNNNNNNNNNNNNNNNNNNNNNNNNNNNNNNNNNNNNNNNNNNNNNNNNNNNNNNNNNNNNNNNNNNNNNNNNNNNNNNNNNNNNNNNNNNNNNNNNNNNNNNNNNNNNNNNNNNNNNNNNNNNNNNNNNNNNNNNNNNNNNNNNNNNNNNNNNNNNNNNNNNNNNNNNNNNNNNNNNNNNNNNNNNNNNNNNNNNNNNNNNNNNNNNNNNNNNNNNNNNNNNNNNNNNNNNNNNNNNNNNNNNNNNNNNNNNNNNNNNNNNNNNNNNNNNNNNNNNNNNNNNNNNNNNNNNNNNNNNNNNNNNNNNNNNNNNNNNNNNNNNNNNNNNNNNNNNNNNNNNNNNNNNNNNNNNNNNNNNNNNNNNNNNNNNNNNNNNNNNNNNNNNNNNNNNNNNNNNNNNNNNNNNNNNNNNNNNNNNNNNNNNNNNNNNNNNNNNNNNNNNNNNNNNNNNNNNNNNNNNNNNNNNNNNNNNNNNNNNNNNNNNNNNNNNNNNNNNNNNNNNNNNNNNNNNNNNNNNNNNNNNNNNNNNNNNNNNNNNNNNNNNNNNNNNNNNNNNNNNNNNNNNNNNNNNNNNNNNNNNNNNNNNNNNNNNNNNNNNNNNNNNNNNNNNNNNNNNNNNNNNNNNNNNNNNNNNNNNNNNNNNNNNNNNNNNNNNNNNNNNNNNNNNNNNNNNNNNNNNNNNNNNNNNNNNNNNNNNNNNNNNNNNNNNNNNNNNNNNNNNNNNNNNNNNNNNNNNNNNNNNNNNNNNNNNNNNNNNNNNNNNNNNNNNNNNNNNNNNNNNNNNNNNNNNNNNNNNNNNNNNNNNNNNNNNNNNNNNNNNNNNNNNNNNNNNNNNNNNNNNNNNNNNNNNNNNNNNNNNNNNNNNNNNNNNNNNNNNNUUAUUUUUAGGAACGUAAGGUGAGGAUAACGGGAAUGGGUAAUCGGGUUUAUUGUUGAUUGAUGAAAUUAAAUAUAAUUAUUGUGGGUUUGAAAACCCUAUAUGCUCACCAGGCUCCCAAGCCUGACCCACUCAGUUUAUUUGUAUUACAGGAAGUGGCGCAAGAGCUUAAGAUGGGCGAAUCAUCAAGUUGUUUUGUUUACAAGUCUGUAUAUGUAUAUAUUUGUUGAAUGACUUGUAAUGUUAUCGUUUAUGCUUUAUGAUCUGUAUCGGAACAUGACAUCCCGACUUUUGAUUAUGAAAUGAAAUCAUAUUUCUUUAUGAAAUGUUUUGAUAAAUAUCUAUUUUAUCAUGUUUUGUUUUUGGGAACAAAUUCCGCAUCUCUUUUAAAAUUAAAAGGAUUUACUCUGAAAAUGUUUAAAAAGCAUAAAUGAAAUCGGUCUUUUCUGGCCGAGAUUUUGGGGAUGUCACAGUUGGUAUCAGAACAUUAAUUUAAGCGAACUAGGAAUUUGUAGGAUUUCUAGACUUAAACUUAGUAUGCUAAGUGGAGAUUGUGAGAUGUGUGUCUGAUAAAUUUUAGACAUAAGCACUAGUUUAUUUUAGGAAAGUUACCUAAAAUGCUUUUAUGUGCUAAAUGUUAUAUGUUGCCAUAUAUGAUAUUAAUUGUUCGGAUCUACGGUUUGUUGCCAACCGGAUCUGAAGAUUUAUGUGUUUAGGAUUCUAAGCGUAUGUUUACGAUAUUAGCACUAGCAUGUAAUCUUUUGGAGUAAUAAGGAGGAUUUGAAUAUCUAUCGUGAAUGAAGAUCUAAAUUUCACCUUAUUCGGUGUAUAGAUAAAAAAUGGUGAGAACAAGAAGCGGAGUUGGAAAUGAUGAUGAAAACAGGAAUCAACCGCCUGUAAUCCAACAAGUACCUGUUGUAGCUGCUGCACCUGAGUCGAUAACAAUGGCUGGUGUACAAAUGAUGAUUCAAAUGAUGUUGGAUCGUCAGAUGGAAGAAACAAGACGUUUGCUUCAACAGAAUCAUGAAGAACAGUCAAUUCAAGUAGAAGAGACCGAGGAGAAUGGGGGGCAAUCUGAAGGAGAAAACUUUAGUGGGAUCAUUGGUCAACCCAACCCACCAGUGGUUAGACGCAAUAACCAGUAUGGAGGAAAUGAUGGUCGUGAGUGCAAGUAUAAGGAUUUCAUGGCAUCCAAACCACCAUGUCUAUCCGGAAGCCCGACGCCGGUGCAAGUUAUGGACUGGAUCUCCGAAAUGGAGACUAUGUUUGAAAGUUGCGAAUGCAACAACAGGCAGAAGACCGCUCUUGUGAUCCCUCUGCUAAAAUCUGGGGUAUUGAGUUGGUGGAAGCUGUUAUCCGACUUUAUGCCUAAGGGAGAAGCAAGGAAAAUGUCUUGGGAAGACUUCGUGGAACAACUAAAACUGCAAUACUGCUCCGAGCAGGACCUUCUGGAAAUUAGUAAUGAGUUUCAGAAUUUGAAGAAAGGGAAAUUGAGCGUUACGGAAUACGCUGCAAGCUUCACAGAAAAGAUGAAGUUUAUCCCAUAUUUGGUGCCUACAGAACUCUCUAAGGUUAACAAGUUUUCCCUUGGACUACCGGCAGACUAUGGUCCAAUGGUUAAGCAAGCAACCACAUUGAAAGCCGCCAUUUGGGCUGCUAGAAAUGUUGAGACCCAGAUCAGGGAAAAAGGUCUAGAAAGGUCAGAGGUUGGUGAGAAAUGGAAAAUCAAUGGAUUUUCAGGGUCUAGCAAGAAAAGUAAAUUCUCGAAAUUUGGUUCGAGAGGAAGUGGAGGGAAGGUAGAGGUGAAAUGGUGCGAAAAGUGCAAGAAGAAGCAUCAUGGGAAGUGUGGCGGGGAAACCACNGUGUGGAAAACCAGGGCACUAUGCCAAUGAGUGUACCCUCUCUAAGAAGGUUUGUUAUGGUUGUGGUGAGGAGGGACACAUGUCGAGGGACUGCCCGAAGAAGAAGGAGACAGCUAGACCCAACAUUCCGUCAAAGCCAAAGGCGAGAGCAUUCCAGAUGACACUGUAAGCUGCUAAAGAUGAAGCUGAUGUCACUUCAGGUACCUUUCUCGUAAACACAUUGCCUGCCCAAAUUUUAUUUGAUUCUGGAGCCAACUACUCCUUUAUAUCGCAUGAAUUUGGUAGAAAACUAGCCUUGCCUGUUGUUAGACUAGAUGAUGCUCUAUUAGUCAAAGUUGCUAGUGGCAAGUUUGUACCUGUUAGCCAUUGUAUGAAAAAUAUCUUAAUUGAUCUGAAUGGGAAUAAGUUCCACGAGGAAUUAUUGCCUAUCGAACUUAAUGGUUUCGACAUCAUAUUGGGAAUGGAUUGGUUUAGCGCCAAUGAUGCUGGAAUUUUAUGCAUGAAGAAAAUAGUGAAAGUGAACCCGCCUGGAAAGGAAUCGUUUAUGGUGUACGGAGAUAAACGCAGAGUAAAUUCUAGAAUCAUUUUCCUAAUGAAAGCCAGAAAGUGUUUGACCAAGGGGUGUACAUCAUACUUAGCAUUCGUGAUCGAUGCUAAAAAGGAAAAGAAGGUGAUGCAAAAUAUUCCUGUUGUGUGUGAUUAUCCGGAAGUAUUUCCCGAAGAUCUUCCUGGAUUACCGCCUGAUCGACAAGUAGAAUUUCGUAUCGACUUGUUGCCCGGAACAACGCCAAUUGCAAAAGCACCUUAUCGAUUAGCACCGACGGAGAUGAAGGAGCUGAUGAUGCAACUUCAGGAGUUAUUGGACAAAGGUUUCAUUAGACCUAGUUCAUCACCCUGGGGAGCUCCGGUGUUAUUCGUAAAGAAGAAAGAUGGAAGUAUGAGAAUGUGCAUUGAUUACAGAGAGCUGAACAAGGCAACAAUAAAGAAUAGAUAUCCGUUGCCGAGGAUUGAUGACCUGUUUGAUCAAUUGCAAGGUUCGAGCUAUUUCUCGAAGAUCGAUCUUAGGUCAGGAUAUCAUCAGCUGAAAGUAAGAGAGCAAGAUAUCGAGAAGACUGCAUUCAGAACUAGAUAUGGACACUACGAGUUCUUGGUUAUGUCGUUUGGACUAACCAAUGCUCCAGCAGCGUUCAUGGAUUUGAUGAAUAGGGUUUGUAAUCCUUUCCUUGAUAAAUCCGUGAUAGUGUUCAUAGACGACAUUCUGAUUUACUCGAAAAGCCAGGAGGAGCAUGGCAGACACUUGCGAGAAGUGUUAGAAGUUUUGAAGAAGGAGAAGCUGUAUGCAAAGUUCUCCAAAUGUGAUUUUUGGAUUCGUGAGGUCCAAUUCUUGGGUCACGUGGUCAACCAAGAAGGGAUAAUGGUUGAUCCAGCGAAGAUCGAAGCUGUGACGAAGUGGGAACAACCGAAAAGUCCCACGGAGAUUCGAAGCUUUUUAGGAUUAGCCGGAUAUUACCGAAGGUUUAUCCAAGGCUUUUCUUCGAUUGCUACUCCAUUAACAGCUUUGACCCACAAAGGAGCUACUUAUGCUUGGAGUGAGAAGCAUAAAGAAGCAUUCGAGAAGUUAAAGAAGAAGCUAUGCGAGGCACCGAUACUUUCUCUACCCGAUGGAGUUGAAGACUUCGCUGUUUAUAGCGAUGCGUCUGGUGUUGGAUUGGGUUGUGUUUUGACCCAAAGAGAAAAGGUGAUAGCAUAUGCGUCUCGACAGCUGAAAGAGCAUGAAAAGAAUUACCCGACUCAUGAUUUGGAGUUGGCAGCGGUAGUUUUCGCUCUGAAAAUAUGGAGGCAUUACCUCUAUGGCACGAAGUGCAAACUUUUCACUGAUCAUAAGAGUCUCCAAUACCUCUUUAAUCAGAAAGAAUUGAAUAUGAGGCAACGACGCUGGCUAGAAUUACUUAAAGACUACGACUGCGAGAUACUUUACCACCCCGGUAAAGCUAAUGUUGUUGCUGAUGCUCUCAGUCGGAAAGUCAAUCUUGAAAGGAAGAGGCCAAGAGCGUUGAGAAUUGAAGUUGUCUCGACUAUUGUGGAAAGUAUAAAGAAAGCUCAAGAGGAAGCUUCUGAGAAAAAUGACCGAAAGGAGGAACGUUUGGGUAAAACGUUGGUGUUUGGUACUAACGGUCAUGGACUGAAGGUAUUCCAAGAUCGUAUUUGGGUACCUAAGUCAGGAGGAAUUAGGGAUCUUCUGAUGGAAGAAGCUCACAAAACCAUGUACUCAAUUCAUCCGGGUAGCACUAAAAUGUAUAGGGACCUGAAACCCUACUACUGGUGGCCGACGAUGAAGCUUGAUGUUGCAAAGUAUGUGGCCGAGUGUGUGACUUGUGCGAGAGUCAAGACACAACAUCAGAAACCUUACGGGAGUUUAGAACCAUUGCCUGUGCCUAUGGGUAAGUGGGAAGACAUUGCUAUGGAUUUUGUCACUAAACUGCCCAGAACAAAGAAUGGUCACGACAUGAUUUGGGUGGUCGUUGAUCGAUUCACUAAGAGUGCGCAUUUCAUAGCAGCCAAUGAAAAAUGGCCUAUGGAAAAGCUUACGAAUUCUUACGAGAAGGAAAUUGUGAGGCUUCACGGUGUUCCGUUAACAAUUGUUUCAGAUCGUGAUAGCCGUUUCACCUCACAAUUUUGGAAAAGUAUACAAGAGGAAUUGGGUACCAAGUUGUGUUUAAGUACAGCUUACCAUCUGCAAACUGAUGGUCAGAGCGAACGAACGAUACAAACACUUGAAGAUAUGCUGAGAGCAUGUACCUUGGAAUUCCUAGGUAAUUGGGAUGAACAUUUACCGUUGGUAGAAUUUUCCUAUAAUAAUAGUUUUCACUCGAGCAUUAAGAUGGCACCUUAUCAAGCUUUGUAUGGACAGAAGUGUCGUACGCCGUCUUGUUGGCUUGAGGCUGGGGAAAAGCAGUUUAUGGGACCGGAGAUGGUUCAUCAAACUGCUGAAAAGUUGAAAAUAAUUAGGGAAAGAAUGUUAGCAGCUCAAGAUCGUCAAAAGAGCUAUGCUGACAAGAAGCGAAGACCGAUGACUUUUGAGGUUGGAGAUUCGGUUUUGCUUAAAGUCUCGCCGUGGAAGGGACUUAUAAGAUUUGGUAAAAGGGGAAAGUUGAGUCCAAGGUUUAUUGGACCGUUUAAAGUUCUUCAGAGGAUUGGGAACCAAGCUUACAAGCUCGAAUUACCCGAAGAACUGAAUGGAAUUCACAACACUUUUCAUGUGUGUUAUUUGAGGAAGUUCACGGGAGAAGUUCCCGACAUAAUUCCAAUUUCGGAAUUGAGAAUUGAUGAGAACAAAAGGUUGAUUGAAGAACCAGAGGCAAUUGUUGACCGAAAGACUAAGAAAUUGCGACGCAAGAUGGUUGGGUUAGUGCUUGUCCGAUGGAAACACACGAAUGGGCCGAAUCUCACCUGGGAGACGGAGAGUGACAUGAUGGGUCGCUAUCCGCAUUUGUUUGUUGAUGUGUGAUUCCGGGGACGGAAUCAUUCUAAGGUGGAGAGAAUUGUAACGCCUGUGUUUCCGGGCUUGCCAUUUUUAGCAAUGUAAUAGUCUAGGUUAACCUUUGUAACCCGUUUUGAAAUAAUAAGAUUGUAUUAUUUGAGUAUUAUGUGUUUUGUGCUUAAUUGCUUAAUUAUGUGGUUUGAUUAAUUAAGAAUAAAAAUAAGCGUCAAAAUUUAAGUGUAAAAUAAACUUAAUAUCUUUGGUUAAUGUUGUAGUAGUUGAAACGAGGUUUCCGAAUAUAUAUAGAACGCCCAAAUCUGACUUCGUAUGAGGAAGUUAUGAUUUAUCGAAGUUCCGGCUUAGCGGUAUACAGCCUGUUUUACUCGAUUUGAGAUCGAGCGGUUGUUAGCCGAAGCAAUCUAAAUGAGAAUCGAAGAUCUCAUUGUUGGUAUCGAAGCGAUAAAAAGUUAGGCGAGAACGGACGUCAAACGAAGAAGUUAUGAAUUUAUAACGAAAUUUUUCUGUCGCGGCCUAUUAAAAAUAAAUAAUAAAAAUAAAGUCAAAAUUAGCCGACGGAGUCUAAACGAAAGUUGUAGAGCGUAGUCUCACCUACGCGUGAUAUAAAGAACGUCGAAAACGGAGUUCGUAUGAGGGAGAUAUGAAUUUUCAAAGUUUAUUAAAUAUUUAAUAUUUAAAUUUAAUUCUAAAUCUCGAUAUUAUCCGAAGAGGAGUCAGCAGACUCAUCCGAAGUACGCCCAGCGUACCACUCGAGUGCUCCGGAGUCGUAAGCGAUGACAUAGAGGGCCGAUGACGCAAGGGAUGACGGCUUCCGAGGCAGUACGCCCCGCGUAACGCCGAAGUUAUGCCCAUCGUAACCCCGAGGCUCAGCCCUAUAAAAGGGGAUGCGAAGACAGCCGAUUUUCUUUUACAAACCCUUCCAUUUUCUCUCAUCUUUUGCCUCGCUUAGCGUGCCAUUUAUACCCCGAAGCCCCGGUAAUAUUCUCGAGCCCCGAAGUAAGAUCUGAAGUCCCGAGGAUCCCGAAGAGCAUUAUUCCCAAGCCGAAGCUCUGUCCGCGAGGAGCCCGGUUUUUGUGAAAAUAUUCCAGAUCUACGAAGAGACACUACUUCUGCAAGCCGUAGUGUUGCCCGAUCAUCUUCUGAUCAAGUGAGUGUAUACUACCUUUCAUAAACACGAUAAUAAUACAAGUAUGGUUUGAGUGUAUUAAGUAUAUUGUUGUUUAUNNNNNNNNNNNNNNNNNNNNNNNNNNNNNNNNNNNNNNNNNNNNNNNNNNNNNNNNNNNNNNNNNNNNNNNNNNNNNNNNNNNNNNNNNNNNNNNNNNNNNNNNNNNNNNNNNNNNNNNNNNNNNNNNNNNNNNNNNNNNNNNNNNNNNNNNNNNNNNNNNNNNNNNNNNNNNNNNNNNNNNNNNNNNNNNNNNNNNNNNNNNNNNNNNNNNNNNNNNNNNNNNNNNNNNNNNNNNNNNNNNNNNNNNNNNNNNNNNNNNNNNNNNNNNNNNNNNNNNNNNNNNNNNNNNNNNNNNNNNNNNNNNNNNNNNNNNNNNNNNNNNNNNNNNNNNNNNNNNNNNNNNNNNNNNNNNNNNNNNNNNNNNNNNNNNNNNNNNNNNNNNNNNNNNNNNNNNNNNNNNNNNNNNNNNNNNNNNNNNNNNNNNNNNNNNNNNNNNNNNNNNNNNNNNNNNNNNNNNNNNNNNNNNNNNNNNNNNNNNNNNNNNNNNNNNNNNNNNNNNNNNNNNNNAUUUGUUGAACGACUUGUAAUGUUAUCGUUUAUGCUUUAUGAUCUGUAUCGGAACAUGACAUCCCGACUUUUGAUUAUGAAAUGAAAUCAUAUUUCUUUAUGAAAUGUUUUGAUAAAUAUGUAUUUUAUCAUGUUUUGUUUUUGGGAACAAAUUCCGCAUCUCUUUUAAAAUUAAAAGGAUUUACUCUGAAAAUAUUUAAAAAGCAUAAAUGAAAACGGUCUUUUCUGGCCGAGAUUUUGGGGAUGUCACAGACAGAAUGACACAUCCUUCAGCUUCAGAGCAACUCCCAGGAGUUCUCCUCUGCAAUCACAUACACAUGCUGAACUAGCUCUAGCAUCCUCGGGUUAGGAAAACCCGACACACUGACGACACCUCUAAACAUCCCCCAGGAUGAAUUACCACUACGUGCAUAAUUUCUUGUUCACACCAAACUGGGAAUCCAAGGCUCCAUCCUUGAAUCCCUUCUAAGCCUCUUUGUCUCUACACCCUCGGAACUCCUUCUGAGACCUCCGCAGACGUCCAACCCGGAUGUGAUUCCAUACCACCGGCGCAAACACACUGCUCAAUCAUACCUCCGCGCUACUGCUUUCACUUCCGUGAACUUACACUCCCGCUCAGAGCUACAUACCUUUCCCUUUCCUUAUCCAAGGAAAUCUACUUGGCCGCCUUGUCACUACGACAAGUGCCACAGUGCUCGCCCAACACUACACCAUUCCCUUAUAGCAUAACCGCUGUCCCAUGCACCCCACAUGCUCUAAAUCUGCUCGCAAGGACUCUCGAGUCCAUGCACUACCUUCCACUAAUCAUGAUUGAUACCCGGGGCCAGACCUUCUGAUGCUAUCACAUCACAACAUACUCAUUCCAUCUCCUUGUACAGAUCUAUCAACACAUGCAGAGUCUUCAGCAUGACUGGACCGCCUUUCCAGGCCUUCAGCCAAUCUGGACCAAUCUCAGAACCUUCAGCAUGUCUGGACUGCCCUCCAGGCCCUUCAGCCUGUCUAGACCGUCCCCGAGCCUUCGGCCUGACUGGUAUGCCCACCGGCCUUCAGUCUAUCUGGAUCGCUCAACUAGCAUUCAUCAUCCCGAAUUAUCCCUCCUGGAAAACUCUCCCAUGCAUACUGUUCUAGCCCUCUAGGGGUUCCGAACUCUAACUCCAUCCUAUAUACUCAAUCCUGGCCUGAUCCUAGGCCUUCCACAAUCAAUCGCCCUUUUUACAAAACCCUUGGUCUGCAUCCCGCCCCGCUUGCCUGUCACUUGCUCAUACCAGCCUAUGCUCUUGGCUGACAGAACCGCUGUUGAAACCCAAACAGCUAAUCAACCUCUCAUGCUUGUCGAUCUUCCGGAGAAUUUUCCAAUUCUCCCCACUUAGAGCACUGACUAACAACCACUGGUCGCCAUGACCGACCUCCCUUUACCUCCCUACACAACACAUUUCCUUACACGCGAAUUGAUUCCCACUAGGACGAACAACCUUCACAAAAUCCCAUACCAACAUUGAUCAUUUCGGACUUGAAAGAAGUCCGACCUUCAGCUAACCAUUAUUCAGACCACAGAUGCUACCCGACAUUCAGACCAGAAGCCUGAUUUCCCACUAAUAAUCCCCAUGGAUGAUAACCAACGAAACUCCCAAUACCCAAAACCCUUAAGGAACAACAAAUACAAUACCAAAAAUCACACAACGAGACUAGAAGAUAUACAAUACUCCAUAAUAAUCACAAGAUAACAGAAUAUCAAAAAGGAAACAUACCCGCAGCUACAUCCGGCACUGCCCUGACCUCCUCUACUGUAAGCUGAAAAGCACGACCCUGAGCCCUCGGGGGCUCUGCUCCACCCUGACCUCCACCCGUAAUCCUCAACGUGGCUGGUGUUGGAGCCUGCACCGACCUCCCAACCAGCUGUGGACAGUUGGCCAUCAUGUGACCAACUUGAUGACACUGAUAGCAAAUCCUCAUAUCCUGGGCUGGGGCUGACUGGCGACAAUCCCUCGCGUAGUGCCCCUCUCUCCCACAUUUGCGGCACGCGCCACCGGACCUACAAGCUCCGGCGUGACCCUUCCCGCACUUCUCACAAGUGCGGCUGCUCUGACUGCUCAAACUGAAAUUAAUGGUCUUAGACCGUUUCAGCGCCGACUGCGACUGGACCGGAGCCUGCCUCUGCUCCCUCAUCUGUAGCUCAAUCUCCACCUCACGCCGCCGAGUGGCCUCCUGCAACUCCAACAAGUUCUCACACCUUUGCGUAGACACAAACUGCCUGAUAUCCCUCUUGAGCAUACUCAGAUAUCGGGACAUCUAAGCUUGCUCCGAAGCAAACUCCAGGCAAAACAUCGCCCUAUCAGUGAACAUCCUGGUGAUCUCCGUCACCGACUCCGAAUCCUGCUUCAGCUCCAGGAACUCCUGAACUAAUCUCUCCCUCUUAACUAGCGGAACAUAGCGAGUACUGAACAUCUCUCUGAACUGAUCCCAAGAAACCGCAGCUCGCUGCACAUCAGAAUACGAUCCCGUGGUCAAUCUCCACCAAUACUUCGCCCCAAGACUCAAAAGGUUCAGAGCACAACUCACCCUCUGAUCAGUAGGGCAUGAGCAUGUGAAGAAACACCCCUCCACAUCUGACAACCAUCUCAUAGCAACAAUCGGGUCCUGAACUCCAUCGAAGGUAGGGGGCUUCGUAUUAUCGAAGUCCCGAUACUGAAAACCUCUAUCGGCUCCCCCCCCCCNCAGCCGUUGUAGUUGCCGCGGUAGCCGUCUCUGUAAGAGCUGCAUAACGCUCAUCAAAAUACUCAACCAUAGCGGUCUUGAUCGACCCGAACAGUUCCGACAACUCAGCUCGGAACAUCGCAACAACCUCAUCAUGCAGGAUCUCACGAAUCCUAGCAUCCAACUUGUCUGUGCUCAUCUGACCGAUAACCGCGGGUGGUGCUGACCCACCCUGACCACCCUCUCCUGCUCCCGAUCGUGAUCCGGAUCCGCUCCCAGCAUGCCUCGUAACCACCAUACUAAAAAACACCGCAAACGUCAGAUAGCUCCCACUAACCCGGAAACCGACUCUCAACACCGCCUUAGGGGUUGUGACUUCCUUGAUAUGCGUAUGGGUCUUGUGCUUUCAGUAGUACGGGUCCAUACUAUCUUCCACACCUACCCAUAUUUAUACCAAGUAUCACCACAACACCCUAGUGAAGAACAGACAAAACAAGCACUCAACCCUUACUCCUAGAGGAACACUGGAAAUCUCAUACAGAAAGAAACCCUAGGAUAGCAGGCAUCAUAAAUCAGGCAACUCUAUCAUGCAAUUCCUAAAGAUCCCUAGCCUAGUACUAGCAUGCUGUUCUUAUCAUAUCUCGAAACACAAAUAACUUGCAUGGUAUUUUGGGGCUACUUACUGGGUCCGGUUGAUCGUACCUCCGCGUCCUCUUUUACUCAUUUUGAAAACCAUUUUAAAUUCUCUUUUGAAAACUCUCCUUGAUUUGAGACUGGAUUCACACGAAUGUUCCUCCAAUUCAAUCAAACCAAGGCUCUGAUACCAAGUUGUAACACUCUAAAAAUUCAAGCCAAUUUAAACUUUUCAAAAACAACCCAUUUUCGUUAAGUCAUUACAAAAAGGUUUUCAAUACAAUUAUUAUUAGAGUCUUCCCAGAACCAUAUCGUAAAACAUAAACAUGAGGAGCGGUACGAUCACGCCUUCGUGUUGCCACGGUCUCCUGAAGUACUUGAAAAACAUUAACCACAACUGUAAGCCCAAAAGCUUAGUGAGAUACCCUCAAAAUACCAACCACAUAUACCACGCAUAACAUAUCAUAACCGAACAGAACAUUCAUGCACUUUGGGUCUACUGUGUGACUGGUCCGCCCUACCGGGCCUUCAGUCCACCUGGUCCACCCUCCGAGUCUAGCCAUAUCCAUCGAGUCUGCAGUGUGGUUGGUCUGCCCGCACCGGGCUUUCAACCCACCUGGUCCACUCUCCGAGCCUCGGCACGUCUGGUCCGCCCUCAUGGGGCCUACAGCCUAUCCAGACCGCUCGCUGGGCCUUCGGGAUAACCGGUCCGCCUUGGGUAUGUUGGCCUACAGCACAAAGUAGGACCCGCCUCAACCCAACCCCAAUCCAACAACCAUGUGCACAAAAACAUACAAUCAUAGAACAAUUCACAUCCAAUCAAACCGAUCUAGCAGAUCACAUAACAUGACAUACUCUAAACAGGAUACCGACGUAACCGGUCACUAGCAUAGCAUCAUCCUAUUUACCAGGAUACCGACCUUAACCAGGUCUCUAACAUAUACCAUCGUAUAUACCAGGAUACCGACCUUGACUAGGUCUUUAUCAUAUACCAUCCUAACUACCAAGAUGCAAACAUAGCAAAGCAACAAUCAUAACAACGAUACCCGGAUUACAAUCCGAUAAAGGGCCGGCCUUGGUGCCUUAGACCCUGUUGAUAUAGUGAGGAUAACUCACCUCGCAACUACUGACUGAAAAGAUAAGAUCACGUGGCUCCAACCUUUGACACAAACUCCACCACUGACAGUAUCAAAAGACCGAACUCAAUAAAUACCAAUAAUUACUAAAUUAUCCCUGGAAGUCAACUCUUGGUCAAAGUCAAAGUCCUCAGUCAAAGUCAAACUUCCUGACUGACCCUACUCGCAGAGUCAGCCCGCUGACUCGUCGAGUCCCUCAACUCUGAAAACUCCUAUAUCGCGACCCAACUCGCCGAGUCGCCCUAAGACUCACCAAGUCCCACGAACUCUGAGUCACUUCCUGCUCAACUCACCGAGUCGUCCCUUGAUUCACUGAAUCACAGCUCAACCAGGAAAGGUUAGGACCUCACGACCAGACUCGCCGAGUCCAAGAACAGACUCGCCGAUUCCAAGGCUAUCUUCAACCAACUCGCCGAGUUGUUCUUCCAACUCGUCGAGUUUCUACCUAUCUUCAUACAACUCGCCGAGUACACCCGUGUGACUCGCCGAGUACCACUAGCUCUUAACCCAUACAGAGGCUUUCCAAGCUAUGCAGGGUCUCAAAUCCAUAGAUCUACUCUUCUACAAGCCAUCCACCACGUAAAGUGGAAAACUUUACGUGAAUCCAAAGAGAUCUAAGCAUAAUAUACUCUAGGGCUAGGGUUUGGGACAAAAGAACCUCACCAACAACUCUCGAGCAUAGACUUUUUGGCUUUCUGGAUUAUUAACAACCUAGAUCUGAGGUAGCAACCUCAGAUCUUACACCAAACUUGAUAUGGACCUCAUUUAUGCCCUAAAAACCCCACAAAUGAUAGAUCUAGAUGCACAAAAGCUCAAACAACAGAUUAUUACCUCAAAUGAAAGCUCCAACUGAUGAAUAAGUUAAAUCUCUGCAAAGCCCCUUGCUCCAACCUUCUUGCUCUUCGAUUUCUCCCCAAGAUUCCCUCCACAAAGGCUCCAAUCUCUCACAAGGAAAGCUCACACAAAUCUAGGGCUUCUGGAACUCAAGGGGAAGGUAAAGAGGCUAGGGAGAGGAUAUCAUGUUCUUUAUAUAGGGCUCGACCCCCGAAAUUAGGAUUUUCUCCACACAGCACCAACUCGCCGAGUCCACCUAUGUGACUCGCCAAGUUGGUCACUUAACAUGCGACCCGAACGUGACUCGACUCGCCGAGUCUAUCCAUCAAUUCGCCGAGUCGACCUUCUUAUUUACACCUUUAGCCCUUCCACUUUACUUUUGAAUUUCCGGGAUGUUACAUAAAUCUCCAUUUCAAGUACACAUAUGUAUUAGUGCAAUCUCCAUUGUAUGUCCAACCUCUAUCGAAAAUCCACCAAUCUCGUGAAAGUAUUAAUUCGUAUACUCAUUUCUAAGAGUAUGACCAACUGUGGAGUUUUGAAUAAAUUACUAUUCAGGAAAUCGGUUCAAAACAUGCAAAAGCAGAACACAGUGAUAGACUAAUUGAAAUGACUGGCCUUCAUCAUAUAUGAAGAUCUUUACUUUAUAGUCUCCAAAUCAGAUUGAGACUUUAUACUGCUUAAAUUAUCAAAUUUAAAACAAACUAUUUGAAGUGGGCUCUAGUCAAAUCAUUUGUAAAAUCAAUGCUUAAUGAUCAAGACUCACUGUCAGACUUGUUGACUUACUAAAUGCAUCAACAAGUUUUUCUUUUUAAUAUGAUUUUAUUGACUAUGAUGCCUUCACAUUUGAACAACUAUCAGAUGUGAUGCUACUUACUGAGUAUACGCCAUGUGAGCUAGCGUGACUUUGGGAUCCAUACUUGAGGUAAGUUCACCCUUUCAAUCAUAAGGACCUUCAAAAUGACCAUCAAUGAUUGAAUUUAAAAAAUGAUGUCACUAAUGAAUCUCUAAUAGUCACAUAGUUCCCUUUGCAUUUUGAUUGGUUGCAUUAUACUCUAUGUUUAUUCUCAAAUCAACAAUGGUGCAUAACUUGGUACCCUUCCAAAUUAAUACUUCACCAUUCAAUAAAAGCAUGAAUUCUGAUUGCAUACAAUAUUUGUCUUUACUAAUAUGGAACUCAACAUUAGCGUAGCAUUUACAUCGAUCUCUUACAUACUAACUGUGACAUCCAUUAUGUUUAGAUUAUUUUUUUUUCUUUUAUGCUUUGAAAAUAAUAUUGUAACAUCAUGUUCGAGAUUAUUCUGUGAUUCAGGGCCGUGGGCCGGAAGUCGGUUGUGUAAAGGCUUUGGGCCUUAAGGAGGCGAUGUUUAGACCUUUUAGAAGGAGCUAAUGAUGGUUAUGAGAUCUAAACCUUUGAAUUGUGUUUUGGAGUCAAAGGGUAAAACGGGAAAAUUCAUAUACUGGGUUCUUGCAUGAAAUAUGGAUUUUUUUUUGAGAAGUUUUUAGUCCAAAAUAGUUAGAUAAUACUGUAGAGCUCUUCAAUACAUUUCCGUGGAUAUAAAGAACGUCAAAAUUGUAGUUAGAACGAAGACGUUAUGCCCGUUUGAAGUUUGGUCAGUUUUGGGUGAAGCUGAGUACGCUGGGCGUACUAGGACAUCCCUAGUACACUAGGCAUAUGCGCUAGUGCCCAAACCCUAUUUUCAUGGUUUGAUCCCUAUUUAAGCUCCUUAACUCCCUCAAACCCACUCCAAUCUCAACCUCCACCCUCCAACACCCCUUCCAUGAAACCUUAACCCUAGUUGAGCCUUGUGAGCUAAAAUAAGGUGUUUUUGAGUAUGCAUGGUGCACCUUGGAGAAGAAGGAACUUCUUGGAGAAGUGUUGGUUGCAUUGGAGCUUGUGGAUAUGGACUUUGUUCACCUUGAUCUAUCUUCUAGAGGUAUAAAGUUUGAAUCUUGAUAAUGCAUUUCUUAGAUCUAGCAAGUUUUUGAGGUUAUGAGCUUUUGGUUAUUUUAGUGCAUAAAGUUUAGAUCUUGAAAGUUUGUCACCUUGUUAUAGAUAAAGUUGGAAACUUUAUGCAUCUAAAUAUCUUUUGGAUUUAGAUCUGAAGGUUGGAUGAAGACUUGUACUUAAUGGAUUAAGUUGAAAAAGAUGAACUUUUGGGUCUCUUUGAGACUUAAAGACUAGAUCUUGUUUGUUGGGACCACUCUAAUGGAUAAAGUUGGAAACUUUAUCCAUUAUAAAGCUAUCAUGAACCAUAAAAUUGUGGUCUUGGCCCUUCUAUUCCUUCUAUGCAAAAGUUAUGAUGUCUUAUUGGGUUAAGAACUUAAGGUUUUGGACAUUAAGCACUUUAUAGCUAUGCAAAGUCAUAAAGGGUGAAACUUUAUGACUUAGGACAUUAUUUUGAUGUUGGAUCCGAGUUUUGGAUGUAUGAACUAAUGAAAUAAGCUCUUAAUGGGGUUUUGGGACUGGGCUGCAUAUGUUGGGCAUACCUGGUUAUAUGUUGCGCGUAUGCGGGCAGCACCCCGCUUUUGGUCAACAUCAAAGUACAUUGGGUGUACUCUCUUGGUAUGGAGGGCGUACUCCGCUGCGAAGAAAUGUUGACUUUUGGACCUUGACCGUUGACUUUAACUUUGACCAGGGUUGACCAAGUUUAACCUAAGGAAAUUUUGGUUAGUUUGAUUUAUAGUUGAGAUUUGGGUUCCUGUUAAUUGUAUAGGUGACUGGUAGAUAUAACUUUUAGAGCAGUGAUCGGUGUAGUUAUUCUUUCAGACUGUGAGGUGAGUCUUCUCACUAUAUCCAUGGGUCAAAGGCACCAAUGCUGGCCUAUUGCGAGUUAUGUGGUAUGCUAGUUGUUUCUGUGAUACUUUCACGGAAGACCCCAGGGAUAGCCCGUGGCACUUGGAUAUUAGACCAUGGGGGAGCCCAUGUCAUUCUAGGUAAAGACCACGGGGGGAGCCCAUGACAUUCCAAAUAAAGACCAUGGGGGGAGCCCAUGGUAACUAUAUGUAUGUUGCAUGUUAAUCUGUGGUUGUAUGUUGUAUGGUAUUUUGGGGAACUCACUAAGCUUUGUGCUUACGGUUUUCAGUUUAUGUUUCAUGUAUUUUGGUUUUCAAAUGGGAGAGCUCGGAAUCCACAUGUUUCCAUAUUAUGUGAAUUACUAUGAUUUGAUGAUGUGUUGCUAAAUAGUGGUUACCCUAGUUUUAUGGAAAUAAGCUUUACUAACGAUUUAUUAAUCUAAAAACAAAAAAUUUUAAGCCAUGAUUUUCGGGACGUUACAAGUUGGUAUCAGAGCCUUGGUUUGAGGGAUUCGGACAUACUGUCGGGUGUGUCUGAACUCAAACUGAGGGUUUGGUGAAGUUUUCAAAAAAGUGUAUUUUUUAGAAAGGAAAUUCCUAAGAUAAGAAAAGGGUGUGAUGCAUGCAAUCAACCGAGCUCAAGUAAGCUUCUCCCAAAAUACCCAUAUAUUUUAUCUGAUAUGAUUUGAUUUAUGAAUCUGUGAAUCACAUGCUAGUUAGGGCUAAUAAUAUGCUCAGUUUUUGCAUAAUAGAAUGCUAGGAGAUAUACAUUUUUAUGUUUAUUGUAUGAUUUGGUAGACUCACAUGGUGGUGCUGAUUAGACAAUGAUAGAUUGGCCUGAUAUUCGAUGCCUUAUAGCCUUGGGAGUAUUGGAUGCUAUGCUGGAAUGGUGAUAUCUAUUGGAAUCAGUAAUUGCUAAGUGUAUGUUUUAAAAAUUAUAUACGGUUAGGAUCUUAUAGUCCUAGAAUAAUUGAUUUGGCCUUAUUUCCUGUUCCUUGUCUGGUUGUAGUUCUAAGGUAGAGUCUUUUACUCAACAGUCUAUUUGAUCUUGUUUUUUAUAUAAUUUGCAUGCAUAAGGCAACCAACAGUAAUAGUAGAAAUCUCUAAUAUGAGUUGUGGUGUGGGCUGAAUGUUCAAUGAUCGUUCUAUGGAUUGGAGUGUUACUGCUCGAAUGCUGCUUGCUUUGUGCUUUGUGGAACUCUUAGGUAAUGGGAGUUAGCUACAAAGUGAAUAUUAAUGUAUUCAUGAGGUGGGUAAUUGGCAUUAUAGAUAGUUCUUUAGCAACUGAUGGCAGGGUGAGGUCGGGAACCUAGAAAAGCCUAGGGAUUGUUUGGGUGGGUUUUCUUGCGAUGUUUAGUAAGUAUUUGGGUGCAUCAGAUUGAGAAGGUGACUUAGAGGAUUCAGGAUGAUUCUAGAGGAAAGUAUGGAUAGGUGUGGAAGGUAGUAUUGGGCCCGUACUACUGAAAGCACAUGAUCCAUACUCGAAUCAGGGAGAGUCUUGGAGAAUCUAGGAAGCUUAUGGGAAGAAGAUUCUUGGGUAUGUUCAGAUCAUUUGAAGGUUGUAUUUCAGUUUGGUGAUGAGCACCCAGUAAGGAGGGUUUGGUUUUGGUUUUGGCUCAGGUGUAGGUACCGAUCCGAUUAGUGAGCAGAUGCGAGAGUUCAUAUCGUCGGAGAUUACCCGUGGUGUUUUGGUGCAGACGCCUGUGAUCUUUAGUUCAGUCAAGGAAGGGAUUUUGGAGAUCUUGGAUGAGUGCUUGUGCACGAUCCAUGUUGAGGGUAUGGCCAUCGUUGGAGCUCACACUUUUUCUUUCCUUGAGUUUCGUUCGUACAGAGCUCCUGCAUACUAUAGGGAGAAGGACCUCAUUACUAGUAGGGGUGGUUAGUGGAUAUGCCUAACACGUUUACGAUGAGUUUCUGCCCUGAGGAGGCUGAGGUCAGAUAUACUUUGUUUAGAGGAAAAAUUGAGUAACACACUUGAACAAACGUUAGAACAAGUAAUAAUGCGGAAUUAAGUUUAACUCAGUGGAUCAUAAAGCUCAACAAUAAUAAGUUAGAAUUAAAUAGUUAGAUAAUUAGGUGCAGAAAUAUAAGGAAAUGUAAAUGAAAACAAGUAUUAUAUCAAGAAGAAACUUAAGUUGAUUCUUAACAAGGAUUGCAAUCAAACCAAUUUAGUAAGUGAGAUCAGACUUAGUGAUUAAGUCAAGACUGACUUGCUCUGAAGAGACAUUAAAAUCUUCAUAUAUCAGUUUUAGUUUAUGAGGAUCCUUUAAGAUGAGAAAGUAAGAGAGAAUAUGAUAUUUAAGAUAGAUAUAACCGAGAGAGGUGUAUUCAUUCAGAAAGAAAGAGCUCUAUUUAUAGAGUCUCGAAGACUACAAAGUUAAAUCUGUCUAAGGUGGCCAUGCAAGGCACACUGGAUAAAGAAAUGUAAUGACAUAAGAUAACAGAUAAACUAAAACUAAGAAAAAAGACUGAUGACAUCGACUGCGGAUGUGGUUCUGGAUUGCAGUUGUGAUCUUGACUGCGGAUCAGGAGAUGGAUUCGGAUUUGUUAAGUUUAAGAGGGUCACUUUGAUGCUUCAACAAUUUCCCCCUAAGUGACCUCUUCAACUUUCCUUUCACUUGUCGAGCUUCAGGAAUUUGAUGAGAAUCCACCAGAACUUCCUGACUUCUCUGAGCCAAAAAAUUCUCCUGGAGAUUUCAAACUUAACUUCAACAGUUGUGUGCUUCGACUUGUUGAUUGCAGUUUGAGUAAUCUCUAGUUGCUUCCGGUUCAAACGGUUCAUGGCAGUCAUUGGGAUGAAAUACUUAGUUUCAUCAUUUUUACGUUUAAAAAUGACUCCAAGAUCCAGGAAGUUAGUUGCUCCAAGUGAUCUUUCUUGAAAGCCUUCGGUCAGCACCAGAGCUGGUUCAAGAGGAGAGAGGUUGAGCUUCUGAGCAAGAACAGGGAGGAUUUCCACAUCAAUGUUGGCAAAGUCACAAACUGUUUCUUUUAGAAGCGUACAGGCCGUUUCGUACGCAAUCUUCAUUUUAGGAUUCUUGUCACACUUGUUUUGAAAUACCUUAGCAAUCAGGAAAAUUUCUUCCGGGUUGAUGCAAGGGAAAUCAACUUGGGUGGGGACAUAGUCUAAAUUUCUUCUCGUAAGAGUGUACUGAAUGAAGUAUGCUUUCACGAAUUUCCUGGGCUUGAAAUUUUUUACUGCGGUAGGCUUGUCGUUUGACCAAAUAUUUUCAAUUGCAGAUCCAUGCUUGGCAUGGAAUCUGUUAAGUCUUUCAAAUUCUAGUGGCAACCUCUGAUCAUCGGGGAGAUUGCAGUCAAACGAUUCAAAGAAGGUGAAGAAUUGGGCGUUAGGAGAGAUGGUAAUGUCCUUUAUAACCGUCAGAUGGGGGUUCCACAUAUGUGAGAUAGGGUUUGUAGUCAUCAUCAAGUAAUCUUCUGGUGGGAUUAAUCCAUGAAUUGAUGAGUGAUUCAUCCAUAGUGAUGUCGAAUCCGUGUUCCCUCCAUAUCAAUUCUGCAAACCUAGCUGCUUUCUAGUCAACUUUCCUUUGCUUCGUUUUGGGAGAGUGAUAGGAGUUUUCAGAUGACAUUUUUGGGGCUAGAUUUCUGAGGUGAGGGGGAGUCAUCGGAUGUAGGGAAGAGGUAUGUUGAACAUCUUGGACUUUUUCUUGUUGCGGUGGAGACUGAUGAGGGGAGUGAAUUUGACUGUGUUGAGGAGAAGGCACGAGAGUCUUCUUUUUAGGAGAUGGUUGCGGGGAAGGUUGUGGAGAAGGGACUUUUUGCUGAAUGAUUGGUUAUUGAUGGAGGGCCGGUCCUGAGGAUUCAAAUUCCCAGGACGAGCUGGUAAAAAAAAGGCCCUUUAGCCUAACAUUCAACGAUUUAAUUAUAUAAACUAAAGUUUUUUUUUCGAACGAUAAUAAACUUUACAGAAAUAAACAUAGCAAAAUCAUAGUAUUUUAAUAAGUAAUUACAUAUCAAAACAGCUAACCGAAGACUCGUGAAGCUCUUCUUGCAUUUUAUAUCCAUUUAAAAUUUAGUUAUAGAAUUCCCAAAAAUGUUCUCCAAGUAGGUAGGUCCAUACAUACCAUACAUCUACCAUAAGAGAAAGACAUGGUUUGAAAAUUGGCAACUAACCUAGCAAAUAUAUAUGGAAGAAAUGACAAAUUUGCUCAAAUAAUAGGCAAUGACUAGUGGUCUUUCUUUAAUCAACUUCAAGGCAUAGUAUGUUUUUUUUAUUAGAGUAGCCAUUUUGGUUUAGCGCUCCUUCAAACUGUGAACAAAUAAGAAAAAAAAUUGGUAUGUAGUGUUGCUGUUGUACAAGACAUAAAAGAAAAGAGCAAACAGAUAAAGCUUGUUUCUUUGUUUUCAAAAGUUUGCUUCUAUUAACCAAAGAACAAAAGGCUUUAAAUAGUCUACAAAACAUCCAACGUGAAUAAACAAAAUCAAUGUAAAACCUAGCCACUGCCCCUAGAAAAUAAGACACUCCUAUAACUAAGUACACUAAUGUUUACAUGAUUUUGUCAAAUAUUUUUUAUUCAACCAUUAAAUAAAAAAAACUAAAAGACUAAAUAUUUGACUCAAAUAGCCACUUCCGACUAAAGUUAGAAUUAAACCCAACAAGCCAUAAUUCCAGUUUGAUUACCAAAUCCAUACACAAAAUGUUAGAUUAGGAUUUGUUAUGACAAUUAAACUAGGUAUAUAUACUGUUUCUUUGUUAAUUUUAUGUAUUCUAUUAUAUCAUUGUAUUUAUUCAUUUUAUGCCUAUAGAAACAAUUAUGUGCGGCAAAACAUCAAACACUUGUAGUGCAUAAAGAUUACGCCCUCAUGAAGCAGAAAACUCAUUAAAGUAUUCAACAUUUAAGUAGCAUGUGUUGUUCAGCAAGUUUGAACCACUUAAAUUUUAAAACAUAAUUUUCAUAUUUCUAUUAAUUUGUACAGCAAUACAAUUAUCAUAUAUGGGAAUAACACUAAAACUCAAUGAACUUAUCAAAAGAAAUCUUGUCGUGAAUUCCACCAAUAGAACACUACCAAAAAGCAUUACGACAUACCCAAAUCCAAUGUUUUUUCUAUUUUAAAAUUUAUUGGAAUACUGAACGCAGAAAACCUUCCACUGGCAGGAUUUAAGCCAUUAAUUUUCUUUAUAUUUUUAUUUUUCUUCAAUCAAAAUAAGGACCAAAGAGAAAGACGUGGUGGCAUUCUGUUCAUCGUCACUAAUGUAAAAUUAAAAAGAAAGAAGAUUAAUGUUAGGUUGAAAUCGAUUACCUGAUUAGUAGGACAGCAAUCGAUCGUCGUAUUAUUGAGUGAGUUUUUGUAAUCGAUUAAUCACCUCCGCUUGAAUGGUCGCUUAUACCUUCUUCUGCCUUCUACGACUGAUCAAUAAGAGAGUAUUUGGGCCUAAUUCUCAAUAUAAACACUAAAUAAACACUAAAAAAAAUUGGGCCCCUACAAAAAAAAGGGCCCUAUUCAUAUGCCCAUCUUGCCCCUGUUUGUUACGGGACCUGUGCUGAUGAAUGGGACCAAAUUGGAUGGGAGUUUGGAAGUGUUGUUGUUAAUGUGAAUGAUGAUGAGAGAUGCAAUCCAAAUCACAGUCUUCACUUCCCCUUCUUGAGGAAGGAACACCUAGUACUUCCUCAAGCCAUUGUUUAAGAUCGUCUAUUUUUGCACAAACAUCAUUAAAUUGGGCCUUGAGUGCAUCAGCAAGCUGUUGAUUGUUGGGGAUUGUGGGGUUGAAGAGCAGUUUGUGGAUCUCCUUGGUAAGUUGUAAAAUCUCCUGGCCAUGAAAAUUUGAAGAAAAAGAGCGGCGAAGACUGUUGAUGGUUGAUUGCAAUAUGGAGAUGGUGGAUUCAUAAGCAUUGUGAGUUUCCUUGACAAGCUUCUUUGACUGAGUAGAUUGAUCCGCAAUGGUGGAUAGAAGUUCAGUCUUGAUUGCAGAUACUUUAAUGAUUCGUCGCUCCGCUGCGACAAGGAAUUGUUGGUGAUCAGCAUUGCGGUUUGUGUCGAUGGCUCGAAUACCCAUUUCGACCUUUAGAAAGAUCCUCUCAGCAACGAGUCUCUCUCUUUCUUCAAGACACACGAUUCUUUUAAUGAGAGAUUGCGAACUAGGUGCAUCUUCUGGUUGCGAUUGGCUAGACUUCACUGCAACCAGAAUCUGAUCAACCUUGUCUUAGAGACUUAGAAAUUCCUUUAUAGAGACUGUAGGUUUCUUUUUCCUUUUCUUUUCUUUAGGCUUUGAAGUAGAGUGUUGGGAUCCACUUGAUUCAUCUUCUUCGUCGAAGAUCAUCAUCAUGUCGUCUGAUGGCUCGGGUUGAUUGACUUCAUUCAUGUUAAUGUCAUCGAAGCCAAAAGUAGGUCCCGAACUGACUUCGAUUGCGUUUCCGUCCUCUUGUGAUUCUUGAACUAUUUUUGUUGGAGGAAGCUUGGAGGAACCUGAUCCAUCAGGAAGGGACUGAGCAUUACGUAUGGUGUCAGCCAUUGCAGUCCUCCAAUCUUGGAUUUUGAGAAUGUUGGCUACUAUGUUGGCGUUAUUGAUUGUGUCUGCCCAGUACUUAGAGACAACUUGUAUUUCUUUCUCCUUUCGUUGAAGUUGUUUAGUUUGCUGAUCCUUCCUUGCUUGAAAUGCCCUACAAAAGCUGCAUACUUUUUGACUUCGGAUUCAGUUGAUGAUUUAUAAUGACUCCAGAGUCAUCAGAGUCAUAUUUGUUAAUUCCUUGAUGUCGCAUCGAGGUGUCCCUCGGGCUCACGGAUCCUUGGACAUUGGUGCUCACCGUGCCUAAACCACCUGCUUGUAAGGUAAGUGGAGUAGGAUUUCCUGAGCUUCCUCGGUCUCCUUGACCCGUAGUCAAGUUGGGCCUCGACUCAGUUUUGGCAUGGGUUGAAGAAUUGCCCUACUGUUGGGAAGGUGUAUCAAGUGAUUGGAUUACAAGGUCUAGUAUGGAGUGCAACUCCUGUUCUUGAAAGAAAUGAAGUCGGGAAGCCCUGGAGACCUUAGGUCGAGAACCAAUUAAAUCCUCUUGGGAUUUAGUUGGGGGGGUGAGUCUCCACGAACAGGUGAAACAGGCACACUUGUUGUGCCCGAGCGGCUAAGGAGGGUAGUUGCAAAUGGGCCUGCGGGGACCCCAAGGACUACUGGAGCCUUUUGAGAGGCUAAGGUAUCGGUCCAGUUGCGCAUUUUGCUAGGACUAGGGUUUGAUCUACGUUUCUUAAGAACAAGAAUUGGGACCGAGUCAUCAUCAAACUCAUCUUCAACAUUGACUGCAGGGGUUUGAUCUUCAUCAAAAUCUUCAUCGGAGGAUACAACAUGUCUAAGUUUGCGUUUUGUGGAGGGUUCUGCAGUCUUGGAUGUUGCACCUUUCUCAUAUUUUCUAAGGGAGAUUUUUCUAGAAGAAAUCUUCUUGAGUCUCGAAGAUUGAGGGUUAGCAGUUGGGGCUGCGGUGCUUACUGGCCAUGAGGGUCUAUUGAGGCUAAUAUAGACUGACUAGGAAGAGGCGGGGGUAUAAAGGUAUGGGUCGAUUCCUUUUGUAGCCUCAAUGUGAUUGGUGACUUCUUGAGUCUCAAUUCCAACACUGGUAAGCGUCUUAGAGGUCCAAAAAUAGAUUGAUCCUAAGAAUGAGGAUAACUUUUGAGAUCACGAGUGACGAAAAAGUUGAUGUCGCCGCCCAUGCUGAUCUUUGUGUCGCGGUGAAGGUCUGAAAUGCAUAGGGACCAAAAUCUUUCAAAAGUGAGCUCUGUUGGGUUUGAUUUCGGAUUCUCCUUGGGAAUGUACUAAAGGAAGUCAUCCCAUAUGAUUUGACCGUAGUUGACAUCGUGGAUAGUGAAAAUGCUCCACACUAAUUCAAGUAGUUUGAGGCCCAUGUUAUAUGUGCCUUCGGUCCUUCCUGAGAGACUGCGGAUGACAAAGUGGCAAAAAAACUGGCAGACCGCAAGGAGUUGAUUUUUCUUGAACUCGCCUACACCCUUGAGCUUUUUCUGGUAACCCAUCUGGUAGAGUGAGGUGAUGAUGUCCGUCACACUGGGAGUAAAGAACUUUGUAGAGGGAUUGACCAAUAUAUUUAUUGCAUUCAGAAAUUUGUCUUUGGUCAAGAUGACCAAAGAAUGAUCAUCUAAGUUCAUACCAACUUCUUGCAGGUUGUUGAGGGGGCGAAAGGCAGAGAAAGAAAACUUGAAUAGGGUCGAAAUUGGUAAUACAUCGGUGAAAGAGUCAAAGGGUCCACCCAAAGGAUGAUUUUUAAUGAAAUUGAUCAUAAGAAGAAUGGACUCAUUGUAGGAUGAGUGAUCUUCGAAGAUAGCUCUGAAAUUACUUGAUACAAUGGAUGGUGAUUGGUUUCGAGUAGCGGAGUCUGAACCAGUAGGUUGUGGAACCAGAAGCCUUGGAUUGCUUCUUUGAAAUGCCUGACUUCACCAUUUUGAGAAAAAGUUUGAAGAACUUUCAUAAAAACUUGAGUGCAAGAGGGUAAAGAAGAUGAAGAUCGCCAAAGAGAGUGUGACAUCCCCAUUUUUACGGCCAAAAAAGACCGAUUUUGUUUAUACCACUAAAGUCUAACGAUAACCGCGACAAGUUAAUAGUUUGACUAUUAUUACUAUUAUAUAAGCGUUAAACGAUACUUAUAUAACUCAAAAUAAUAGCCCAAAUAAUGAUUUAAAGACCUAAUAACAUUACUAUAAUUAUUUGAAAGCUAUAUUAAAAAUUGCGUAACCGUAGCUUACUUACAACAGAUUUUAAAGAAAACUGGGUUUUGCUCGGAGCAACGUUUCGAAACCGAAAGACCCUUUUUCUCGGGACUUCCUUCGGGUGUUAGGGGGUUUCCUAGGGUUUUGGUGGGUUAAAAUGGGUUAGAGAGAGAAAUAUUGUAAAGAGAGAGUGAAAUUUUGGUGUGAAAAACCGGCUGCCCUUGCACCCCUUUUAUAGGUGCGAGGCUUCGCACUACACGGGGCGUUCAGCAGGUUAUGCGGGGCAGAACUUCGGAUAAGGUCAGCAGGUGGCAACCUCCGGAUGGUGCGACGUGGCUUAAGCUGGACUGAGGGAAGGCUUGCGUACGCGGCGCGCUCUGAGCUUCGAUGGUGGGCGUAGCGAAGGGCGACGUGUCCUUCAUCCGAAGCGAGGCGUGAUCAGCAAGCAACGGCUAGGAUCUUGCCACGUCAUCAGUUGAGCAACAAAUUUCGUAAAUUCGAGUCUAAACAUUAAAAAUUCGUAACUUUUGCGUACGAGCUCCGUUUUCGACAUUCUUUAAAUCCACGUGAAGGCAGGAACGUACUCUACAGCUUUCGUUUAGACUCCGUUGGCUAAUUUUGAUUUAUUUUAAAAGUUAUAUUGUUUAACAGGCCGGGACACGAUUGGUCCGUUAAAAAUUCAUAACUUCUUCAUCCGACGUCCGUUUUCGUCUGUCUUUUUAUCGUUACGCUAUUAUUAACGAAAUCUUCGAUUGUCGUUUAGGUUGUGUCGGCUAAAAACCGCUCGAUCUAAUAUUCGAAUUUCGGGUUGUACACUGCUAAGCCGAAACUUCGAAAAAUCAUAACUUCCUCAUACCAAGUUAGAUUUGGGAGUUCUUUUUAUGGAUGCUCUCAGUUUAAUGUAUUCUAAACCUUUCGUUUAGACCACUAAGGCUAAAUCUCGCUCUAUCGUAAAUUCACUGUUUACACUUCCUGGUGCCGUGCCGGUUCCGUCGCGAAACUUCGACAGGUCAUAACUUCGUCGUUAUAACACGGUUUUCGGCGUUCUUUAUAUGUAUGGAAACCUUGUGACAUAUUCUACAAAUUGGUUAAGAUUAUUUAUUCUAAAUAAUCUUUUGUAAAAAAGUUGUUUUCGACCCCUAUUGCCUCUAAAUUGACUAGCCCGGAUCUACGGACGUUACAAUCAUCUCCCCCUUAGGAUGAUUACGUCCCGGAAUCAUCAACGAAAUAGGGCUCGUAUAGUGACUCCAUACGUCAUAUCUUCAUCCUAGGUAAUAAUUAUAACUUCUGUAUUCCUUCAAGUCUAUCUCUUAGACUUAUUGACUGUUAGCAGUACUCGAUCAUGCACCUGCUCUCUAUCUUAGGUUAGACUCAAAAUUAUGGCCUACCAUUAUGUGAUGCACGUUUAGAAUCAGGUCUUUUAGAGUUAAAUUCCAGAACAGACUAUGCCUUCCUUCAUGUUCUAAUGUGAUAUAAUCAAAUUUUAAAAGGUAGCAUCCCUAGCUACAAGAAACUAUCGCGAUACCUCUACUGUUCGUUUUGAUUAAUUCUUCCGGCUUGAGUCAGGUGCUACAUCAUACUUGGUUCUCUAAACUAUGUAACAUACUCGUCUUAGUCAGACUCAAUUAGAUAUGACCACUAGGGUCGGAAUAACAAUAAUCUCCUUAAUCAUUACCAAAACGAUGGUAACGACCUACUUGAAUAAAACGAAAUCGAUUACUAGUUUGUUGGUAAUCUUGUGACUUUCCCUGAUCCAAGCGUGAGUCCUGUGCUUCCAGUAGUAUAGGCCUCUACUACCAUUCACACCUACUCAUACUCGUCCCAAGUAUUAUCCCGCAGUUUUCCAAGUCACCAUACAAGAAAAUCACAUAACAACUUAACACAUCAGAUAUCAAAACGAAGGUUUUAUAUUAUUCCUUGAAAUGAUUACAUAGGUGUUCAAGUUCACCCUAGACUAUACCUCUAACAGGCUAAAUCAUACGAUAUUAUGGCUACUGCAUAACUCGAUCUUCGGAUAUGAAGUUCUCAUCCUUGAUUCCUCCUGUUGUCAUCUGCUUCGUCAAGGAUCAUCUAAAAUGCUCUUGCCUUUGGCUUUGGCGGCACAUUUGGCUUGGUAGCCCCUUCUCUCUUUGGGAAGUCUUACUUGAAGUGUCCCUCUUCGCCACACUUAAAGUAGACUUCUCUCUUGGUUGUGCAUUCCCUGGCAUAAUGACCGGUCUCCCCGCAUUUAAAGCAGGUCAUCUCUUUAGAGCAUUUCCCGAUGUGCUUCUUUCUGCACUUUUCACACCAUUGCGUUCCUUCUUCGAACUUCUUUGAACCAGACUUCGCUAAUUUUCCCUUCUCGUUGGACCUUGAAGAUGCUUCAAACUUUCUCUUCUCGCCAGCCUCCAUCUUGCUGGCGGAUCUUCCCUUGAUCAUAUCUUCAACAGACUUGGCAGCCCAGAUAGCUACCUCCAGAGUAGGUGCUUGACGUACUGGCACCGUAUACUCCCAGGGAAGUCCCUUUGCGUACUUGUCAACUUUUCUGGGACAAGGCGCAAAGCAAACUCCAUUUUGUACGUGAAGUUGUUGGUGUAUUACUCGAUGGACAUGCUUUCUUUCUUCAAAGUUAGGAAUUGGUUCUCUAGCUCGAGCAGGUUUUGGGCUGAGCAUUACUUACGUUUGAAUUGCACCAAAAACUCUGCCCAUGAUAGUUGCAGUGGCUCAUUGGGGCUUAAAGUCUUCCCCAGGGUGUUCCACCAGCGAACAAUGCCUCUUCUGAAUUGACGUACUGGCAAAAGUGGUUUGUAGCUUGCCUUUGCAACCACAUGUCAUGAAGGCUAAUUCCAUUUCUGAGAUCCAAUCCAUGACUCCGAUCGGAUCUUCCUUCCCAGUGAAAGUCGAUGGCUUGCAAGUUAGAAAAUCUUUGUACUUGCAUCCAUUCCUCUCGACUUCGUCAUCUUAAUUAUUCCUCCUAAUCAUCGGUGGACCAGCUUGACCAACGGUCCUGCUGUCGUUCCCUUCCUCAGACUGCCCGUCAUUCAACUCGGGCUGUUCAAUAGGCAUCGUAAGUUCCUCUCGAGUUUGUUGAAGUAAGUGCCUUGUUUCCUCCAUUUGACGAUCCAACAUCAUCUGGAUCAAUGUUUGCACUCCGGCCAUCGUGAUUGGCUUGGAUGCUACUUCUAAUACGACUGGUAUUUGCUGUAUCACUGGGGGCUGAUCUCGGUUCCCAUUUUCAUUCACGNUCCGAUACGGGUCCUUGCCAUCUUGAUUUAUACACUGAAUAAGGUGAAUCUAGAUCUUUAUUUAGGAUUGACGUUUAAAUCAUCCUUAUCGUUCCGAAAUGUUUAUAUGCUAGUUCUAAUAUCAUAGUUAAACGCUUAGAUUCCUAAACACAUAAGGUUUCUAGAUCCGGUUGGCAAUAGACCAUAGAUCCGAACAAAUAACAGCAUAUCAUGCACAAGCAUUUAGCACAUAAAAGCAUGUUAGUCAUUUUCCCUAAAUAAGCUAGUGCUUGUGUCUAUUCAGGUGUAUUACCUAAGACACUCCUCACAAUCAUUGCUUAGAAUUCUAAGUUUAAGUCUACAAAUAAAUCCAUAUUCCUAGUUCGCUUAAAAUAAUGCUCUGAUACCAACUGUGACAUCCCCAUUUUUACAGCCAGAAAAGGCCGAUUUUGUUUAUGCUUUAUCAAAAUCAGAGUACCUCUUUUAAUAAAAAUGUUGCGGAAUUUGUUCCCAGAAAAACAUGAUAAUCGCAUUAUCAAAGCAUUUGUAAAGAAACAUAUUUUUAUUCACAUUUAAAACAUUUGGGAUGUCAUCGUCAAUACAGAAACAUAAGCAUAAACAGAACUUACAUUCAUUUACACUAGUGAUCUACAUCUCUUUUAAAUCUCUCACUGUAAUGUGACUUCAUAUCAACACCUGUGAUAUAAAUAAACUGAGUGGGUGAGGUUGGGAAACCUGGUGAGUACAUAGGGAUUUCAAUCCCAUAAUGUUAUAUCAUAUAUAUAAUUUAGAACUCACAAAAUAUACAAUUUCACUUUAUAUGUAUAAGAAACUCUUAUCCAACCCCGUCGACCCUCACAACGAGACUAUCAUUACUCUCAAUCCUAAGAUUAACCAUUUUACCUAAUCCAUACUCCCGGAUCAGAAAUGAAAGGCUUUACCUAAUCCAUACUCUCAGAUUAAUGGCGAAUGGUAAUGCCUAAUCCAUACUCUCGGAAUAGGGACGAAUGACUAAUCCAUACUCUCGGAUUAAUGAAGAAUGAUUAUGCCUAAUCCAUUCUCUCGGACUAGGGAUGAAUGACUAACCCAUACUCUCGGAUUAAUGACGAAUGAUUAUGCCUAAUUCAUACUCUCGGACUAGGGACGAAUGACUAACCUAUACUCUCGGAUUAAUGAUGAAUGAUUAUGCCUAAUCCAUACUCUCGGAUUAGGGACAAAUGUCUAUGUCUUAAUCCAUACUCCCGGACUAAGGACAACUGACUAUGUCUUAAUCCAUACCCCCGAAUUAAUGACAGUUGACUAUGUCCAAUCCAUACUAUCGGAGUAGGGACAAUGACUGUGUCUAAUACAUGAUCCCGGAUAAAUGACAUGUGCUAAAGUUCUAUUUACUGAGUAUAACUCACUUGUAAGAAAAUACUACCCAAUAUUCCUCAUAAUUAAUUUAGGUCUACUCUUUAUCCUAAAUUAUCAUAUAUAAUCAGGUAUGUUCUUUAACACGUAUUUCAGGCAACAUCAAUUAACUCGCACAUAAACAUAUAAUUUAUACUUCAAUAAGUACUUGUAUUAAAAUCAUGUUCAUGAAAGGGACUAUGCACUCACCUGAAAGGUGGUGACUCAACACUCGGACAACGCUUUGAUACUCUCAAAACAAUUUUCCUUCGAUAAAACCUAGUAUCAAUACCACUAGGGUUUAGUCUAACGAUAACCGCGACAAAUUAAUAGUCUGAAUAUUAUUACUAUUAUAUAAGCGUUAAACGAUACUUAUAUAACUCAUAAUAAUAGCCCAAAUAAUGAUUUUAAGGACCUAAUAACAUUACUAGAAUUAUUUAAAAGCUAUAUUAAAAAUUGCGUAAGCGUAGCUUACUUACAAUGGAUUUUAAAGAAAACCGGGUUUUGCUCGGAGCAGCGUUUCGAAACCGAAAGACCCUUUUUCUCGGGAUGCCGGGAGCCUUGGGGCUUCCUUUGGGUGUUAGGGGGGUUUCCUAGGGUUUUGGUGGGUUAAAAUGGGUUAGAGAGAGAAAGAUUGUAGAGAGAUAGUGAAAUUUGGUGUGAAAAACCGGUUGCCCUCGCACCCCUUUUAUAGGUGCGAGGCUUCGCACUACACGGGUCGUUCAGCAGGUUACGCGGGGCAUAACUUCGGAUAAGGUCAGCAGGUGGCAAGCUCCGGAUGGUGCGAUGUGGCUUAAGCUGGACCGAGGGAAGGCUUGCGUAUGCGGCGCGCUCCGAGCUUGGAUGCUGGGCGUAGCGAGGACCGAGGGAAGGCUUGCGUACGCGUAUGAGCUCCAUUUUUGACAUUCUUUAUAUCCACGUGAAGGGCAAAACGUACUCUACAACUUUCGUUUAGACUCUGUUGGCUAAUUUUGAUUUAUUUUAAAAGUUAUAUUGUUUAACAGGCCGGGACACGAUUGGUCCGUUAAAAAUUCAUAACUUCUUCAUCCGACGUCCGUUUUCGUCUAUCUUUUUAUCGUUACGCUACUGUUAAAUAAAUCUUCGAUUUUCGUUUAGUUUGUGUCGGCUAAAAACCGCUCGAUCUAAUAUUCGAAUUUCGAGCUGUACACUGCUAAGCCGAAACUUCAAAAAAUCAUAACUUCCUCAUACGAAGUCAGAUUUGGGCGUUCUUUUUAUGGAUGCUCUCGGUUUAACGUAUACUACGACUUUUGUUUAGAUCGCUAAGGAUAAAUCUCGCUCUAUCGUAAAUUCACUGUUUACGCUUCCCGGUGCCGUGUCGGUUCCGUCGCGAAACUUCGACGGAUCAUAACUUCUUUGUUAUAACACGGAUUUCGGCGUUCUUUAUAUGUAUGGAAAACUUGUGAUAUAUUAUACAACUUGGUUAAGAUUAUUAUUGUAAAUAAUAUUUUGUAGAAAAGUCGUUUUCGACCCCUAUUGCCUCUAAAUUGACUAGCCCGGAUCUACGGACGUUACAAUCAUCUCCCCCUUAGGAUGAUUACGUCCCAGAAUCAUCAACGAAACAGGGCUCGUAUAGUGACUCCAUACGUCAUCUCUUCAUCCUAGGUAAUAAUUUUAACUUCUAUAUUCCUUCAAGUCUAUCUCUUAGACUUAUUGACUGUUAGCAGUACUCGAUCGUGCACCUGCUCUCUAUCUUAGGUUAGACCCGAAAUUAUGGCCUACCAUCAUGUGAUGCACGUUUAGACUCAGGUGUUUUAGAGUUAAAUUCCAAAACAGACUUUUCCUUCCUUCAUGUUCUAAUGUGAUAUAAUCAAAUUUUAAAAGGUAGCAUUCCUAGCUACAAGAAACUAUUGCGAUACCUCUACUGUUCGUUUUGAUUAAUUCUUUCGACUUGAGUUAGGUGCUACAUUAGAAUUGGUUCUUUGAACCAUGUAACAUACUUGUCUUAGUCGGACUCAAUUCGAUAUGACCACUAGGGUCGGAAUAACAAUAAUCUCCUUAAUCAUUACCGAAACGAUGGUAACGACCUACUUGAAUAAAACGAAAUCGAUUAGUAGUUUCUUGGUAACCUUGUGACUUUUCCUGAUCCAAGCGUGAGUCCUGUGCUUCCAGUAGUAUAGGCCUCUACUACCAUUCACACCUACUCAUACCUUGUCCCAAGUAUUGUCCCGCAGUUUUCCAAGUCACCAUACAAGAAAAUCACAUAACAACUUAACACAUCAAAUAUCAAAAUGAAGGUUUUAUAUUAUUCCUUGAAAUGAUUACAUAGGUGUUCAAGUUCACCCUAGACUAUGCCUCUAACAGGCUAAAUCAUACGAUAUUAUGGCUAUUGCAUAACUCGAUCUUCUUAUAUGAAGUUCUCAUCCUUGAUUCCUCGCGUUGUCGUCUGCUUCGUCAAGGAUCAUCUGAAAUGCUCUUGCCUUUGGCUUUGGCAGCAUAUUUGGCUUGGUAUCCCCUUCUCUCUUAGGGAAAUCUUACUUGAAGUGUCCCUCUUCGCCACACUUAAAGCAGUUGGGGGUGGUGGUGUUCGCUUUCAAGAUCUGGCGCCACUUUUUGUAUUGGGUUCGGUGUACCAUCUACAUAGACCACAAGAUCAUGAAGUAUCUCAUGGAUCUGCCUAACCUGAAUAUGAGACAAAGAAGAUGGUUGGAUGUGGUGAAAGACUAUGACUGUGAGAUUCUGUAUCAUCUGGGCAAGGCUAACGUAGUAGCCGAGGCCCUGAGCCGUAGAGCAGAGAGUGCCUUGAUUUGAGAUGUGUAUAUGAGGAUGACAGUGAGGACUCCGGGCUUGGAUACUAUUUGAGAGGCCCAAGAGGAGGCUGUGAAACCAGAGAACCACAAGAGGGAAUGGGUGAUUGGGCAGGUGUCCGAGUUUGUGACGGAUAGCCGAUGACUUAUGACUUUCCGAGGGCGGAUUUGGGUGCCCUCUACGGGUGGAGCUCGGUGUAUACCGAUGGAGGAGGCGUAUAAAUCGAGGUUCUCGAUCCAUCCUGGGGCCACUUAGAUGUAUUUAGACCUUAAGAGAGACUAUUGGUGGCCCUGUAUGAAGAGGGAUGUUGCUUGGUUAGUUGAGAGGUGCUUGACCUGCCGUCGGGUCAAGGCAGAGCACCGGCGUCCACAUGGUCCAUUGCAGCCUCUUGAGAUUCCCCAGUGGAAGUGGGAACAGAUCUCGAUGGACUUUAUCACCAAGUUGCUGAGGACUGCACGAGGAGUUGACGCAAUUUGGGUGAUUGUGGACCGAUUGACGAAGAGUGCUCACUUCCUUGCUAUUAAUGAGAGCUCUUCUGUGGAGAGAUUGGCCGAGAUCUAUGUGUGAGAAGUUGUAGCGAGGCAUGGAGUACCAGUAUCGAUAGUGUCGGAUCGAGACGUGCGUUUUACUUCCAGGUUUUGGAAGAAGUUUCAUGAGGAGUUGGGCACGCACUUACAUUUCAAUACUGUGUAUCACCCAUAGACAGAUUGGCAGAGCGAGCGAACGAUUCAGACACUUGAGGACAUGUUGCGUGCAUGUGUCAUGGACUUCGGAGGAAGUUGGGACACCUACAUACCACUGGCUGAGUUUUCCUACAACAACAACUAUCAUUCGAGUAUUGGUACGCCUACCUUUGAGCUUCUGUAUGGGAGAAGGUGUCGGACCCCCAUUUGCUAGGUAGAAGUGGGACAGAGAGUGAUGGGUGGCACGAAGAUAGUGCUGAAAAUGACCGAUCAAAUUCAACAGGUCAUACAGAGGUAACUGACGGCACAAAGUCACCAGAAGAGUUAUGUAGACAGGAGACGAUUCGAGCUAAAAUUUCAGGUCUGAGAUUUUGUGCUCCUGAAGGUAUCCCCAUGGAAAAGGGUGAUCCGAAGCUGGGACCCCGAUACAUCAAUCCUUUCAGAGUGCCGCCAGAGUGGGUAGAGUAGCAUACCAGUUGGAGCUACCUGCGGAGUUGAGUCAGAUCCAUAACACUUUACACGUGUCCCAGUUAAGGAAGUGUGUAGCCGAUAAGACGAUAGUGGUACCACUGGAGGACAUUCAGGUAGAUGCAAGCUUAAAUUAUACUGAGAGGCCGAUAGCGAUAUUGGAUCGAAAGGUGAAGGUUCUAAGAAACAAGGAAGUGCCCCUGGUUCAGGUUCAGUGGCAGCAUCGGAGAGGGUCCGAUUUGACUUGGGAGCCGGAGUCAGAGAUGCGGGAGUAGCAUCCAGAGCUAUUUUCGGAUCAUAAAUUCGAGGGCGAAGUCUAAUUCUAGUGGGGGAGAAUUGUAACAUCCGGAUUCCUAAGUAGAUUAUUUUAUUUAUUUAUUUGUGAGGUUUGCUGAGUAACUCGACGAGUUGGUGCCUCAACUCAUCAAGUAGAUUCCCAAUUGGUGAUGUGGAUUAAUGAGCUGACUCGGAGAGUCUGUGAGCUGACUCGCUGAGUCAGCGCUGCCGAAGGAAACCCCAAAUCGCCUAUUUAAGGACACUUAUAGCCUCCAUUUCAUCUCACCAGUACCCUUGAACCUUGAAAGAAACCCUAACGUCCAUAGUGAGCUUGAGUGGUGAGGAUAGCUAAUCUUGUGAUCAUUUUAGCUCAUUUCCUUGAAGAGGAAGGAAGGUUCAUCAAGGAGCAAGAAGGGAGGGCUAGUAGAUUUGCUUCUUCUUCAUCUCAGGCCUCAGAUCAAGGUAAACAACUUUUACCUUUCUUGUAGGAUGGUUAGAUUUCAUGCUCUUGAGAUUUAGGGCUUGUAACACCUUCUUGAUGGGGCUAUGGAUGCAUGAAGCCCCUUUUCGAGUCUAGACUUCAGAUCUCGACCUUGUAAGGUCCAGAGAGUCCACAAGUUUAGUGUAAUAGUUGAUCAACUGAAGAGUUUUGCAUUUUAGAAGCAUUAAUGGAGUGGUGAUGACAUAUAGAGCAAUAUAUGCCAUGCAUGGCCAUCAAGAUCGAAACUUUACGUGACUUUUGGACAUUAGGGGGCUAGAUCUAGAGGUUGGAGUUACGGAUCUGAUCUCAGGUGCCCAAAUAUGGAACCCGAUUGGGUAAACUCACUGAGUCUAUGAAAUGACUUGACGAGUCAGAUCAGGUUUGUCCCAGCGUUCUUGACCUAGUGAUAACUCGUCCAGUUGGGGGUCAACUUGAUGAGGUGAGUGAAACCCUAGCAAGACCUCUGAGGAUACAAGUGGACUCGCCGAGUCACGUGAGUGCACUCGACGAGUCAGGUCAACUCUGACUGUUGACUCGUAUCGACUUCUGUUGACUUUGAGGUUGGGUCAAUUAUGAGCAUUUGAGAUCUUGAAGGGGUAAAAUAGUCUUUUACCCAUUCCAAAGGGUUAGAAAGAGAAUAAGAGAACUUGUGGUGUAUUGAUUAGAGAUGCUUAUUUAAUGUGUUAGGCGGAGGCUAGUUUGAGAUUUCCGAGUACGUGUCUAUUACUUGAUAGCUACGAGGUGAGUCUUCUCACUAUACUUUACCUAGGGAGGUAAUUAUGUGUGACUAGAGGGUCAUAUGUGCUUGCUUGAGUUAUGAAUCUUCUGUGUAAUACGUGAUAUAUAUUACAUAUUGUGAUACUUAGACCGGACCAGAGGGUCCAACGAGAUAUGAGGUCAGAGGGUCCUCACUUAGACUGGACCGGAGGGUCCAACGAGCUAUGGGACUAGAGGGUCCCACUGAGACACAUAGACCGGAGGGUCUGGCAGAGCUAUAGCCUCGAGUGGCUAAUUAUUUAUGCAUGGUAUUUUGGGGAACUCACUAAGCUUCGUGGUUACUUUGUUAUGUGUUAUGUGUUUCAGGUACUUUCGAGGAUCGCGGGAAGGCGCCAGAUUGAUUGUACACACACAUCUGAGCUAGAGUUAUAUUUAUUUUGGAUCUUGGAUUUUUGACAAAUGAUUUUGAAAAAUGUACUGAUAUUUGAUACUUGAGGUUUUUAGUGAAAUGUGAUAUGUGUUUUAUUGUGUUUGGAAAUUGGAAAAUUUUGGUUUGAAAAUUUACGUCGUUACAAGUUGGUGUCAGAGCCUUGGUUUGAGGGAUUCGGAUACACCUUCGGGUAUGUCUGGACUCAAACUGAGGAUUUGAGAAAAUUUAAAAAAGACGAUUUUUCUAAAACGAGUAAGAGUUUCUAAAAGAAAAAUAAGAAAGAGGAGUGUGUACAAUCAGCCAACGCCUGAAUGGUGAUUUUCCCAAAAUACCCUUACUUUCCGUGUUAUGAGAUAUGUUAUGCAUGCUAGAGAGUAGGCUAGGUACUUCAUAUUUUAGGACUAGAGUGGCCUGAUUUGUGAUGCCUUAGCCUAGGAGUUACUACUACUUGUGAUUUGCUUUGAGUUCGAGUAUGUAGCAGAAAUGAGCUUAUGUGAGUAGUCUGCGUUCGGAGAGAUAUAGAGUACUUGUGAUCUGGAAUCCUUGGAGGAGGACUUGGGGUGAUUACAGAUGCGUUGUGGAUGGUAGUAUUAGGCCCGUACUACUGGAAACACCGGGUUAGUGAGCAGUCCAAGUAAGAAUCCUUGGGUUGCUUAGGAACAAGUAGGGGAGUGAUCGAGUGUGAGUAUACUCGAGCAAGUCUCUGAUUAUUUUGUGUUGUGUUUCAGAUAUAUCAUGGUGGGUACGCACCACAACCCUAAGAGCAAUGGAGUUAGAAAUGAUGAGAUUUGCAGGAUUAUUCAGGAGGAGGUGGCCGUAGCUAUCCGAGAGGCCAUCCCGGAGAUGUUAGGGUCUAUUAAGACCACCUUGAUUGAGACGUUCGAUGAGCAUUAUGCUGUGGUUACCGAGGCGGCUAAUACUGCAGCCACCGCAGCUGUCGCUAUUGCAAGGCCACAGGGGGCUAACUUGUUGCUGUAUCGGGAGCUUAGUAACACGAAGCCACCAGAGUUUGAUGGGACUCAGGAUCUGAUUACCACGAUGAGAUGGAUAUCUGACAUUAAGGGGUGUUUCUACACUUGUUCUUGUCCGGAACUUUUGAGGGUAUGUUUCGCGCUGAACCAACUUCGCUUGGGGGCGAAGGACUGGUGGAAGUUUGUGACAACCAGCUACACUUCUGCAGAGCUCACUGCAGUGUCAUGGGAGGGGUUUACUGCGAUGUUUCAAGAUUAGUAUGUUCCCCCGGUGGAGAGAGAACGGUUGGCCCAGGAGUUUUUGUCCCUCAAGCAAAGGAUAGAGUCAGUGACGAUGAUUACGAGGAUAUUCCAUGAGAGGGCGAUGUUCUGCCCUGAGCACGUGUCUACCGAGCAGACACAUAUGAGUUGGUAUUUGAGCAUUCUGAGAAGGGAUAUUCGAGAGUUCAUGGCAAACUCGACCUAUCGGACAUUUGCUGAGCUUCAGGAAAAUGCUCGAAAGAGGGAGAUUGAGCUGGAGACUCAGGCCAAAGAAGAGGCGGAGUCUCAGGGGAGGGAUCGGCGACCGACACAGUCUCAGCUGGCAGCCAAGUGGGCAAAGCCCGCUGAUUCAAGAUCUAGAGGCCAGAAGGGCCACACUUGUGGAAAGUGCGGAAAGAGUCAUGAAGGGGUGUGUCGAGCUGGUGUUUGCUACAAGUGUAGCAAGGAUGGGCAUAUCACGAGGGAUUGCCCCAAGGGGUUUGCAGUCUGUUUUCACUGCAACCAGACCGGCCAUCAGAAGGCCGAGCACCCAUAUAUGCUACAUCGAUCAACACAUAGAUCUGCCCCUGCUGCUAUACGAGCUAUAGAGAGCCGGCUAGUGAAAGCAAAGGUACCGAGGGUUCACGUGAGAGCCUUUCAACUGACAAAGUAGGAGGUCCGUGCAGCACCUGAUGUCGUGGCCGGUAUGUGUUCUUUUACUUAUUUUAAUUCAAUUUAUAUUGUGCUUACAUUGUGAUAUGCUUUGGUACUUUUCUUGUGAGUUCUGUAUCUGCUUUGGUGUUAUUUGACUUGGGUGUGAGUUAGUCCUCCGUAUCGUUAGCGUUUAGUCGUCACAUUAGUAUCCGACGAGAGGCGUUGAGUCGACCUCUGAGAGUUUCCAUAGCCGAUGUGUAAUGCCCGUAGAUCCAUGCUAGUCAAUCUAGAGACGAUAAACAUCAAAAAUGACUUUUUGAUAGAAGAUUAUUUAUAAUAAAUAAUCUUAAUCAAGUUGUAGUGGUCAUGACGAGGAUUCCAGAUAUAUAAAGAAUGCCGCAAUCCGAGUUAUAACGAAGAAGUUAUGAUCUGUCGAAGUUUCGCGACAGAUCCAGUAUGACACUGCGUGACGUAAAUAGUGAAUUUAUGAUAGAAAGAUUUUUAGCCUUAGUGAUCUAAACGAAAUUCGUAGAAUACAUUAAACCGGGAGCGUGCAUAAAAAGAACGUCUAAAUCUGAUUUCAUAUGAGGAAGUUAUGAUUUUUCUAAGUUUCAGCUUAGUAAUAUGCAGCCCAAAGUUUGAAUAUGAGAUCGAGUGAUUUUUAGCAGAAACAAUCUAAACGAGAAUCGAAGAUCUCGUCGAUAGUAGUGCAACGAUGAAAAAACAGACAAAAACAGACGUCAGAUGAAGAAGUUAUGAAUUUAUAACGGAGUUUUCCUGUCCUGUCCUACUAAAAAUAAUAUAAUAAAAAUAAAGUCAAAAUUAGCCGAUGGACUCUAAAUAAAAGAUGUAGAGCAUAGUCUCACCUACGCGUGGAUAUAAGGAACGUCAAAAACGGAGCUCGUAUGCAAAAGAUAUUGAAGUUUUUAAAUAAAAAUAAAUAAAAAUUUGAAGCUUAUCUGAAAGGGAACUGCCCGCGUUCGUAUUGCUCGGCCUCGGAUUGGCCACAUCUCUGCUGACUCAGAGGCCUUAUUGGAUAAGAACCAAACCCCUGCUCCUACGCGUUGCGUUCGGAGGAACGCCCAACGUUCAUGGAACGUGCUGCGUUCGGAGGCCAACCUCACCCUAUAAAUAGGAUGCAAGACCAGUCGGGGAAGGUUGCUCAAUUUCUUCUCUUUCACCCUUAUUCUUCCUUUUUCUCUGCGAGAAUUACCCCCGGAGCCCCGUUAUCAAUCUCGACACUCGAAGCAAGUCCCGAAGCCCGGAAGAUCCCGAGAAAUAGAGUUGUCGAGCCGAAACUUUUCCCGCAUGAAGCCCGGUCUUUCAAAAAAUAUUCCGGUUUCAUCGAAGAUUAUUAUUUUAAGAGACGAAGCGCUGUCCGAUAAUCUUCUUAUCAGGUGAGUGUGUAGUUACUUUCACCUUACACAUAGAUAUGAAGUAUUUGUUAUAAAAUACGUGCUAUGUGUGUGCAUGUGUGUGUCUAUAUAUAUAUAUAUAUAUAUGUAUAUAUAUAUGUGUGUGUGUGUGUAUUGUUUAUUUACUUGAGAUGGACGUUGAAUGAAUGUUUUAUAUAGCUUUUUAAAUGGUUUAAACUAUAUAUGUAAUUUAUGUCUACAAAUAUGUUGGGUAGAACAUGGAUAGAUGAAAUAGUUGGUGUGUGAGGAAAGAUGAGUUUGAGGAUGAGAUGAAAGAUGAUAUAGAUCAUGAGAUGAGGGUGACAGGUGAAAAAUGAGUGAAACCUUUACCCAAACGAUGGCCCUGUCAUUCAGCAGAGCAGGGAUGAUAACCACAUAUUAUUCUAGACAGUCUAGUGGAACACUAGCAGGCUCGCAACUUGUAGGUGUUGUGGACUAGAUGUGCACCGGUGUACUCUAAAAACCCAUUGACCUGUAUUACAAGAGGAGUCUCGAAAACGAUACUGUCAAUAAACGAGAUAAACCUUGGUAACUAUGGAUUUAGUGUCCGUUGAGAAAACCCUGACACCGAUGGAUUUCGUGCCGAUUCCUUAGGAUAAUCCUUAGGAAUAAAUGACGAGGAAUAGUUUAUUCUUAGGGUAAAUCUUUAAGAAAUUAAAGGAGAUAAUGGGGGUGGGUAACUGGGUUGAUUGUUUGACGAUUAAAAAUAAUAUAAUAUUUUAUUGUGGGUUGAAAACCCUAUAUGCUCACCAGGUUUUCCCAACCUUACCCACUUAAUAUAUUUAUAUCAUAAGUAUCGAUACGAUGCUAAAUACACUAAGCGAGUAAAGGAGAUGUAAAUCACUAGUAUAGAUAAAUGUAAGUUUUGUUUAUGCUUUUGGUCUGUAUCGGAACAUGACAUCCCGAGAUUUUCUUAUAUAAUGAAAAUACAUUUCUUUAAGAAAUGCUUUGAUAAAUUUUAUCAUAUUUUGUUUUGGGAACAAAUUCCGCAACUCUUUUAAUCAAAGGAUUACUCUAAUUUUAUAAAACAAAGCAUAAACAAAUCGGUCUUUUCUGGCCAUGAAAUUGGGGAUGUCACACGAUGAGCAUGCGGUGUUUGCGACUGAUGUGAUUUGGGGAUGCGUGCUCGAGAUUUUUGGUGUUGAGUUCCCGAUAGAUCUGGUCCCGAUCACGAUGGGUGAUGUCUGUGUCAUUGUGGGCAUGGAUUGAUUGAGUCGAUUUGGUGCGGUGGUCGACUGUGAGCAUCAUUUGGUGACCAUACGAGACACUAUUGGGGAAGUCCUUACAGUGUAUGGCGAGGGUACCCGAUAUGGGUCAACAUUCUACUCGGCUGCCAGAGCGAGGCAGAGUCUACAGCAGGGUUGCAGGGGUUUUGUAGCAUAUGUGAUGGAUACAUGAGUUGCUGCUGAGAGACAAAGUUCCAUCGUUGAGGUUCCGAUAGUGAGUGAGUUCUCGUAUGUUUUUCUCGAGGAGUUACCAGGUGUGCCUCCCGAGAGGCAAGUGGAGUUCCGGAUUGAUUUGGUUCCGAGAGCGGCGCCUAUCGCCUAGGCACCUUAUCACCUUGCGUCGCUUGAGAUGCAGGAGUUAUCCUCAAAGCUCUAGGAGCUGUUGGGGAAGGGCUUUAUCCGACCGAGUAGCUCACCGUGGGGAGCACCCAUCCUUUUUGUCAAGAAAAAGGAUGGUUCACACCGGAUGUGCAUUGAUUACUGGGAGUUGAACAAGUUGAUGGUCAAGAACUGUUAUCCAGUAUUGACGAUUUGUUCGAUCAGUUGUAGGGUGCGUCUUGGUUUUCCAAGAUCGAUUUGAGGUCUAGAUAUCAUCAUAUGAGAGUUCGUGAGGAGGAUAUCCAGAAGACGGCCUUUAGGACUCGUUAUAGGUAUUUCGAGUUCGUGGUUAUGCCUUUUGGACUCACCAACGCACCGGCGACGUUCAUGGAUCUCAUGAACCGGUUGUGCAUGCCUAUGCUGGAUCGUUCGGUGAUCAUGUUCAUCGAUAAUAUUUUGGUGUAUUCGAGAUCUAGAGAGUAGCAUGGGGAGUAUUUGAGAGAGCUUCUUAGAGUAUUGAGAUCGGAAAGGCUUUAUGCCAAAUUCUCCAAGUGUGAUUUCUGGUUACGAGAGGUCCAAUUCCUAGGAUACCUCAUUAAUCAGAAUGGGAUUUUGGUUGAUCCGGCCUAGAUUGAGGUGGUUAUGAGAUAGGAGGUGCCGAGAUCCUCCACCGAGAUCAGGAGCUUUCUAGGAUUAGACGGCUACUAUCGGAGAUUUAUCUAAGAUUUCUCCAAAAUUGUCGUUCCCCUCACCAAGUUGACCCGGAAGGUCGUUACUUUUACUUGGGGUCCCAAGCAGCAGACCUCAUUUGAGACUCUUCGCCAGAGGUUGUGCAAAGCCCCGAUGUUAGCUCUUCCCGAGGGAAUGGAGUACUUUGUGGUUUUUUGUGAUGCAUCUAUAUACGGGUUGGGUGCGGUGCUAAUGCAGAGAGGGCACGUGAUAGCAAACACAUCGAGACAGUUGAAGCCUCAAGAGAUGAAAUAUCCAACCCAUGAUCUAGAGCUGGGGGCGGUGGUGUUCGCCCUCAAUAUCUGGCGCCGCUCUUUGUAUGGGGUUCAGUGUACCAUAUACACAGACCACAAGAGCCUGAAGUAUCUUAUGGAUCAUCCCAACAUGAAUAUGUGAUAGAGAAGAUGGUUGGAUGUGGUGAAAGACUAUGACUGUGAGAUCCUGUACCAUCCGGGCAAGGCUAACGUGGUAGCUGACGCCCUGAGUCGUAGAUCAGAGAGUGCCCCGAUUCGAGAUGUGUGUAAGUGGAUGACAGUGAUGACUCCGGUCUUGGAUACUAUAACGCCCGUGUUUCUAGGCUUGACAUUAAUGUUGAUGUAGUAUUCUAGGUUAACCUUUGUAACCCAUUUUGAAAUAAUGAAAAUGUAUUAUUUGAGUAUUAUGUAUUUUAUGAUUAAUUGUUGUGAUUUAAAUGAAUUAAGGAUAAAUAUGAGUGUAAUAAUAAAAUAUUAGAUAAGCCCAAUAUCUAUGAAGGAAGUUGUAUUCGUCGUGACAAGGAUUCCGAAAAUAUAAAGAAUGUCGAAAUUCGAGUUAUAACAAAGAAGUUAUGACCUGUCGAAGUUUCGCGAUAGAACUGGUACGACAUAGUGUGACGUAAAUAGUGAAUUUACGAUAUAGCGAUUUUUAGCCUUAGCAAUCUAACCGAAAGUCAUAGAAUACGUUAAACCGAGAGCAUACAUAAAAAGGACGUCUAAAUCUGACUUCAUAUGAGGAAGUUAUGAUUUUUCUAAGUUUUGACUUAGUGGUAUGCAGCCCAAAUCUCAAAUAUGAAAUCAAGUGAUUUCUAGCCGAAACAAUCUAAACGAGAAUCGAAAAUCUCGUCAAUAGUAGUCCAACGGUAAAAAGACAGACGAAAACGGACGUCAGAUGAAGAAGUUACGAAUUUAUAACGGAGUUUUCCUGUCCCGGCCUACUAAAAAUAAUAUAAUAAAAAUAAAUUCAAAAUUAGCCGAUGGAGUCUAAAUAAGAGUUGUAGAGCAUAGUCUCACCUACGUGUGGAUAUAAAGAACGUCAAAAAUGGAGCUCGUAUGCCGAAGUUAUGUAUUUUUGAAGUUUGAUAAAUCGGAGUACGCCCAGCAUACCCGUGUUCAUGGGCUGAGUUGGGCCACGUCGCCCUACUCCAUCACUUGAUUGCCUUGGAUCCGAAGCCUUAAUGUAUCCAAUCUGAUCCACUUCGUAUGCCCAACGUACUAGGUUUACGCCCGCGUACAUGUCGACGAGCCAGUACGCCCAGCAUACGAGGAUGUACGCCCAACGUAAAUCGAGGGUUCAAACCCCUUUAAAUAGAACUCGAGGGCUGUCGGAUUUUGUUGCUAAUUUUCAUUUCCCUCACCCCUAAACUUUCCUUCUACAUGCAAGUUAUACCCCCGAAGCCCCUAUAUUGUCCCGACACCCAAAGCAAGUCCCAACGCUCCAAAGAUCCCGAGAAGAAAAUAGUUUUCGAGCCGAAGCUCUGCCCGCAAGAAGCCCGGUGUGUGAAGAUAUCCCGCAUUCAUCGAAGAAUUACUACUUAAAGAGCCGUAGUGUUGUUCGACAAUCGUCUUAUCAAGUGAGUGCAUAGUCUCUUUCAUAAAAACGUUUUUAAUACAAGUUUUGUUUGAAUGUAUUAAGUAUACGUUUUGAGAGAGUGUAUAAUCCCUUUCUUCUAACACAGAGCUAUGAAGUAUCUUCUAAACCACUUGGGUUGUGGUGACUUGGUAAGGCAUGUGGAAGAUAUGGUGGAUAACCUAUUGACCCAUGUUCAAAUCCUAGCACUACUCAGCCCUUGUGGCCAUGGAGGUUCGCCUGCAGUGACUCCAGGGCAUGAGGCAAAGUCUCAUGUUUGCAGCGGGGGAUUAGUCGGUGCGCGUAAGCUGGCCCGGAAACCCUCGUUAGGGAAGUUCCCUUUCCAAAAAAAAGUUUCUUCUAUAGAAUACGUGCUAUGUGUACAUGUAUUAUCUAUGUAUUUGUAGUGAGUAUUGAAUGAAUAUUUUAUACAGGUUUUAAGUUGUAUAUGAAUGUAUAAGUAUAUUGUUAUCUACUAAAAUGUUGGGUAAAACAUGGGUAUAUAGUUGACUUGUGAUAAAAUGAUGAGAGGUCUCGAUGUUGUUGUUGAUUCAGUCAUCUAGCGGAGUUUAGAUGACGACCACAUACUUCUCUAGACAGUCUAGUGGAACGCUGGUAGGCUUGCCACCUGUAGGUGUUAAAUGAACUUGAGUGUUCAUUUGUUGUAAUCCAUCCCCCACAUGGUUGCCUUGUUUAACAUAUAUUGUUGAGGAACCUCCGAAGCAUGUGUUGUCGCCCCGAUGAAAAUCCUUAGGCUAGGUCCCUUGUGAUAGUUGUUUUAGGGACAUAAAGUGAGGAUAACGGGAAUGGGUAAUUGGGUUAUUGUUGGUUGAUGAAAUUAAUAUAAUUAUUUAUUGUGGGUUGAAAUCCCUACAUGCUCACCAGGCUCCCAAGCAUGACCCACUCAGUUUUCCUUGUAUCACAGGUAGUGGCGCCAGAGCGUAAGUUGGAUGACUUAUCAAGAUAUUUUGGAUUAUAGGCCAGUAGUUGUAAAUAACUGUUGUAAGGCUCAUAAUGUGUCGUUUAUGCUUUUGGUCUGUAUCGGAACAUGACAUCCCAAGUUUUGUUAUAUAAUGAAAAUAAAUUUCUUUAAGAAAUGCUUUGGUAAAUCUUAUUUUAUCAUAUUUCGUUUUGGGAAUGUGACAACCAUCAAAUUCUGGUCAAGUCAAAGUCAAAUAAAGUCAACAAGUCAAACCGGUCAACUCAACUAACCCUUGUAUACUAGGGUUUACGUUAGGUAAUUACUGUACAACUCGUUAUUCUAAUGAGAAAUCAUCAAUUGAAAAGUUCGAGUAUCUAGAUUUCCUUAACCUAAAACUGUGGUAAGUAAUGAACCAAACCGAUAAAACAAUGUUGCAUACUCAUCGGGAGUGUGUAGGACCCUUAAACAUGGCUUAAUGGGGUUUACGAACCUUGCGUUGCGAAGCCGGACACUCAAAAAUGUUACAAACAAAACCUUUCUCAAUCGUUUUCACUUUAUCACUAUCUCUAUUAAAAAAUCUCUCCCAAAUAUCUCUCAAAAGUCCCUUUAACUUUUUAUAAUCAUUUUGGCCAUCCCGACACUUAACUUGGUGAAAAACGGUGCAAAACGGGAAGAAUUCUUGAAAAAUAGCCUUAAAGAACCGAAACCUUCCUUAAGGGGGCGAAGCCUCUCGGGCCAAACAAGGAAGGACUGAAACCGAACUGCUGAGGACCGAAUCUUCUGAACCGAACCCGAAGGUCCCUUCGGACCGAACCUCGCUUGAGCACCAAACCCGAAGGUCCUCAAGGACCCGAACCUCGCACAGACCUUCGCUUCUUACCCUUUCGCUCCAUUUCUCUUCUAGUCCUUUCGCUCCAUUUCGCCUCCGGUCCCAACAGCAUUAGGACCGAACCUCGGCCCAUAACCGAAAGGUCUCGCAGGUAGGCCAUUUCUUCCCGGUUUUCGACUAGUUUUGCAUUUUAGGCUCGUUUUUAAUUAUUUUAACGCGUGAUUUUCACCCAAAACUUUAUAUUAACAUAUAAGGCCCCAUAUUUAUUAAUUAAUCAUGUUUUUGAGGAUAAAUCUUAUCCAAGAAGAGUGAGUGAAGUACAAGAGGUGGAGUGUUGACUUCUCUUUAGUUUAUGACACAAGCAACCACCCAUACCGACUCCAUGACCAACCCACACCUCUCCACACCAUCCCUAGUCACUUCAUAGUCCUUUCCACUCAUUUCCCAGCCAUACUCACGUUCUAAGAGCUGGAAAACUCACCCUCUCUCCUCAUUCUCACUUAAUUCUCUCAUUUCCACCCAAAGAGCAAACACUUUUCUCUCAACUUUUCUCUUUCAAUUCCGAUUUUUCCAAGGCUUUUUCCAAGACUUUUCUUCUUCAUUUGGUAAGUAUCAUCAUCUUUCAUAUGAUUAUUACACUUCUUCACUCAAAUCAUGAGUUCCUUACACAAAUAUCAUCAUAUUUGUUGUUAGAUCUUCGAAGUCUUCAAGCAUCAUCUAAGUGUUCUUGAGUCGAACACUUCUUUACUUCAUCAUCCAUCUACUGAAAUCACUCAUGGUGAGUUUAUACCCCUAAAUUUUCAUGUUUUCUUCAAAUUUUAGGGGGGGNGGGGGGGGGGGGGAAUACAAGUUAAAACACCAAGAACACAACUAAACUCAAACAACAGCUUUCCUCAGAAAAGUUGAGUCUUAUUCACGGACUAUUUUGACUAUCGUAAACUUAAUAUAUUUCAAAACUGUUUAAUAUGAAAAUAUUUCAGGUUCAUACCUUUAAAAUGACUACUUGCACAUCUCCAUACGAUUUUUCUAUGAUUUAUAGUGAUUUUUACAAAACUGCCUAUCAUUUCAUAAACGAAUUCGGACCAAUCUGUGAAUACGAACAUUUUAACACAGGUUAAAGACUUCAAAAAAUCAUAAUAAAAAUUAUGAAUAAACUAGACACAUUUUAACUCUCAGAAUUUACGGAUUCAGUUUUCGACUUCGUAUGAUUUUUCUAUGAUUUUUCUAAAACAGUGCAGAAAGGUUAAAAACCAGUUAACAACUUAUAACUUUCAUAACACUUUGUAUUAUGCUGAGUAAAGUGUAUAACAAUAAGUUCUAAAUAUUGAAUGUGUUUUCUUGUUAGUUUAUCAUCAUAAACUGAAAUUUGGUCAUUCAUGAUAAGAUUCUUCAUUCAUUUAGAACACAUAUAAUAAGCUAUAAUAAGCAUAGUUUAUGGAUUCAUAGCACUAAUGUAUUUUCCUAAAAGAGUUCUUUUACGUUACAAACGUUUUAGAUAAACUAUAAUAGAUAUGGUUUAUGUAUCAUUUACAUUUCAAACUUAUUUACCAAAGGUUUUCAGUUCAGUUCACGUAAAUCUGUUAAUGAAUAAAUUUGCGAGUCAUUCCUUUCAUGUUACCUUCAUGGUAACAAAGCCAAAAGUCCUGUAAAUUGUAACCAGAGUGUAACGACCCAAAAAUCACGACUAAAAAAUUCUUUUAAAACAUUACUAAAACCGUAUUUACAAAACUGUAUCAUAAGUCAUAACAUAAUUUUUAGAGUAUUAAUUCAAAACAUAAUCUCAUUAUCAGAGUCAAACAUCCCAGGCUAACUGACUAUGGUGUGUGCACUGCAAUCUUCCCGAGCUCCUCUUUUGAAAACCGAGUACCUGAAACCAAAACUGAAAACCGUAAGCACAAAGUUUAGUGAGCUCCCCCAAUCUACCACAUACCACACAAUAACAUAUAAAGCACAUACUAGGCCUUGCCCACUGCAUCAGACCGAAGUCCGGACUAACUGGGGCCUUGCCCCCUACAUCGGACCGAAGUCCGAAGCUGACUGGGACCUUGUCCCCUACAUCAGACCAAAGUCCGAAGCUGACUGGGACCUUGUCCCCUACAUCGGACUGAAGUCCGAAGCUGACUGGGACCUUGUCCCCUACAUCGGACCGAAGUCCAAAGUUGACUGGGACCUUGUCCCCUACAUCGGGCCGAAGUCUGAAGCUGACUAAACAUAGCAUAAACAUAUCCACUAGCAUGAACACACAUAUACUACAUCGGGCCGUAGCCUGAAUCACAUAUCACAUAACUCCUGUCUGAGCCACGAAGGCAUCAAACAUGCUAACUACUGCAUCAGAUCAAAUCUGGAAACUACUACUAGCUAAACGGGCUGGCAUUUUGGCCUUAGACCCAUUUCUACCAGAAGGAAACUCACCUGAACUGCUGAGCUCUGCUGAUAAUCCUUUGACUGCUACUUGACCUCUGACUCCGAACUGCUGCUCCACUAGCUCCUCGAGCUACCAAUACCAAGAUAACGCUUAGUCCAACUGACCUCCAAAGGUCAACUAGGUCAACUAGGUCAACUCUAGUCAAGGACAAAAUCCUGGUCAAAGUCAACCUUCCAGGUCAACCCUACUCGCCGAGUCCACCUAAUAACUCGCCGAGUUCAUAUGCUCAGGGUCCUUCUAUUCGCGACCCGACUCGCCGAGUCAGUCCAUGACUCGCCGAGUCAACUAUUUCCGAGUCCUGACCUGUCCAACUCGCUGAGUCUCCACCCGACUCACUGGUUCGAGUCUNNNNNNNNNNNNNNNNNNNNNNNNNNNNNNNNNNNNNNNNNNNNNNNNNNNNNNNNNNNNNNNNNNNNNNNNNNNNNNNNNNNNNNNNNNNNNNNNNNNNNNNNNNNNNNNNNNNNNNNNNNNNNNNNNNNNNNNNNNNNNNNNNNNNNNNNNNNNNNNNNNNNNNNNNNNNNNNNNNNNNNNNNNNNNNNNNNNNNNNNNNNNNNNNNNNNNNNNNNNNNNNNNNNNNNNNNNCUCCAAACUGUAGAUCCACUCUUCUAAAGCCUAUUCCUUACGUAAAGUGGCAAACUUUACGUGUAGCUAACGAGAUCUAGGCUCAAAUCACUAUAAACUAGGGUUUGAGACAAAGGGGCUCAACAAUCAACCCAUAGACUGAUGCUUUAUAAUUCUCUAGGCCAGGAUACACAUAGAUCUGAAGUAGCAACUUCAGAUCUGGGCUUCUAACUCGAAAUGGUUCAUGAACUUGUCCUAAAAGCCCCAAAUCCCAUGAUAAAGGUUGAUCUAUAUGCAAAAGAGGGAAGGUCAUGACUCAUUACCUUCAAAUGCUCUAGAAGACCUCACAAACUCUGAAUCUACUGCCAAUUCUUGAAUCCCCAAUGUGUGCCUUCUUCCUUCUUCCUUCAAAUCACCCAAAAUGGCAAGAAAGCUUGAAUGAGCAACAAUGGAGGCUUAGGGUUUCUGGUUCUGGACUAUAGGUCCGCAACUGAGCCCUAGGGAAGAGAAUAAGAUGCUUAAAUAGGGUACCAAGUCCCGAAAUUAGGGUUUCCAAACCCAGACCUGACUCGCUGAGUCGGUCACUUGCUUUACACCCGGAUCCUGCUCCGACUCUCCGAGUUCCUCCCUGGACUCGACGAGUCAACCCUCUUCAACUUAGGAUUUUUCCUUUCCUUUCUUGACCUUUAUGAUUUCGGGUGUUACACAGAGUCUCUUGUAGGGAGAGCAUGAUAGUUGUGUAUAGAUCUAUAUUGGGUCUGACAAGCACGCACCUGAGCUACUUGCAACAGCUAGACCGGUAGGUCUGAGGUGACAAGUGUCAAUUAACGUGCGACGCCUGAAGAACGUCGUGUUAUGAGGCCGUCUGAGUCUUAGCAUGGUUAUAAUAGCUCACAUGUUAUAUUAACAAAUCAUAUGAUUUAUGGGUUCUACUUUCAAAUUAGUGAGUUAUGUCGAUUUAACUCAUAUAAAUUACUUUAAGUAAUUCAUGGGUUUUGGCCAUAUGAACAUUCCUAUGUGCACAUGCAAACCCUAAUGCUUGGAUCUAGGUUUCUCUAAUUAAACAUGCUUUGAAUCCAAGACUUCUAAUGACUAAUUAGGUAUAAGAACAAUACAAAAUCAGAUCUAGAAGUUUACCUUUGAAUCUCUUGUUUGAUCUUGUUGUCUUGGAGCUCUAGAGUCACAAUUGUCACUCCUCUAAUGGCUUACAAACACCAACUAGCAAGGAGGAUGAUUUGAGAGAGAGAGAGAGAGGAGAGGGAAGAUUCGGCCAGGGUUUCUUUUCUUUAGAAGAGAUGCCGAUUUCACAUGCCCUAAGGGUCUAUUUAUACUUGUAGGCUCCUAGGGUUUCACCCUUAAACCCUAGUUGGAUAAUCUUUCCUUAAAGCAAUCCAAAUCCUUUCCAUAGAUAAGCAUUGGAUGAAUUUGAGGCUAUCCCAAACCCUAGAAUUCGUCCAUCCUCUAUCCAAGAAGGAUUUACAGCCCAAAGUGUAACUAUCAAACAUUUGACACUUUAUACCCUCUUAUUUAAUUAAUCUCUUUAAGUCACCAAAUUAAUACUAAUUAAUCUAUGACUUAUAUUAAUCAAAUAACAAUAUUAUUAUUCCUUAUAUUAUUCUCAUAAUAUAUUAAUAAUAUUUAUUCUCUCAUAAUAAAUCAUCCUAUCAAGUUGCUAUGGUGAAGGCAACCCAAAAGGACCAUGCACAAUCAGGUCAAAUACUUGCCUAAUAUAGUUGCAGCCUUAGACACUAUUCCAACAGUUUCCCACUUGGAUAAGUCUAGUAACUAUAUGCACAAGUACAAUUCGAUUUGCAAUCGUAGCUCUCAAAGACGCUGUCAAACUCUGAUCUAAUCAAUCUUGUCCUUUAGAUAAGGGAUCGUACAGUCCUCUGUUAGAUAUCAUGCUGACAAUUCUAUGGAAUAAUUAGUCAAGCAUUUAGGUUUCUCGAUCUCCGAUUUAUUUGACAUAGAACUUAAUCGAACACAUCAAUUCAGUUCUGACCGGGCCCGGCACAUAAGUCAAAUCAAAUCAUCGAGCGGCCGAGAUAUCGCUUUUACCUUCUUAGGAUAAAAGUUACAGAUAAACUUCGACUUAUAUGCAUUUACUUAUUCAUUAAUCAACUAUACACAACAAUGCGUUUUAUAACACCGAGUUACUGAUGCGUUUUCGCAUUAUCAAUGUACAAUCAAUUAACAAAUAACAAACCAUAUAUCUAGGUUUUAAGACUAUAUGAUAUUAUCGUCUUGCGAUCACCCUUUUAUAUCAUAUUCCAUAAGGUGAUUCCAGCAAGCACGGGUUUGUUCCAAUGCUCAAAACUAGUUCAUAAGCACUCAUGAACGUUGCAGCAACCCUUUGCUAUGUCUAACACCAUUUAGACAAUCUACACACCAAUUCAUGACAAUCUUCAUUCAUAUCUACUUCCAACAUAUGAACGAUUGUGGACAAUUUGAACAAUUCGAUUAUUCCUAAUAAACUCAAUUAUUCUGGAAGUCAAAACAUGCAAAGUGAAACAAUAGUUAAACAAUUAACAUAAGAUAGUAACAUUACUCAUAAAUAAAACUCCUUUAUUUAAUCAUCAAAUGUUAAUUACAUUUAUCUAUUACACGUUUCUAAUACUAUCUAAUCUAUGCUAAUAUCAUCCUUCAGCCCAAUACUCCUAGCAUGCUGCAAGUGCUUAACCCUACUCAGUCCCUUCGUAAGCGGAUCUGCUGGGUUAUCUUCUGAUGAUAUCCUCUUCACUACGAGUUGUCCUUCUUCUACACGAUGUCUAAUGAAGUGAUAUUUUCUGUCGAUAUGUCUUGAUCUACCAUGAUCCCUCGGUUCCUUGGUCAAGGCAACCGCUCCUUCGUUAUCACAGAAAAUCUCCAUGGGCUCCUUUAUGGCAGGUACAACUCCAAGAUCACCGAUGAAGUUCUUCAGCCAUAUUGCCUCCUUCGACGCUUCGCUCGCUGCAAUGUACUCUGAUUCGCACGUUGAAUCAGCUACGGUUUCCUGCUUGGAACUCUUCCAUGUCACUGCUCCUCCAUUUAGGGUAAAGACCCAGCCCGACUGCGAACGGUAGUUGUCCCUGUCGGUCUGAAAACUGGCGUCACUAUACCCUCGCACCUUCAAGUCAUCACUCCCUCCGAGGACUAAGAACCAUUCCUUCGUCCUCCGAAGGUACUUAAGGAUAUUCUUCACCGCAAUCCAAUGUGCUCUGCCAGGAUUCCCUUGAUAUCUGCUAACCAUGCUCAAAGCGAAGGCUACAUCAGGGCGAGUACAAGUCAUAGCGUACAUGAUUGAGCCAACUGCGGAAGCGUAUGGUACUCGGCUCAUUUCUGCUAUCUCAGCUUCGGUACUCGGACUUUGAGUCUUACUCAAUUUGGCAUUACUUUGUAUCGGUAGUUCUCCCUUCUUUGAGUUUUCCAUACUAAAACGUUUUAGUACCUUCUCUAAGUAAGUAUUCUGACUAAGUCCAAUUAGUCUCUUACUUCUUUCUCUUACUAUCCUUAUUCCCAAAAUGUAAGAAGCCUCUCCGAGGUCCUUCAUAGCGAAGCACUUCCCGAGCCAGGACUUAACCUCCUGCAGAGUCGGGAUGUCGUUUCCUAUGAGUAAUAUGUCAUCGACAUAUAGAACGAGGAAGCUUACUAUACUCCCACUGGCUUUGACAUAUACACAAGAUUCGUCUUCGCUUCGUACAAAUCCAAACUCUUUGACUUUCUCAUCGAAGCAAAGAUUCCAUCUGCGAGACGCUUGCUUAAGUCCAUAAAUGGACUUCUCAAGCUUACACACUCUAUUCGGAUGCUUCGGAUCCACAAACCCCUCUGGCUGAGCCAUGUAAACAUCCUCAGCCAACUUUCCGUUAAGGAAAGCGGUCUUGACAUCCAUUUGCCAAAUCUCAUAAUCAUGAAAUGCGGCAAUUGCUAGCAUCACUCUAAUAGAUUUAAUCUUCGCAACUGGUGAGAAGGUCUCAUCAUAGUCAACUCCGGGAGUUUGAGUAAAGCCCUUCGCAACCAAUCGCGCUUUAUAUGUGUGUACGUUUCCAUCCACGUCGGUCUUCUUCUUGAAGAUCCAUUUGCACCCAACGGUCUUACGUCCGGGCACAUAAUCAACCAAAUUCCAAACUUGGUUAUCAUACAUGGAUUGGAUCUCGCUAUCCAUUGCCUCUUUCCAUUUUGCAGACUCCGGGCCUGCCAUGGCUUCCUUAUAGCUAUUAGGUUCAUCAAGAUUUAUUAGUGUACCAUCACUAAUAUACGUGUCCCCUUCGGUAGUAAUAUGAAAACCAUAAAACUGGGGUUGAACUCUAACUCUAUCGGAACGUCUAAGAGGUAAGGAUUCGUCAAUCGGUUCAACCGGAGUUUCCUCCUCGGGUUGAAUGCCAGCGGUAGAGGUUCCUUCAUCUAUCGACUCUUGAAUCUCUUCAAGCUCGAUUUGCCUCCCACUGUCUCCUUGGCUUAUGAGUUCUCGCUCUCGGAAAACUCCUCUCCUCGCAACGAAGACAACAUUGUCCUUCGGUCUAUAGAAGAGAUAUCCAAAGGAUGUCUGCGGGUAGCCGAUGAAAAUACAUCGCUCACUUCGAGGUUCAAGCUUGUCGUGAGUAUCUCGUCUUACGAAAGCCUCGCAACCCCAAACCUUGAUAUGUGCCAACGAGGGAGCUUUCCCUGUCCACAUCUCGUGAGGUGUUUUGGCAACCUUCUUAGUAGGGACUCGGUUAAGGAUAUGGGCGGCAGUCUCUAAGGCAUACCCCCAAAAAGAGAUUGGUAGUGAAGCACGACUCAUCAUAGAGCGAACCAUAUCCAAUAAGGUUCGAUUACGCCUUUCUGCCACACCAUUCAACUGCGGUGUCCUAGGAGGCGUCAAUUGCGAAACUAUUCCACACUCCUUGAGAUAAUCGUGGAAUUCAAGACUUAGGUACUCUCCUCCUCGAUCGGAUCGAAGCAUCUUGAUUUUCCUGCCCAAUUGAUUCUCCACUUCAUUCUUGAACUCUUUGAACUUUUCAAAGGUGUCUGACUUUUGCUUGAUUAAGUAGAUAUACCCAUAUCUACUAUAGUCAUCGGUAAAAGUCACAUAGAAGCGGUUCCCAUCCUUCGUGGUUGAUCUAAACGGUCCACAUACAUCGGUAUGUAUUAGGUCCAAUAGACCCUCGCCCCUUUCACAUGUACUCGUGAAGGGUGACUUAGUCAUCUUUCCAAGCAAACAAGACUCGCAUGUGUCAUCUUCCCUAAGGUCGAAUGACUCCAACACUCCAUCCUUUUGGAGUUGGGCUAUGCGUUUCUUGUUGACAUGUCCAAGACGACAAUGCCACAAGGAUGCUUUAUCCAUACUAGUGGAAGAAUCAAUAUUCAAAACAUCAUUUCCUAAGUUAUCAACAAUCAUAACGGUUUCAUAUAUUCCAUUACAUGGUAUAGCUUCAAAGUAAAAGACACCAUUUAGAUAAGCCAAAAUAGAACCAUUCUCAUUAUUAAAAGAAAAUCUAAAUCCUUGUCUAUAUAAACCAUGAAAUGAAAUGAUGUUUCUUGCCAUUUCUGGCGAAUAGCAACAAUUGUUCAAAUCUAAAACUAAACUAUUCCUAAGCACUAAGGAAUACACUCCAAUCUUGGUCACAGGCGACGAUCUUCUGUUCCCCAUGAUUAGAUUGAUCCUUCCUUGCUCCACAUCCCUACUUCUUCUUAGUCCCUGCACAUUAGAACAAAUGUGAUAACCACAACCGGUAUCAAGAACCCAAGAAAUAGCAUGAUUAGAAUCGUUAGAUUUGAUUGUAUAUAUACCUGCGAAAGAUGGCUUGAUCUUUCCUUCUUUGAUUGCUUGCAGGUAAUCCGGGCAGCUUCUCUUCCAAUGUCCUAUCUUGUGGCAGUGGUGGCACUCUGCCUCCUUCGGGUUAGAGCAGGGCUUGGCGGGAUCAACUUUGGUCCCACUAGAAGAGGCACCAUCUCGGGCUUUCACCUUGCGAUAGUUCUUCGAUGAAGCUUUCCUCUUCUUUCCCUUCCCUUGUCCAAUAGCCAAGACAGGAGCAGCGGGCGGAUUGGGAGUAGGUGCAACAGACUUGUCUUUGAAGUUGCUCUCAGCAACCCUCAAGAGACCUUGGAGCUUGCUUAGGGUGACCUCUUCUUUGUUCAUGUGGUAGGUCAUCCUAAAUUGGUUGUACAUCGGAGGCAAAGAGUGAAGCACCAUGUCGAUCGCCAAGUCUUCACCGAAGUCAACAUUUAACUUGCGGAGGCGGUCAACAUACCUUUGCAUCUUUUGCAAGUGCACGGUAAGAGAUUCUCCAUGACCCAUCUUCGCGGAAAUCAUGUUAGUGAAAAUCUCGUACCUCUCUUGUCUCGCGUUUUGGUGGUACCUCUCCAAUAAGUCUUGAUGCAUCUCGUACGGGUACAUGUCCUCGUAGGACUUUUGGAAUUCGGAGUUCAUGGUGGCGAUCAUGAUGCAAUGUACCUUCGUUGCAUCUCGCUCAUGAGUUUCAAAGGCGGUGAUUUCGGCGGGAGUAGCAAUUUCGGGGUUGAUUUUCUCGAGCUUCUCAUCGAGGACAUACUCCUUAUCCUCAUAGCGAGCAAUGGUGCGAAUGUAUCUUAUCCAUUCGCUAAAGUUCGUUCCAUCGAAGGUGACCUUUUGGCAAAGGCUCAUCAACGUGAAAGAACUAGCAGCAGCGUUGUUUGCGUUCGACAUCUACAAUUAGAAAAGGACAAAGAUAGAUUAGAAUAAGAAUCCCUAAUUAUCACCCAAUAAGAAAAUUAGGGCUAGGAUCCAACAAUAACAUUUACAUACUAGAAAAGGGAUGCCGUAAUCUAACAUGCAAAUAAAUUGAAGGUAAGUGAAUGACGAUUCACUAAUUCUCCAUCACAAAACUUAAACUAUUAGUCCUAAGUGUUUUUGAGAAUUCCUAGGUUCGGAUGAGAUUCAUUGAAACUAUUCAAUGGCAUGUUUAAAUCUCGAUAUGCCCCUCUUGUUUGUGACUGGGAUGCCGAGGAUCACAAAGCGGGUGUGAAUUACCAUGCAAAUUCACAUGGUGCCUUCAUUGUAACAAUCACCUAUUCGAUGUGCCGGUAAACCACACACGCUCCAUCGAACUAUGAUAAACAAUGAAUCACCCUUUGCCACCUUCGCUUAGAACCAAUUAGUGUGCCGGUAAACCACACACGCUCCACUAACAUCUUAGCAAGGUGCAAAGUGUAAUUUCAUGGGAUUGCAUCAAUUCACUUUUCCUAAAGUAACUAGGAUUGGGAAAUUUUAAAAAAAUGUGUAGUUACUUUAUAUUUCUUAUUAUACUUUUAAUGAGAGGAUGAGGUUGCCCUAUCCUACCCGUUCGGCUAACGACCCUCCACCAAUCAAGCAAGCGGUGGGUGUGAGUGUACACCCAUUAAGCGCCAUUUUAUAGGCCGCAACCUUAUACCCACCUUAUAGAUCGGCUUCGUGAAUGAGGCCUACUAACGGUAAGACUAGCAUUUUAGUUAUACAUAUAUAUUAAUCUUGUAAUAUUUUAUUAGUAUAGGGUUGUAUUUUAAACUUGUAAAAUUCUAGGGUUUGAAAUUUAAAUUUUUCUAAAUUAAAACUUUUAAUCAUAAAACAUAAAUUUCAAAACUUGAGGGCAAGUUUUAAACAUUUAAAACAUGGAGGAUCAAAUAACAAAUAAUCUUAAUUAACAAUUAAUUCCCUAAUUAUCCAUAUUUGAUUUAUUUAAUGAUUUCUUGCAAGAUAAUUACCAAUUUAAUCAAAAUAAUUAAUUAAUUAUCACAUAAGGAAAUUAAAUAUUUUAUUAGUUGAUAAAAAUAUUUAAUUAGAUCAAGAUUAAAGUCAUAUAUAUCAAAAAAUCGAAUUAGGUUUGAUCUAAUAUGAUAAAGGUAAGUUUCCAUAAGAUAAAUAUAAAAAAAAAAAACCCGAAUCUGGCCCUUCCUGACACUCGGACUCGCCGAGUGCACCAAGGGACUUGCCGAGUCAGGCCAACUCGCCGAGUCCACAAUGGGACAUGCCGAGUCCAUGACUCAGAAACAUAAAAAACGAAUUUUUCAAGCAAGAUUUAAACAAUCAAGCAACAAUUUAAUAAAAACCAAUCUAGGCUCUGAUACCACUGAUGGGUUUUGGCCAUAUGAACAUUCCUAUGUGCACAUGCAAACCCUAAUGUUUGGAUCUAGGUUUCUCUAAUUAAACAUGCUUUGAAUCCAAGACUUCUAAUGACUAAUUAGGUAUAAGAACAAUACAAAAUCAGAUCUAGAAGUUUACCUUUGAAUCUCUUGUUUGAUCUUGUUGUCUUGGAGCUCUAGAGUCACAAUUGUCACUCCUCUAAUGGCUUACAAACACCAACUAGCAAGGAGGGUGAUUUGAGAGAGAGAGAGGAGAGGGAAUAUUCGGCCAGAGUUUCUUUUCUUUAGAAGAGAUGCCAAUUUCACAUGCCCUAAGGGUCUAUUUAUACUUGUAGGCUCCUAGGGUUUCACCCUUAAACCCUAGUUGGAUAAUCUUUCCUUAAAGCAAUCCAAAUCCUUUCCAUAGAUAAGCCUUGGACGAAUUUGAGGCUAUCACAAGCCCUAGAAUUCGUCCAGCCUCUAUCCAAGAAGGAUUUACAGCCCAAAGUGUAACUAUCAAACAAUUGACACUUUAUACCCUCUUAUUUAAUUAAUCUCUUUAAGUCACCAAAUUAAUACUAAUUAAUCUAUGACUUAUAUUAAUCAAAUAACAAUAUUAUUAUUCCUUAUAUUAUUCUCAUAAUAUAUUGAUAAUAUUUAUUCUCUCAUAAUAAAUCAUCCUAUCAAGUUGCUAUGGUGAAGGCAACCCAAAAGGACCAUGCACAAUCGGGUCAAAUACUUGCCUAAUAUAGUUGCAGCCUUAGACACUAUUCCAACAAGUUUAUUAUUAUAUUAUUAUCUAGUUUUCAUUCUAUUCCAUCCAACGAAACAAGUUCCUGAAUUUAUCAAAUAUUUUGAUUAAAGUUAUAACAAAUGUUGUUGAAAUGAAACAUGGACCUUUGGCUUUAGUUGAUGAAAACCUUCCAAGUGUUGUCAUUGCUACUCGUGAUCAAUGUUUUAGGUUUGUUAUUAAUUUUUAUUCUUUUUUUUUAAAUUUCUUUGGUUACGCCAAUCAGCUUCAGGAACCAAAGGUGGUUCAAGUGGGUCCCCAGUCGUUGAUUGGCAAGGACGAGCUGUUGCCUUAAAUGCUGGAAGCAAAUCUUCAAGUGCUUUAGCAUUCUUCUUACCUUUAGAACAAGUAACUAUACUAUAUAAUCCUUUAUCCUUAUAUCCACUUCAAUUUUUUAGUCUUUUUCACAUGCUUAUGCAUUGAUACAUGUGCUUUAUACAUGUACAGGUGGUUAGGGCUCUAAAUUUCUUACAGAAGGGAAAAUAUUCAUUUCAAGAUAAAUGGGAAGCUGUUACAAUACCACGUGGCACCCUUCAGACAACAUUUAUCCACAAAGGAGUCGAUGAAACCCGUAGACUCAGUCUUCAAAAUCAAACAGAGCAGUUAGUUCGCCUUGCAUCUCCUCUAAAUUUCUUGCAGCUUCAACCUUCAAGUAUGUUAACUAGGUUUUAAUUCUUUCUUUUUCUUGUGGUUUUAUGGUAGCAACCACUACUUUUGAUUGGAUCAUCAUCACUUCACCUGAAGCCGAGAUAGAGAAGGAGAUGGAUAUUGAGAAGAUGGAUGAUGAAACUGAGUCUCCAGAGCAUAAACAGGAGCAUGGGCUAGGGCUACAUACUGUUGAUAUAGUGAUGGAAGAAAAUGCACAUGGUGAUGAUGUAAAUCAAAGUAAUGAAAAAUAUGAAGAUGCUUCAGAGGCUGGAAAUGAACUUGUAAGUAUCUAAUCUAUUGGUUUCUUGAUCCUUGUAACUUUUUAUUCAAACUUUUUACUGAUUCUUUUGGAGUUGAUUGUAGGUAGGAGUUGUCUCUGAUGAGAAUUUAUUUGAACUUCUGGAGUUAGCAAUGUCAUCAAACACAGCUGAAACUGAGAAAAGAGCCAGAGAACUGAUGGAAUUGGGAGUUUACCCUAUGGUCCUCAUGUCCCAAAUGGCUACACUUAUUAUGGACAUUAUUGCUGGAACAUAUCAAGUAAUUGAAGGUAGUGUUGACUCAUUGUUUGAUGGUAGAAGCUGUAAGUUCUUCUCAACUUUUUUCUUUAUUAUUAUAUUUUGAUUACUAUAAUCUGAAACUAUGGAUAGUUAAUUGAAACUAGUUGCUAAUUCUUGCGUUUAAACUUUUAAUAUUGUGUUUUUUUCUUUGUUUAAAAUUUGUUAAGAGUUUUUUUUAAUAGAUUGUAGCCUCGGAAUCCAUACGAGACACUGGAGCAGUUGCAAGUUCUCGAGCUGCUGAAAUUGGGUUUGAUAUUCUAGCACAAACAAUCCAGGUGUCACCUAGUUAUUAAAGUUAUAUUUGUAAACAUGUAUAUAAAUACACCGGCAUUUCGGUCAUUAUACCCCCGUAAAAGGUUUUAAANUUAUGGAUUGAUAACAUUAAAAAAAAUCACAUCUCAUAGUAUUUUCAAAUAUACAUUUCUCCUUUUGUCUUACAAUUGUUAUAUUGAAUGUUCAGGAUGAUUUAGAUAACAUAACUCGUUUUCUAAUACUAGCAAGAGAACCUAUAAUCCCAGGAAUUGACAAGCCCCAUAAGGUAAUAAAAAAGAUAAUUUAUUUUAUUGUAUUUUAAAUCAAAUUAUCAAAUCAUAUAUAAACUAACCAAACAAUAUUCAAAUUUUAUUUUAUCGCCUCAAUUUUGCAGACGAGCAUUGUGUUUACAUUAUAAGAAGGCCCUAGGGUCUUGUUCAAUGCCUUAGCUGUGUUUGCUCUAAGGGAGGUCAACUUAUCAAAAGUAAGUUAUUUUUCUCACCCUUUUAUUUAAUAUUUUUGUGAUUGAAUGAAAGUCUUAAUGAAAGUAAUUGACAACCCUUUCUCUAUAAAUGAUGUUGUGAUUGUGGGAGAGGUGUUGUGUUUUUCUCUGUUGCUAGGUAACCUUCUCAACAACAACAUUCUACAUAAGCAGGUGAGUAAUCAAGAUUAAAGGAGACUUGUAAUCAUGUUUGGCAUUCCUUUCCAGUAAGAAACAGAGUCGUAUGAUUAUUUGUUAUUUUUAUAGGAAUGUAUAACCCAUGUUAGCAAUGUAUUAUUUUUGUUUAACAUUUGAAUGGUUCUUUGUAUGACAUUAUAAUUUGUGCAAUUUAUUUUAUUUUUUGAGUAUGAAAUUUUAUUUUAUAUUAUGCAAUGGAUUGUUUUUUUUUGUAUAUGGUAUUUUAUUUCAAUUAUGAGAAAUUAAAUGCAAAUUUAAUUCAAAAAUUAAUAAAUAUAUAAAUUUAUUUUUUUAAACAUUUAAAUUUACGAUACGCAAAAAUGCAUGUCAUCUUCAUUUAUGACAUGGCCUUUCUUGACAAGGGCUUUCUUGAUCGACAUUGCGUGUCAUUAACAUGCGCGUUGUAAGGUUACGGCACGCGAAUGCGUGUCGUCUUCCUUUAUGACAGGACUUUCCUUGAUACGCAUUGCGUGUCGUAAUUGCGCAUCGUAAAUGAGCAUCGUAAUUACACGUCGUCUCUCUUUAUGACAGGGUCUUCCUUGACGCACAUUUGCACGUCGUGUGAGCCUUUUACGACGCGCAAUGAGCGUCGUAAAAUGCUGUUUUUCUAGUAGUGGCAAGAGGGAGCGGGUGAUUGGGCAGGUGUACGAGUUUGUGACGGAUAGCCGAGGACUUAUGACUUUCCAAGGGCAGAUUUGGGUACCCUAUAUGGGUGGAGCUCGGCGUAUACUGAUGGAGGAGGCGCAUAAAUCGAGGUUCUUGAUCCAUCCCGGGGCCACUAAGAUGUAUUUAGACCUGAAGAGAGACUAUUGGUGGCCCUGUAUGAAGAUGGACGUUGCUUGGGUAGUUGAGAGGUGCUUGACCUGACUCCGGAUCAAGGCAGAUAAUCAGUGUCCACAUGGUCCAUCGCAAGCUCUUGAGAUCCCCCAGUGGAAGUGGGAACAAAUCUCGAUGGAAUUUAUCACCAAGUUGUCGAGGACUGCGCGAGGAGUUGACACAAUUUGGGUGAUUGUGGACCGACUGACGAAUAGUGCUCACUUCCUUGCUAUUAGUAAGACCUCUUAUGCGAAGAGAUUGACCGAGAUCUAUGUGAGAGAAGUGGUCGCACGACAUGGAGUGCCAGUCUCGAUAGUGUCAGAUCGAGACGUACAUUUUACUUCUAGGUUUUGGAAGAAGUUUCAUGAGGAGUUGGGCACGCGCUUGCAUUUCAGUACUGCGUAUCACCCACAAACAAAUGGGCAGAGCGAGCGGACGAUUCUGACGAUUGAGGAUAUGUUACGUGCAUGUGUCAUGGACUUUGGAGGAAGUUGGGACACCUACAUACCACUGGAUGAGUUUCCUACAACAACAACUAUCAUUCGAGCUUUUGUAUGGGAGAAGGUGUCGGACCCCCGUUUGUUAGGGAUAAGUGGGACAAAGAGUGAUGGGUGGCACGGAGAUAGUGUUGAAAACGACCUAGUAGAUUCAGCAAGUCAGAUAGAGGUUACUGACGGCACAAAGUCGCUAUAAGAGUUAUGUGGACAGACGACGAUCCGAGCUAGAAUUUCAGGUUGGAGAUUUUGUGCUCCUGAAGGUAUCCCCAUGGAAAGGGGUGAUCCGAUUCAGGAAGCAGGGUAAGCUGGGACCCCGAUACAUCGGUCCUUUCAGAGUGACCGCUUGAGUGGGUAGAGUAGCAUACCAUUUGGAACUACUUGCGGAGUUGAGUCAAAUCCAUAACACUUUCCACAUGUCCCAGUUGAGGAAGUGUGUAGCCGAUGAGACGGCAGUGGUACCAUUGGAGGACUUUCAGGUAGAUGCAAGCCUGAAUUAUAUUGAGGGGCCGAUAGCGAUAUUGAAUUGAAAGGUGAAGGUUCUAAGAAACAAGGAAGUGCCCCUGGUUCAGGUUCAGUGGCAGCAUCGGAGAGGGUCCGAUUUGACUUGGGAGUCGGAGUCAGAGAUGCAGGAGUAGCAUCCAGAGCUAUUUGCGGAGCAUGACUUCGAACGCAAAGUCUGAUUCUAGUGGGGGAGAAUUGUAACAUCCGGAUUCCCAGGUAUAUUAUUUUAUUUAUUUAUUUAUGAGGUCUGCUGAGUAACUCGAUGAGUUGGUGCCUCAACUCGUCGAGUUGAGUCGCGAUUGGUGAUGUGGAUUAAUGAGCUGACUUGACGAGUCUGUGAGCCGACUCGCCGAGUCAGAGCUUUCGAAGUAAACCCUAAAUUCUUGAGCAUGUUGCCUAUUUAAGGACACUUAUAGCCUCCAUUUCGUCUCACCAGUACCCUUGCACCCUUGAGAGAAACACUAACGCCAUUGUGAGCUUUAGGGGUGAGGAUAGCUAAUCUUGUGAUCAUUUUGGCUCAUUUCCUUGAAGAGGAAGGAAGGUUCAUCAAAGAGCAAGAAGGGAGGGCCAGUAGAUCCGCUUCUUCUUCAUCUCAGGCCUCAGAUCAAGGUAAACAACUUUACCUUUCUUUUUAGGAUGGUUAGAUCUCAUGCUCUUGAGAUUUAGGGCUUGUAACACCUUCUUGAUGGGGCUAUGGAUGCAUCAAGCCCCUUUUCAAGUCUAGACUUCAGAUAUGGACCUUGUGAGGUCCAGAGAGUCCACAAGUUCAGUGCAAUGGUUGAUCAACCGAAGAGUUUUGCGUUUUAGAAGCAUUAAUGGAGUGGUGAUGGCAUAUAGAGCAAUAUAUGCCAUGCAUGGCCAUCAAGAUCGAAACUUUACGUGACUUUUGGACAUUAGGAGGCUAGACCUCUGGGUAAACUCGUCAAGUCUAUGUGAUGACUCGACGAGUCGGAUCGGGUUUGUCCCAGCAUUCUUGAUCUAGUGAUAACUCGUCCAGUUGGGGGUCAACUCGAAAAGGUGAGUGAAACCCUAGCAAGACCUCUGAGGAUACAAGUGGACUAGGCGAGUCACAUGAGUGCACUCGGCAAAACAGGUCAACUCUGACUGUUGACUCGUAUCAACCUCUGUUGACUUUAAGGAUGGGUCAAUUAUGAGCAUUUGAGACCUUGAAGAGGUAAAAUAGUCUUUUACCCAUUCCAAAGGGUUAGAAAGAGAAUAAGAGAGCUUGUGGGGUAUUGAUAAGAGAUGAUUAUCUAAUGUGUUAGGCGGAGGCUAGUUCGAGAUUUCCGAGUUCGUGUUUAUUACUUGCUAGCUACGAGGUGAGUUUUCUCACUAUACUUUACCUACGGUGGUAAUUAUGUGUGACUAAAGGGUCAUAUGUGCUUGCUUAAGUUAUGGAUCUUCUGUGUAAUACAUGCUAUAUAUUAUAUAUUGUGAUACUUAGACCGGACCGGAGGGUCCAACGAGCUAUGAGACCGGAGGGUCCUCACGUAGACUGGACCGGAGGGUCCAACGAGCUAUGGGACUGGAGGGUCCCACUGAGACACAUAGACCGGAGGGUGUGGCAGAGCUAUAGCCUCGAGUGGCUAAUUAUUUGUGCAUGGUAUUCUGGGGAACUCAGUAAGAUUCGUGCUUAUUGUGUUAUGUGUUAUGUGUUUCAGGUACUUCCGAGGAUCGCGGGAAGGCGCCGGAUUGAUUGUACACACACAUCUGAGCUGGAGUUAUAUUUAUUUUGAUCCUGGAUUUGCGAAAAAUAAUUUUAAAAAAUAUACUGAUAUUUGAUGCUUAAGGUUUUUGGUGAAAUGUGAUAUUUGUUUUAUUGUGUUUGGAAAAUGGAAAAUUUUGGUUUGAAAAUUUACGUCGUUACACCAUCCCUACUUGAGUUAUAUGUUUUCAAACAGUAUGAUAAACCUGAAUAUUUCAUAAGGUACCCACUAUGGUUAAUUAAAAUUUCCCACAAUAAUAGUUAUCCCACCGGCAUAAAAGACCUUACCACUUGAGGCUUUGUACGGAUGAUAGUGUCGAUCGUUGAUAAGUCGAACAAUGAUUGAAGAUGCGAAACUGAACAAAAGAGCAUGCAAGGAUACACCACAUUUUGAUGCAUGGAUCACACAAGAGAUCAUAGAAAGAUUAUGUGAACCUAAGAACGAUUACAGACUGUACACAAAUGAUAAGAGAGUUAUGUGAACGAAAAACAUAAGUUCUUUGACUUCCAAGUCGGAGACUGUAUAGCUUUAAAAGUCUUAUAUUUUAGAGGAAUAAUUUCGGCUUAGAAAAUAAGGCAGAUCAAACCUGCAGGUCAAAGGACCUUCGAGAUUCUUAGACAAAAAAUGGUCCUAAUAUUUAUAUCAAGUUGUCUUGAAAACUAAACGACAUGCACGACGCUUUUCAUACGCCAAAUCUCAAAGAGCGUCUGUCCAAUGACAUGCUUGUCAUAUAUUUCAAUAAAGUGUAUUAAGAAAUAGUGCUAAAAUUUCAUGUUUAUGAAAAUGAAAACACAAUAUAUAUAUAUAUANNNNNNNNNNNNNNNNNNNNNNNNNNNNNNNNNNNNNNNNNNNNNNNNNNNNNNNNNNNNNNNNNNNNNNNNNNNNNNNNNNNNNNNNNNNNNNNNNNNNNAAAAGCCACCAAUUGUUUUAUAAUAUUUUAUCUAUAUGUCAAAUUUCGGGAUGAAAUUCCUUUCAACGGGAGGAUAAUAUAACAAUUAGUAAAAAUUUGUUAGAGUUCGGCGGUCAAACCACCAUGAACCGUUAUGUAUUAUUGACCAAUUGUGUGUAGUUUUAUGUUUAAUAUGUAUAUUAAAUAUAUUAUAUUUAUAAUUUCCUUUAGAACAUCCCAAUCUGCUUAAACCAUUCAUCGUUGAACAUUGAAUAAAAAACCAACAAAAAUUAAAUCUAUUUGUUGCAUUAAAAAUAAAUUUUUUUGCAUCAGAUACAUUUGAGAGUUGUGGAUAAGAUAUUUAAAUAGAUUAUGUUCUUCUGAUUUAGUACAUAUAAAGAACAUAUAAAACGGAUGUCGUUUGAAAAAAGUUACGCCUCUUUAAAAUUACAAAAAAUUAAUAAAUAAAUAAAAUAAGUAUUUAUAUGAUCUUUUUGAAUCAAACUGUACAAUUUUUGAAUCAAACUAUACUACUUUUUUGGGAUAACUAUGAAUCUCAUAAACUAUUUUUUAAUACACUUUUAAAUUCAGACCUAUUAUUUUAUUAUAUUUUUAUAAUAUUUUAAGCUCGAUCAAAAUCAGAUAAAAUCUAUCAAAUCUGAGCCUAUUAAUCUCGAAACUUUAAGUAUUAAUUCACAGAUUUUGGUAUAUUGGAAUUGAAUUCCGACUACGUUUUUGGAAUCACAACGCCCGAGAAAACAAGCAGAAAUAAUCGGAAUAAUUUAAAAAAUUUACUCCUAUCCUAAUAUCAUUUAGAAUAUGAUUUGUACAACAAAAUCAUUUUCAAUCUCUUAAAUUCUAUACAAAAUCAGAUUUUUAUACAUUUCUACGCUCAUACGUUUUCCUUCGUAUUCACUCCAUCUUCCAUUGUUCUUCUUCAAUCGACUGCAACUCUACACUUGUUCCCGUCGAUCAUACCAGCCAAAACACCCCUUUCUCAUCUGUUUUCCUGUUUCUCUUGUCAAAACAGCAACAGCCCUAAUCAAAUUGUAACGACCCGUUUCCGGUAUGUUAAUUAAUUUGUUUUGGGCUAAGUUUUCAAGAGGGACUCGGCGAGUUCUAGCCUGACUCGCCGAGUCGGGUCGCGCAUCUUGUGCACGCGGGAGCCGGCGACUCGGCGAGUCCAUAUCCUGGACUCGGCGAGUCCGUCCGUCUGGGUGAAACCCUAACUCCCCGGGUUUGCUCACUAUUUAAACCCCAUUAUAGCCUCCAUCUCGUCACUUUCCCCCUGAGAGCACUGUGAGAAACCCUAAACCUUCCUCUUGUGAGCUUAUAAGUGAUCUUGUUCCAUUUUGUGAAGGGGUGAAGAAGGAGAAGAAGAAGGAAGCAAGGAAACGAGUUCUAGUGCCAAGAUCCAAGGUCAAGGGUGAACUUAUUCAGGUAUUUUCGGAGUUCUCUUCUGGUUUCAUGCUUAAACUUCCAUUAGAGCUCUUUUAAGGGCUAUUUGAUGCUUGUUCCAAGCUUUAUGCUUGCUUGAUUGUAUUAUUAAGCCGAAAUACCUUUGGAUCUGAGUGUUGGGGUGUUGAAGAGUCCAGAUCCACUGUCUUUUUGGGGUUACAUUGCUUAUUAGCCAUGGAUCUACCCUUAUUGUGCAUAUUUUAGCCUUAUUUCCCUCAUUCAUGUAGUUGUGCACGUAAAGUUGGAAACUUUACGUGGUAAAACAGCUUAAUGGACCUAGAUCUAUCAUUUGCAUGUGUUGGAUUCAAGAGAAAUCGAGUAAAAAUAUGUUGCAUGGCGGCGACUCGGCGAGUCGGAAGAACGACUCGACGAGUCACGUCGCGGGUCCCGAGUUCUCCAGUUUCUUCAGUGUCGAGUGGACUAGGUGAGUUAGGGAGUGGACUCAGCGAGUUAAGAGUAGACUCAGUAAUGGAGGGACUCGGCGAGUUGUUCAUACAACUCGGCGAGUCCAAGGCAAUCUCCUUAAGGAUUAAGAACAACUCGUCGAGUCUGUUCAUCUGACUCGGCGAGUCGGAUGAAGAUCAUCUGAGUUCUUGGAUCCAGAGGGUACCCGUCGAGUCGAUGCCACACUCGACGAGUAACAGCAUGUAAGAGUUGAACGGGGAAUCUAGGACUCGGCGAGUCGGGUAUCCCGACUCGGCGAGUCAGCCCUGAGUAAGUCAACUUUGACCAAGGGUAAAAGGGUCAUUUUACCCUGAGUAUAGUGCUAGUGAUUGAUUGAGUGUGUUUAUGGAUUUGUAGCCGAGGAGAUUCAGGAGCAGCAGCCGUUAGCUUUCCGAGCCACACACUCAUCCGCUAGCUUACGAGGUGAGUCUCCUUUCUGUAGGGACGGGUCUAAGGCCACAAUGCCGGCCCGUCCAGUUAAUAGUAGUUUCCGGACUUCGGCCCGAUGUAGUAGUUCGUAUGUUUGAUGCCUUCGUGGUUCAGACACGUUUUAUAUGCUAUGUGUAUGUGUUUGUGUUCCGGGCCCCGGCCCGAUGCAGUAUGCAAUAUAAAUGGUUAUGAUAUGCUAUCCUAUGUGCAGUCAGUCCCGGACCUCGGUCCGAUGCAGGGGACACGGUCCCAGCCAGUUCCGGACUUCGCCGAUGUAGUNGGACUUCGGUCCGAUGCAGUCAGUUCCGGACUUCGGUCCGAUGCAGUUAGUUCCGGACUUCGGUCCGAUGCAGGGGACAAGGUCCCAGUCAGUUCCGGACUUCGGUCCGAUGCAGUUUCCGGGCUUCGGCCCGAUGCAGUGGGCAAGGCCCAAUAUGUGUUUAUGUGUUAUUGUAUGGUAUGUGGUAGUUUGGGGGAGCUCACUAAGCUUCGUGCUUACAGUUUCAGUUUUGGUUUCAGGUACUUCCGCAAGCAAAGGGAAGAGCUCUGGAUGACGGCAUCGCACACACCACCGCCUCAGCUUUAGCCUGGGAUUGAUUUAGAUGUUUGAUCUGAUGUAGCAUGAUACAGUUUUUCCGCACAGUAUUUUACUAUGUUUUGGAAUACAGCACGUGUGGUUUUAUUACAUGAUGCUUUGAUUGCAGUUUUGAUUAUAUUAAAAACAAAAAUUUUUGGGCCGUAUUUUUGGGUUGUUUCACAAAUCCUGUGAAAAAUCAAACCCAAACAUCCAUUUUGUUCCUCCUUUGAAUUCUGUUAAACAUCAAACAAACACACACCUAAAACCAUUGGAUUAAACCUAUUGAUUUCUGUCAAAACAUACAAAAUCCAUACCUGUUAUUCCGUUCAUUUGAUCAUUUCCUGUUAAAGAAUCACCACCUAAAUGCCCGACUGCCUUCGUCUUUCCUUCUUCGAUCAAGCAAAGAAUCGGAGAUGCUAUCAUCGAUUGAUUGCCCCAUUGAAUCAGCUUGCCUCGCGUCUCACUCCAUCGUUGCAACCACCGAGGCCACAGCAGCCUCGCUGCCUCCCUUCCUCCUUCGCACCUCACAGCCGGAGGGAACGAGCGAAACUUCGUUGCUCUUCACGUCUUCAUCGCUUCGGUCUCGUCGACCCUGGAGAGGGCUUCCUUCUCGCAAUCGAGUGAUCAAACAACGGAGCAACCACCGUUAGAACCGUCGGAGUAUCGCCCCUAAUAGCGACAGUCGAUGGAAGCUUCAUUGCUUCCGUCAUCCUCCCUUCUUUGGUCGAGUCUAGCACCAGAGGUGGUCCUUCUUGCCAUCGAUCCACCUUCAAUACCCUUCCUUCCCCUCUCGAUCAAGCACCAUUGAUACCCCCUUAGCCUGCUUUUGCGCUCUCGCUGCUUCGUAGACUCGUUCAUCUGGUUCGAUCGAUGAAAAGCGAAGGCACAAAAGCCCUAACACCCCGCUCCCGAGUUAUAGCAAAGAAAAGAAGAGAAGAGAAAAGAAAGUAAGGAGAGAAAAGAAAAGAAAAGAAAGGAAAAAGAAAUUGUCAUUUGUGCUCCCGAGUUGGAGAGAAAUAGAAGAAAAUUUAAACAUUUUGUUCUUUCUUUUCAAAUCCUCCCAAAUCGGGAGGAAAGGUAGGAGGGAAAGUUUUCCUUCCAUUUCCAUCCACUUCCUUCCUUUAAUGAAACUCGGGAGCAUCAUUCUCUCUUGCUUUCCUCUCAUUUCCUCAAAUUUCCUUUCUUUUCUCUCUUUAAGUUGAACCCGGGAGCGGGGUGUAAAUGGCUUGUAUACGGGAAACCAAAGAGCCCGAUCCAUUUUCUCUUUUAACGAGUCUUUGACAGAUUUACCUCUCCACUUGCUUAGGAUGACCCUAUCAGUCCCUCCCUUGGUAUGUCCCACCAAAAUGAGCCCUUUUCCCCAAAAGUUUGGUUUAAUUAAAACAAAACAGCCCCUCCAUGCAAGGUUCUUAACAAUAUCACUCUAAUUUUCAAACAUUGAUUUCAUUUCAACCACUUCAGUCCCUCCCUUUAUUUACUUUAACCAAAUUAAUCAUAGCUUGGUUAAUUAAAUUACCAAAUAGCCCCUAAUAGCUUAAAUUCGUUAUGAAUCAGUCCCGAAAGUAUUUCAAGGUUCAAGAAACAUGGAUUUGCGGUUUCUCAAGAUGAGUUUCUCAAAAGAAACUGAAUUCAGACGAUUGGAACUAAAGCUUCAAGAGUGAGUUUCUACACCUCCACUUUUAUUGCUUUAAUAUUUGCGGGAGAAUACAUGUUUGUCUAAUUAAGUUUUGAUGAUUUACAAAUUAUUGUACAUUAAAAUAUGAUUGUAACACCGAAAUUUUUCAAAACAUGUAGCAUCUAGUUCCUGGUAUGUAUUCUUGUUUAUUAACUCUCCUUAUAUGUAGCAUUUUAACCUUGGACUCGGCGAGUUGAAGAACUAACUCGCCGGGUAGAAGCGGGACUAGACGCGGGAUCUACUCUGUCUACUCGGAGAGUACGCUCGUGGGACUCGGCAAGUAGACACUGUCUGGACUAAAACCCUAACCCGGGUGUUUGCACCCUAUUUAAACGAUCUAACCCAGUCUCCAUUUCCCCUAGCACACCCAGAGAUCUGUAGAAUGAAACCCUAGCCCCUUUGUGUCCUUAUGGGUGAUUUUUAGCUUUGUGAAGGUGGUUUGGAGCUUGGGAGAAGAAGGAGAAGGUUGAAGAGUGCAAGAAGGGAAGAACAUCUGGAAUAUACUCUGUGAAGGGCUUCUAUUCAGGUAGAAAAGUUCCUACCUUGAUCUUUAGUUCAUUAAAUCCCCUUUUUUGUCCCUAAAAAGUGGUUUUAAGCCCUAAGAACCUAAAUCGCUAUGUGUUUAUGGUUAAUGUUCUGCAAGGACUUAGGAUUUGGACCUUUUGGACAUCCUAGUAGCAUAAAGUCUUUGUGGUUGAGGUGAUUGAGGUCCCUAUUGAGUGUAGGACCUCUUAAAGAGCUUGGAAUUGCAUGUUUGAGCUCAUAGGGCCAUGCAUGCACGUAAAGUUUGCAACUUUACGUGGUAAACAUGCCCUAGGACCAUAGAUCUGUGGUUUUGAAGCGUUGCAUGUCUCAGAUCUGGCGUACUUGGGAAAUGGGUCGAGGGACUCGGCGAGUCCCAAAGGGGAACUCAGUGAGUUCUAUGAAGAUGGUCCUAGACUCUGCGAGUUGGAUGAACAACUCGACGAGUCCUAUGAAGAUUGCCUGGAGCUCACCGAGUUGUUCUUCAAACUCGGCGAGUCAUAUGAACUUUCACAGAGCAAGAGGGGUUUUAGCGUUGAAGGUUCAACCCUUCGUACCUGCACGCGGAAUUAACCGUGUAACGUAGUCUCAAAACGCCAAACCCUCGUAUGGGGUGUUCUGGUGUGGAUUUGGAAGCGAUUAGGGGGUCCGCUCGAGGAACUCGGCGAGUUGCUCGCGGACUCGGCGAGUCGAGACUCGAGUCGGCCCCAUAGUCCCGAGUGGUGAGUCAAGGGUGACUCAGUGAGUGGGGCGAGGGACUUGGCGAGUAGGACCGGGUUAGUAAGGGAAGGACUCGGCGAGUUGCUCGCGGACUCGGCGAGUCCAGUCAACUGGAAGUUGACUUUGACUUGGAUUUCGACUUGGUCAAGGGUAAAAGGGUCAUUUUACCCUAAGUACAUCUAGCAGUGUUUGACUGAUCGUUUUGUGGGAAUUAUAGCCGGAGGACGUCCGGAGCAGCAGCAGCAGCAGUAGACAGUCNGAUCAGACAAGCAGCUACUUUGAGGUUAGUUCCCUUCCAGUAGCGGUGCGUCUACGGCCACAAUGCCGGCCCAUCAGUAGGAGUUGUACGUUAGAUGAAUGUCUUUGUGAUAUCAUCUAGGUUUGCUACUACACUAUAUGUUAUAUGCUAGCAUGAUGUGCUAUACGUGAUAGAAGUAGAGUUCGAUUGUUAGGACCAAAGGGUAGUUUAGACACCCCCGAUAUGUCUGAUAAAUUUGGUAUGUUAUGAUAUAUGUGUAAGUAGCAGUAGGGGUGAAAUAGUCCCUGAGGAUCGGUUGUCAAGACCGACGAGUAGUCAGCAUCCUAGAAUAGCUUGACACGAGUAGACGGCACCCCAGAAUGGUCGCAUGGCAAGUCGGCAUGACAGAAUGGUCGUACCGGGUAGUCAGGCACCCCAUAAUAGCCUGGCAGUAUGUAUGAUAUGUGUUUGUAUGGUAUGUGGUACGAUGGGGGAACUCACUAAGCUUUGUGCUUACGUUUUUCAGUUGUUGUUUCAGGUACCUCUUCAGCGAGGGGGAAGGAGCCAGCGCGGUAGCGGCAUAUCACACACACUCUUGUUUCCACAGUUAUGAGUUUAUUCUGGGAUUGAUACUCUGAUAUUUUGGUUGUUUAAAUGUUGUGGAUUUCAAAUUUGUUUUUCGAUGUGAAAUGGUUUAAUUAAACAAUGUUUUAAAUUAUUAAUGUUUUCUAAGUAAUGUUUUAAAAAUGAAAUUUUUGGACGUGAAAGUUGGGUCGUUGCAAGUUGGUAUCAGAGCCCUGGUUUGAGGGAUUCGGACACACCUUCGGGGGUGUCUGAACUCAAAUCGAGGGAUUAAAAGAUUUUCCAAAAAUAAAAUGUUUUCUAAAAAUUGAGAAAAGAGUUUUGAGAAAGAACGAAGUGUGUGAUGUGCGCGACCGGCCGAGCUCAAGUAAGUAUUCCCCAAAGUACCCAUACAAGUUUAUGUUAUGUUUACUAUCUUUUGUAGAACAACAUGCUAGAAUAUGACUAAGGAUCUAGGAGUGAUGCCUUAUGUGCCUGCUUUAUAUGUUUCAGCUGUAUGAGAAUUGCAUGCUAGUAUUGAGUAUAUAGCAAGUAGGAUAGCCUGAUUAGGUUAUGCCUGAUAGUAUGAACUUAGCAUUGUAUGCUAGUACAGUUCCUGUAAGCAGAUAGAGUUGAUUGGGAUUGUUACCCUUGUCUGAAUGCUGCUUGCUUCGUGCUUUGUGGGACUCUGAAUAAUGGGAGUUAGCCAUUAGGUGAAUACGUCACGUCACAUGUGAUCAGGGUUGAAUAAUCUUAGAGUGCUGGAUUUGAUCCUAUUUCGCAGCUCUUGUUUGAGUCCAACCGUGGUAGGGACGAGUCUGUUACUCGAAGGAUUAUCUGAGCCUCAUCACAAGUGAUGGUAUUCAGGUGAUGGCUAAUUGGCAUUACAAGGAGGCCUGCAGCAGCUGAGGACUGGGUAGAGUAGAGUCAGAGAUUUCCCUAAGGCAAGCCUAAGAUGAGUAUAGCAAUGAACAACAAUAGUGAAAAGGGUCCGGUGGAGUCAAGGCAGUACUUGAAGAAGGUACGGAUAGAUGUGGAAGGUAGUAUGGGCCCGUACUACUGAAAGCAGAGGAUCCGUACCCGAACUAAGGAAGGCUGAGAUAAGACCGGGGAACUUGUAGUAGUUGUGAUCCCUCGAGAAGUAGCAGUAUCACUAAUAAUUGUUAAUUAUAUAUUGCAGAAUGGUGGUACUUCGAUCGAGGCCGAUAGAUGGCGGUUCAGGAGAGGGGUCAGGUUCGGGAUCGGGUUCCGAGCUGGUAGAUGAGGGACUACGUGGGUUCAUCGUGUCAGAGAUCACCAGGGUAUCCUUGAGUCAACCCCCAUCAUUUUCGGGUCAAUCAAGGAAGGGAUAGUUGAGCUGAUGGAGGAUCGCCUCAGGGCGUUCAGGAGCGACAUGGCAUCUGGCCAGUCGGGAUCUCGCACGCUGUCCUUCAAGGACUUCAGGGGCAGUGGUGUGCCGGAUUUCCACGGGGUGAAAGACCCCAUUGCUGCCAGGCGAUGGAUUGCAGACAUCGAGUCUGCACAGUUGACUAGCUUCUGCCCCGAGGGGUCGAAGGUGAGGUAUGCAGCAGGNNNNNNNNNNNNNNNNNNNNNNNNNNNNNNNNNNNNNNNNNNNNNNNNNNNNNNNNNNNNNNNNNNNNNNNNNNNNNNNNNNNNNNNNNNNNNNNNNNNNNNNNNNNNNNNNNNNNNNNNNNNNNNNNNNNNNNNNNNNNNNNNNNNNNNNNNNNNNNNNNNNNNNNNNNNNNNNNNNNNNNNNNNNNNNNNNNNNNNNNNNNNNNNNNNNNNNNNNNNNNNNNNNNNNNNNNNNNNNNNNNNNNNNNNNNNNNNNNNNNNNNNNNNNNNNNNNNNNNNNNNNNNNNNNNNNNNNNNNNNNNNNNNNNNNNNNNNNNNNNNNNNNNNNNNNNNNNNNNNNNNNNNNNNNNNNNNNNNNNNNNNNNNNNNNNNNNNNNNNNNNNNNNNNNNNNNNNNNNNNNNNNNNNNNNNNNNNNNNNNNAAAGGCCAGUCAGGACCGAGCCGCUGUAGGAAAUGCGGCAGGCCUCAUGAGGGGGCAUGUAGACUGGGAUCGUCAGGCUGCUAUAAGUGCGGCAAGACGGGGCAUUUUAGCAGGGAUUGUACUGCCCCUGCACCUGUGUUACAGACAUCGGAGUUGUUGUGUUUCCACUGCAACCAGAGAGGCGACAAGAAGGCCAAUUGUCCCCAAUUGACAGCUACAACAUCAGUGAAGGCGCCAGCACCAGCGACCCUGCGGAUUACUGAUGGCCGGUAGGGCAAGGCAGAGGCUCCAGUGGUGAGGAGUCAGGCAUUUCAGCUGACUACCGAGGAGGCAUGCGCCGUACCCGAUGUGGUGACAGGUAUGAUUCUUUCCCUCUAUUUUAUUUUUAUGAUGUUAUGAUAUUGAUUUGUGCUCUGUGUGUAUAUGUAUGCAUUAGGAUCGUUCCAUGUGAACGGCAUCCCAAUUCAGGUGUUGUUCGACUCGGGUUCCUCCCAAUCAUUUGUUUCCCUUGCACUUAGCAAGAAGUUUCCUGAGUCUUCGGGCGUGUUAGAUUGCCCUUUAGAGGUAGAAAUUGCUGAUGAUCGAUCAGUGCGAGCAUCGAUUGUGUUUUGGGAUUGCGUAUUGCGUUUGUUUGAGGAGUGCUACCUGGUAGACUUGGUUCCCAUUCUGUUGCGUGGGAACAAGGUGAUUAUAGGCAUGGAUUGGUUGAGCCCUAAUGGGGCGGUGAUAGAUUGCGCGCAGCAGCUAGUACGAGUCAGGACCCCAGAUCAGGGAGAGUUAGUGAUUCAUGGCGAGAGGCCAUAGUGUGGACCCACAUUCUGUUCAGCAGCGAGGGUAGACGAUACCUUCAGCAGGGAUGCACCGGUUAUGUCGCGUACGUGAUGGAUACCCGGGAGGCGGGUAAGGCGACGGUGAGCGAGGUUCCGGUGGUGCGAGAUUUCGCAGAUGUUUUUCCAGAGAAGCUUCCUGGGAUACCGCCGGAGUGACAGGUGGAGUUCAGGAUUGACCUCGUUCCUGGUGCGGCUCCGAUAGCCAAGGCACCGUAUCGGUUGGCUCCUCCUGAGAUGCAGGAGUUGUCUAAACAGCUGCAGCAGCUGUUAGACAAGGGAUUCAUUCGACCGAGCAGUUCGCCCUGGGGAGCCCCGAUCCUGUUCGUGAGAAAGAAGGACGGGUCGCAUCGAAUAUGUAUAGAUUACCGGGAGCUAAACAAGGUAACGGUGAAGAAUCGUUACCCACUCCCGAGGAUUGAUGAUCUCUUUGACCAGCUUCAGGGAGCGUCUUGGUUUUCUAAGAUCGAUUUGCAUUCGGGUUAUCAUCAGAUGAGGGUCAGAGAGGAGGAUGCGCAGAAGACCGCGUUUUGGACGGGCUAUGGCCAUUAUGAGUUCGUGGUGAUGCCGUUUGGGCUCACCAAUGCUCCUGCCGCGUUCAUGGACCUUAUGAACCACGUAUGCAGACCAAUCCUGGAUCGGUCUGUGAUAGUUUUCAUUGACGACAUCUUGGUUUAUUCCAAGACACGGGAGGAGCAUGAGGAGCAUCUGAGAGAGGUUUUGGAGACCCUGAGGAGGGAGAGCUUGUAUGCCAAGUUCUCCAAGUGCGAGUUUUGGUUGCGCGAGGUGCAAUUUCUCAGACACUUUGUCAACCAGAACGGGAUUCUAGUCGACCCGGCCAAGGUCGAGGCCGUGAUGAGAUGGGAGGUUCCUAAGUCUCCAUCCGAGAUUCGGAGCUUCCUGGGAUUAGCAGGCUACUAUCGGAGAUUCAUUCAGGAUUUCUCCAAGAUAGUCGUACCCCUGACGCGGCUGACGAAGAAAGCUGUAGUCUUUCGGUGGGGGCCCGAGCAGCAGGCUGCGUUUGAGACACUGAGACAGAGAUUAUGCGAGGCGCCAAUCUUAGCCUUGCCAGAGGUCGUAGAGGAUUUUGUGGUUUACUGUGACGUGUCCAUUUCAGGGUUGGGCGCGGUACUAAUGCAGAGGGGGCAUGUCAUUGCCUACGCUUCGAGGCAGCUCCAGCUCACGAGGCGAACUACCCGACGCAUGAUUUGGAGUUGGGAGUGGUGGUUUUUGCCCUCAAGAGUUGGCGGCAUUACCUCUACGGGGUUCGAUGUACCAUCUACACGGACCACAAGAGUUUGAGGUACCUCAUGGAUCAGCCGAAUUUGAACAUGAGGCAGCGUCGGUGGUUGGACGUGGUGAAGGAUUAUGAUUGCGAGAUCCUCUACCACCCGGGGAAGGCCAACGUGGUGGCCGAUGCGCUUAGCCGCAAGGCGGCGCCGAUCAGGGAUAUUUGCAUGAGGAUGACCGUAGUGACUCCCCUGUUGGANGAAGAGCGAGCGUGUGGUGGGUCAGGUUUCCUCCUUUGAUUAUGAUAGCCGAGGACUAUUGGCACUACAUCGUAGGGUGUGGGUGUCGUAUCACGGAGGCGUGCGCCAGAUUUUGAUGGAGGAGGCGCACAAGUCCCAAUUCUCUAUUCAUCCCAGGGCGACGAAGAUGUAUAGGGAUCUUCGUCUAGAUUAUUGGUGGCCCUGAAUGAAGCGGGACGCGGCUUGGUACGUCAAACGGUGCUUGACCUGCAGGAAGGUCAAGGCCGAACAUCAGAGACUGCAUGGAAAGAUGCAGCCGUUGGACAUCCCGUUGUGGAAAUGGGAAGAUAUCACGAUGGAUUUUAUCACGAAGCUUCCCAGGACCGCGCAUGGAGUAGAUUCGAUUUGGGUCAUCGUGGAUCGAUUGACCAAGAAUGCUCAUUUUAUUUAGAUUCAGGAGAGCAUAUCGGCCGAGAAAUUGGCCGACAUCUAUAUUAGGGAGAUUGUGGCGAGGCACGGGGUACCGGUAUCGGUUAUCUCGGACAAGGAUGUGCGUUUACUUCCAGGUUUUGGAAGAGGUUUCAUGACGAGUUGGGCACUCGUCGCAUUUUAGNGCCUUUCACCCGCAGACAGAUGGUCAGAGCGAGCGGACCAUCCAAACUCUGGAGGAUAUGUUGCGGGCGUGCGUGCUAGACUUCGGUGGUAGCUGGGAUACUUAUCUUCCCUUGCUUGAGUUCUCGUACAACAACAGUUACCACGCGAGUAUCAACCGCCCUCUAUUCGAGAUGUUGUACGGACGGAGGUGUAGGACCACGAUAUGCUGGGGAGAGGUUGGUCAGAGGGUCAUGGGGAGCACCGAACUGGUGCUCAAGACUACCGAGAGGAUUCGCCAGGUUCGGAGCAGGCUUCAGACCGCGCAGAGUCGGCAGAAAAGUUACGCCGACAAGCGGCGAUCCGACCUGGAGUUCCAGGUUGGGGAUAUGGUUCUCGUGAAGUUGUCGCCUUGGAAGGGCGUCAUUCGAUUCAGGAAGCGAGGCAAGUUGGGCCCGAGGUAUAUUGGGCCAUUCAGGGUUGUAGCUCGGGUGGGCAAGGUGGCGUAUAGGCUGGAUUUGCCAGCCGAGCUCAGUUAGAUACACAACACUUUCCAUUUUUCUCAGCUGCGGAAGUGCCUGGUAGACGACUCCGCAGUGGUUCCGUUAGAGGACAUUCAAGUCGAUGGCGUCCUGAAUUAUGUAGAGAGAACAGUAGCAAUCAUCGACCGGAAGUCGAAGGAUUUGAGGAACAAGCGAGUGGAACUCGUGAAGGUGCAAUGGCAGCACCGGAAGGGAUCAGAGUGGACUUGGGAGCCGGUGGAAGAGAUGAUGGAGCAUUACCCCGAGCUAUUUUUGGAGCAAGCAACAGACUUCGAGGACAAAGUCUAAAAUAAGUGGGGGAGAUUUGUAGCACCUGGUUCCUGGUAUGUAUUCUUGGUUAUUAAAUCUCCUUAUAUAUUGAAUUUUAACCUUGGACUCGGUGAGUUGAAGGACUAACUCGCCGAGUAGAAACGGGACUAGACGCGGGAUCUACUCUGUCUACUCGGCGAGUAGGCUCGUGGGACUCGGCAAGUAGACACUGUCUGGACUAAAACCCUAACCCGGGUGUUUGCACCCUAUUUAAACGAUCUAACCCAGCCUCCAUUUCCCCUAGCACUCCCAGAGAUCUGUAGAACGAAACCCUAGCCCCCUUUGUGUCCUUGUGGGUGAUUUUUAGCUUUGUGAAGGUGGUUUGGAGCUUGGGAGAAGAAGGAGAAGGUUGAAGAGUGCAAGAAGGGAAGAAGAUCCGGAAUCUACUCUGUGAAGGGCUUCUAUUCAGGUAGAAAAGUUCCUACCUUGAUCUUUAGUUCAUUAAAUCCCCUUUUUGUCCCUAAAAAGUGGUUUUAAGCCCUAAGAACCUAAAUCUCUAUGUGUUUAUGGUUAAUGUUCUGCAAGGACUUCGGAUUUGGACCUUUUGGACAUCCUAGUAGCAUAAAGUCUCUGUGGUUGAGGUGAUUGAGGUCCCUAUUGAGUGUAGGACCUCUUAAAGAGCUUGGAAUUGCAUGUUUGAGCUCAUAGGGCCAUGCAUGCACGUAAAGUUUGCAACUUUACGUGGUAAACAUGCCCUAGGACCAUAGAUCUGUGGUUUUGAAGCGUUGCAUGUCUCAGAUCUGGCCUACUCGGGAAAUGGGUCGAGGGACUCGGCGAGUUCUAUGAAGAUGGUCCUAGACUCGGCGAGUUGGAUGAACAACUCGGCGAGUCCUAUGAAGAUUGCCUGGAGCUCGCCGAGUUGUUCUUCAAACUCGGCGAGUCAUAUGAACUUUCACAGAGCAAGAGGGGUUUUAGCGUUGAAGGUUCAACCCUUCGUACCUACACGCGAAAUUAACCGUGUAACGUAGUCCCAAAACCCCAAACCCUCGUAUGGGGUGUUCUGGUGUGGAUUUGGAAGCGAUUAGGGGGUCCGCUCGAGGAACUCGACGAGUUGNCUCGGCGAGUCGGGACUCAAGUCGGCCCCAUAGUCCCGAGUGGUGAGUCAAGGGUGACUCAGUGAGUGGGGAGAGAGACUUGGCGGGUAGGACCGGAUUAGUAAGGGAAGGACUCGGCGAGUCCAGUCAACUGGAAGUUGACUUUGACUUGGAUUUCGACUUGGUCAAGGGUAAAAGGGUCAUUUUACCCUAAGUACAUCUAGCAGUGUUUGACUGAUCGUUUUGUGGGAAUUAUAGCCGGAGGACGUCCGGAGCAGCAGCAACAGUAGCAGUAGACAGUCAGUUCUCGAUCAGAUCAGCAGCUACUUUGAGGUGAGUUACCUUCCGUAGCGGUGCGUCUACGGCCACAAUGCCGGCCCACCAGUAGGAGUUGUACGUUAGAUGAAUGUCUUUGUGAUAUCAUCUAGGUUUGCUACUACACUAUAUGUUAUAUGCUAGCAUGAUGUGCUAUACGUGAUAGAAGUAGAGUUCGGUUGUUAGGACCGAAUGGUAGUUCAGACACCCCAGAUAUGUCUGAUAAAUUGUUAUGUUAUGAUAUAUGUGUAAGUAGCAGUAGGGGGUGAAAUAGUCCUCGAGGAUCGGUUGUCAGGACCGACGGGUAGUCAGCACCGUAGAAUAGCUUGACACGGGUAGACGACACCCCAGAAUGGUCGCACGGGUAGUCGGCACCACAAAAUGGCCUUACCGGGUAGUCAGGCACCCUAGAAUAGCCUGGCAGUAUGUAUGAUAUGUGUUUGUAUGGUAUGUGGUACGAUGGGGGAACUCGCUAAGCUUUGUGCUUACGUUUUUCAGUUGUUGUUUCAGGUACCUCUUCAGCUAGGGGGAAGGAGCCGGCGCGGUAGCGGCAUAUCACACACACUCUUGUUUCCGCAGUUAUGAGUUUAUUCUGGGAUUGAUACUCUGAUAUUUUGGUUGUUUAAAUGUUGUGGAUUUCAAAUUUGGUUUUCGAUGUGAAAUGUUUUAAUUAAACAAUGUUUUAAAUUAUUAAUGUUUUCUAAGUAAUGUUUUAAAAACGAAAUGUUUGGACGUGAAGGUUGGGUCGUUACAAAACAGAUUUUUCAUUAUUAAACAUAAAAAUAACAUGUUUUAUUUCCCAAAAAUCCCAAGUAUUAAAAUUAAUACAAUUUAUUUAUCAAAAGUUGUUUAUCACAUAAACCAAGAUCCUCCAAGACAUAUCUCCAAUGGGAGUGUGUGUACAAUCAAGUCGGGGCCUUCCUGCGAUCAUUGGAACUACCUGAAACAUAUAACACAUAACACGGUAAGCACGAGGCUUAGUGAUCUCCCCAAAAUACCACAUACAACUCACUAGCCACUAUAGGUUAUAACUCGAUAAGACCCUCCGAUUAAUGUGCUUCAGUGGAACCCUCCGGUCCCAACUCAGCAAGCUCAUAAUAACAAUACUCAGAAUAAAUCACAAAGACAUAAUGCAGAAUAUCAAACACACAAAUAAUCACAAUACGCAGCUCAAAUCACACAAGGUACCACUCAAGGCAAGUAAAGUGAGAAAACUCACCUUGCAAGAAGUCAGCAAAACUCGAACUCAAACCAUCGGUCUAGCCUCCGCCUAAUAUACACAACAAUUUAUCCCUAAUUAAUCACGGCUCUUAAGAGGCUACACUAUCUCACAAAAGGGAAAAAGACCAUUUUACCCCUCAAUGGCCCUAAAUGUCCAUAAUUUGACCCAAACCCUAAAACUCAACAAAAGUCAACGGCAGGGAGUACGCCGCACGUACCAGCUUCUUAUGCUAGGCGUACUCGGCUGCCAUACAUAUAUCAGGGAUGCGCGACCCCUAUGUUGCUCGUACUAGAACUAUGACCGACGUACGAUCCAGUUUCACCCUUCUAACUCGUUUGGUCUUAAUCAGUUAAGACCUUGGCUCAUAUCUCAGAUCUAGAUUCUCUAAUAGCUCUUGACCCAUAAAGUCAGGGACUUUAAGCCUUUGUAUGGCUGGAAAGGUCCCAAACACACAAAACACUCACCCUCUUAUGACAAAAAUCACAUAUCUCAUUCACGGCUUGCUCGCAACGUCUAAGAUAUGAUUUUUAUGACUCUAGACCACUAAAUAUACUCAAAGGGGGUGGAUCAUGGUCUCUGGAGUACAAUAUCACAUAAAGUCCCCAAUUUUUGGGACCAAACCUUAGAAUACUCUACUAAGAUGAAAAAACCAAAAGAGUGAGAAAGGUCUGAGCUUUAUACCUCAAAAUGAAGCUCCAUACUAAGAUAAGCCCAAAUCCAAGGCCUGAAAUCCCACUCCUUCUUCUUCAAGACUUCUUCUUCACUCCAAAGAAACUCAAGAAUGGCUCCCAAGGCUCUCUAAUGCACUCACAAGCUCUAAGAACGAAAACUAGGGUUUAGGAUGGUUGGUGAAUAAGAAUGGUGGCAAGGAAUGAGGCGAUGAUAUCCUUUAAAUAGGAGGGGUCUCACCCUAAAUUAGGGUUUUCACUCUGAGCGUAGUUGUAACACCAGUCAAAGUAGGGUCAAAUUUAAAGUUUUUUAAAACCAUAAUUGGGAUGUACCAAGUGGUAGAUAUCAUAACGAGGUUUCCAAAACUAUAAAGAACACUAAAAUCGGAGUCAUAACGAAGAAGUUAUGACUGAUCGAAGAUCCGCGACAAUACCGGUAAAACACUGUUAUGCGUAAAAUGCGAAAUUCCAAUAAAAUACUUUUUAGCCUUAAGUAUCUAAAUGAAAGUCGUGGAUAUCAUUAAGCUGUAAAUGUGCAUAAAAAGAACGCCCAAAUCUGACUUCAUAUGAGGAAGUUAUGAUUUUUAAAAGUUUCAGAAUAGCAGUAGACAGCUAAAAACUCGAAAUAGAGAUCGAGCAAUUUUUAGCCGACGCAAUCUGAACGAAAGUUGAAGAUCUCGGCAAGAGCAUCGCAACGAUAAAAAGACAGAUGAAAACGGACAUCGAAUAGAGAAGUUGUGGAUUUUUAGCGGACUUUAACAGUCCCGGCCUAUUAAAAAUAAAUUCAAAACUAGCCGACGGAGUCUAAAUGAAAGUUGUAGAGUACAGUCUCACCUACAUGUGGAUAUAAAGAACGCGAAAAUUGGAGCUCGUACGCAAAAGUUACAAAAUUUAGAAGUUUGGAAAUCCAAUUUACGCCCAGCGUACUCAGACGCAGAGCCCCGUCCCAUCAGCUAGCAGGCUAGCUAGACUCGAGUCGUAAGCGCUGACGACUCAGGAGUAUGCCCAACGUACCCAAGAGUACACCCAGCAUACGGGGAUGCUCCAGCACUAUAAAUAGAGUGCAUGAGCUCCGAAUUUUGGCACACAUUCUCAACUUCUCUCCCACUUUCACGCUUUCUUAAGCUCCAGAACCUAUCCCGACACCCUCGAUUCCAUACCCGAGCCCCAGCGGAAGUUUUUACACUACCGAGAUCCCUGAGAAACCCAAAGACGCAGCUUUCCGCAGUCAAAGUUCUGCUCAAUUCUCGUCUCACUCUCUUCAAACCAAAAAAGUGAGUUCAUACCCCCUUUUCUACCAUUUUAAAUGCUUUUAAAAGGCUUUUAUUACUAUACAGGGGAGAAUACAAGUAAAAACGUAACCUUACUCGCAUGAAAACAUCGAACUUUUGAGUACACAUUGCUUGAUGUUUUUACAACUAUCGAAUGGUUUAGUUAACAUGUAAACAUCUUACAUUACUCUACCCACUUUGGGAAACAACAUGGUUUAUAAAUAAAAAUGUGUUUUACUUAUAAAUACGCAUACGAUUUCAUGCCAACAGUGAGCAUUUCAACUACAACAUUUUAUAUUCAUGGGAAUAUAUACAUUGGUUUUGGCAAUACUUUAAAAAACGAUAGACUUUGCGAAAACAAACAUACACUUAUGAUACGUAACAUAAUUGAGAAUUCGUGAGACAACAUCUUCACUAUACCCAACGGGGGUAUUACAGUAAGUCCUGUCUUAUAACCAGAAUCUCCAGUCCGGAGAGCGUGGCAAGUGUGUAUAGAUCUAUACGGGACUAAUGAUCCCGCACCCUGACUGUUAGCUAUAGUCCGCGGGGUGACAAGUUUCAUAACGUUUCGACGCCCGAAGACCAUCGCAUGCAGAAAAAUAUGAUAGUAUGGUUAUGAGAACUCACCGAAUAUACGAUUAAUGCAAUAUCAUGUCUUUACAGGAAAAGUAAUAUUUUGUUUUACUUUUACGUACCUCAACGAUCUUCACAUAGUUUUAUUUUUAUAAUAAUACUAUACAACAACAUUUUGAACAUGGUAUAGUGCUUAUAGUUUACAGUCUUGAACAUUUAAAGACCGCAUUUAUACAUUUAGGAAAGUAAGGGAUUUUUCCUGUUUCAAAACAUACAUUACACACGUGAAAUGAUUUACUACACAACUUGUAAGAAAAUAUGGGAUUUUCUGGAAAUACAUACAUGAACUUUCGAAUGGCAUACAUUUAUUCAAACCACUACUUAUGAACUCACCAACUUAAUUGUUGACACUUUUUCUUUGAAAUAACUUGUGUUCUCAGGGAAUCACUAAGGCAGGUUGUCAGAAAUCUUUUGAAGCUUAACGCGAUGACGUUACUUGCAUAUUUUUGAAUCAUGAUUUGUGUAAUCAACUUUUGAACUUGUAUUGAUACAAUCAUGUAAACUUUUCAACUAAUGUAAUAUGGUGGUGUGUACUUUCUUUACUAUACAAUUGUAGUGAUACUAGACAUGACAUCAUCCACCCCCGGACGUUUCCGCCAUUCAGGUUUGCAGGUGUGACACUAGUACUCCCAGCGUAAUAGGAAUUGAGUUCAUUUGAGUGUUCUAAGCCUAGUACGUAGGGUUGGUGACUGAGAAUGGUGGCAAGAAAUUGAGUCCGUUUGAGUGUUCUAAACCUAGUAUAUCCAAAGAUCGGGUAUUAGGAAGUAUCUGCUUGAGUCCAUUAUGCACUAGCCAAGCCUUAAACUUCAUCAUGUGGAGUUUACGGCUACAUCACCAUGAGUUUACGACCGUAAACUCAUGAAGGCCAUAAACUCAUGCCUUAUACAUGAUGUUCUUUCAUUUCUUCCUCAUUAUUCACCAUUUCAACCUCAAGAACUUGAUUUCUCUCUCAAGUAUCAUAAGGAUCUUCAUUUAGAUCUUCAAAAAUGUAAGUGUUUCAUCCUUUGAUUUGUUGAUACAUCUCCUUAACUAGUAUCACCCUUUGAUUUCAUCCAUUAACUUCACCUUUUGGGUUUAAUCUUCAAGAACUCCAAGAAAGCCAAGAACACACUAGUGUUUUGGACCGAAAUCAACCCUUUUAGCUUCCUUAUCGUAAGUAUCUCUUCCCUAUACUUUUUAUCUAGUAGGAACCAUUGAUUUGCACCUUGAAAACAUCUAUUUCCCAAGAGCAAUAGGAGUUUAUGGCCAAGAGCAUCUCCCUUGGCCGUAAACCCUUGUUAAAGGUGCAUUUGUUGGCCAUAAACUACCUAAAGCUAAGCAUUGAACCUAGAACACUUCCUUGAUGCUUGAAAGGACUUUAAAUCACUCAUUGGCACAAAACUUUAUGAUUUUACGACCGUAAACUCAUAGGGCCAUAAACCCUAUGGCCGAAAACUCUCAAGAAGCAUACCAUUUUGGUCGUAAACACCAUAUUAUGGCCAUACUCCUUGUAUAUACAAUUAUAUGUGAUUUGUAACCCUUCCAUCCAAGUGUAUCCUAGUCUCUAAGGUGUAUUCCCUUACAAGAUGAGUUGUAUAAACACUAAUUAUAUACAUAUAUUUGUUAUUAUAUGCUUAUUAGGAUCCGCUUGUGCCUGAGAUUUCACUUAGCACUCAACAUCCUUUUCCAAUCUUACAGUCAAAACCACUCACUACAGGUGAGUGGGGGGGUGGGGAAUACAAGUAGAAAAAACAUUAUAGUUAUUAUAUCAAUCACAUGUGAUUAAUAACUAUCAAACAUGCAGAUUUCUUAUACUUCAAACUGUGUUUCCAAACAAUUUGCUUCAAAUAGUUUUACAAAAUCUUUUAUAUGCAACACUCCUUAUUAAACUCUUUCAAACUUAUAUUUUGUCAAAAUCAUGUUUAUAUGGAUAUAGUUAUAUAAGUAGGAUUGAAAGGACUUCGGACUGAUAACUCGCCUUAUUUCCUGUUCCUUGUUUGGUUGUGGACUUAGUGUACUGAUUGUUUGUCCGAAGGUCAUUUAAAUCUUAGUUAUAUAUUAUGUGUGUAUAUAGAUAUGAAAGUUCUCCAUUCAGUUCUAUACCUUUGGGUAGCAACAGUGUACAAACAUGUUCAUUCAUGUAAAAAACAUUUCUAGUAAACUAUAAUAGGUAUAGUUUAGGAUGUCUCUAAUACUAUUGCUAGAACAAUGAAACAUACAAGAGUCAGUUCAUACAUGAGUCAGUUCAAACAUACUAUAAUGGGAUACAAUACUCACUAUAAAGAGAAGCAGUGCAUACUAUAACGAGAAACAAUACAUACUACACACUAUACACUAGAGAACAUACUAUAUACUAGACAUAGAGAACAUACUAAUACAAAUACAAGAAUACUAUAACAUUAAUGUGAGCCUCUACUUCAUGUCAUGACAAUCUACUGCUGUGUCACGUUUUGUAACCAGAGUCUCCUGGAAGGAGAGCGUGAAUUUGUGUAUAGAUGUAUACGGGACUGACCGUCUUACACCUUGCUGCUAGCUAAGUGGGACCAGAAAGUCUACGGGCGACGAAUGUCAUACCAUUUCGAUGUCUUCGAGCGUCAUGUUUUACUAGUCGAUUAAGUAUGGUUACAAUCAUAUCACAUUUUAACUUAAUUAACAAAUUGGUUUAAGGUAGUUAGUACAUUGGUAGUUAUUUAUAGAAUACUAUAAUACGUCGUUAUUUUCCCAUUGCAUUCACAUUGUGAUCUUCUCACAUAAACGGGAAUGUAAACUAUAUUUUGGUAAUAAUAGUCAUACUUGGGAAAGAUACACAUUUUUACAAACAACACAACACACAGAACAUCCGGGCCUUGGUAGAAGGCUACCUUAUUGUAACAACGUGAAUUUCAAAAACAAAAAUUUCAUUUUGUCACAACCAUUUCACAUAAAAUGUUUUAUAAAAUAUCCAGUAAUAGUUAUCAAAACAUAUCCUAUCCCAAGAUCACAAAAGUCAAAUCCUCUCUCUAGUGUGUACGAGUCACGUCGGCGCCUUUCCACGGUCCUUGCUAGUACAUGAAACACAUAACACAACAAUUGUAAGCAUAAAUGCUUAGUGAGUUCCCCAAAAUACCCUUACACACAUACGCCUUUCCAGGCCAUACUCUACACGACCUUCCAGUCCAUGUGUCUCAGGGGACUUUCGUCCCAGUCCAGUAGACCUUCCGGUCCUACUCGUAUCGACCUUCCGGUCCACGUCAUAAUGCCUUCCGGCCCAUAUCAUACAUAGCAUACAUAUCACAUACAUAACGCAUAAAAACAUGCAACUCAUAGCAUACAAGACCUUCCGGUCACACAUAGGUACCUUUCCAGGUACAAUAUAGUGAGAAGACUCACCUCUGAUAUCUCAGUAAGUCUCUGUCUCGGUAGAAAUGUGAUCUAGCCUCCUCCUAAUCACAUAAAGCAAAUACUCCCAUAAAUAUAACUAUACUCCAACCUUUCUUAACAUCCUCAGAAGGGUAAAAGACCAUUUUACCCCUCCCCUGGCUCAAAGGCCUCACUGUUGACCAAACCCUAAAGUCAACAAAAGUCAACUGUCAAACUUUUUCCCGACUCGUCGAGUGCACUUGGGCGACUCGGCGAGUCUACACGUGUCCACUGAUUCUCUUAGUCCCUCUCUUGGCACACCGAGUCCUUCUCUUUACUCGACGAGUCACACCUGGCAUGAAUCGUGGGGCCACCCCGACUCAACUCGCCGAGUCUCAAGAACAACUCGGCGAGUACCGCCUUGAACCCCAGUCCUCUAAUCCCCUUCUAACUCACUGGGUUAUCCCCCAACUCGAAAAGUCUACUCACAGAGCUAUUCAUGUGAAAACCUAACCCGACUCGUCGAGUCUCAAGAACAACUCAGCGAGUUCAUGCCAUGCACCAUCUCUAUUGACCUCCUGGGGUCAGAUAUGUGCCCCUAAUCCACAGAUCUGGCCAUCCCAAGCACGAAAGUCAUGUAAAGCUCGAAACUUGAUGCUUAUAUAUUAACAUAAUGGCAUCAAAUGGUGAUUUAGUCCCAAAAAUGGCAACCUAAGUCCAAUAACCCCAAAAUGACUCACAAAGCUCCAUGGGUUAAAGUCUCUGGACCCCUUUGAGUCCAGAUCCAAAGCACAAACUCGAGAGGGGACUAAAUACUCUACAUAUUCUUCUUCUAAAGGGUUUAAAAACCCUAACUCUAUGAAUCAACACCCAAAACUGGAGAAGGUCCGAAGGAUUACCUUAAUAUGAAGCCUUUGAUCUCUGAAGACACUAGAUUUGCACUUCCUUCAGCCUUCUUUCGCCUUGGUCACCUUCUCCUUCAAAUUUCACCAACAAAUAAUCAACAAUGGUCUCUCUUCUCCUCACAAGCGAUCUAGGACUCUCUCUCUGGGGUGUGUUAGCCAUAAUGGACGGCCAUAAGGGCCUUUAAAUAGGUCUCAAACCCUAGAAAUUAGGGUUUCAUUAAACAAGCGUGGACUCGCCGAGUCCACUCAUGAACUCGCCGAGUCCAGCUGUGAACUCACAUCCGAAUCCGCGACCAUACUUGGCGAGUCUAGACGCCAACUCGCCGAGUUCCCCCACAAAACAAAAAAUAAAGGAACACAAUCUCAUACCUGGGAAUCCAGGUGCUACACUUAUUAGUAGAAAAUAUAGGAUUUUCUAGGCGAUACAAACAUUCACUACAAACACUUACAAACAUUUAUAUCUAACAUUUUCAUACAAGAAAUGACAUUAAAAUACUUAUGAACUCACUAGCUUAAAUGCUGAUCUACACUUUCAAAAUAACUUGUAUUCUCAGGUCACCAAUAGUCAGGUGCCGAUGAUCAGGUUUUGAGAAGAUGGAGCACAUUCAAGACUCAUCUCUUAUUUUGAUUCAUAAUUUUGGUGUCUUAAUAACUUUACAUGACACACAUGUAUUAAAAAUUAUAUUAUUAAUGCAAUGGAUGAUGUUGUUGCUUGUUUUACUAUUAUGCAUUAUUGUGAUACUGUACAUGACAUCCUCCGCCCCCGAACGUUUCCGCCGUUCAGGUUUUGGGGUGUGACAGCUUACGCAUCAAAAUCACGCAUAUGAGUACGCUGAGCGUACACUCGCGUACGCCCUGAGUACUCAUUCACCACCUUUUCUCAUAAAGGGACUAAAAUGGUCAAAUACUCAAAAGACCAAGGGUUACGAGGUAGACCUGAUCUCGGGAUGUUACAAUUCUCCCCCACUAGGAUCAGACUUCGCCCUCGAAGUCAUGAUCCGAAAAAAAAUCGGGAUAUUUCUCUCGCAUUUCUGACUCCGGCUCCCAAGUCUACUCGGACCCUUUACGAUGUUGCCACUGCACUCGAACCAGUGGCACCUCUUUGCUCCUCAGAACCUUCACCUUCCGAUCCAAAAUCGCGAUCGGCCUCUUGAUGUAAUUCAGGCUUGUAUCCACCCGAAUGUAUUCUAAGGGUACCACUGUCGUCUCAUCGGCUACACACUUCCUCAACUGGGACACGUGGAAGGUGUUAUGAAUCUGACUCAACUCUGCAUGUAACUCCAAUCGGUAAGCUACCCUACCCACUCUGGUGGUCACUCUGAAAGGAACGAUGUGUCAGGGCCCAACUUGCCCCGCUUCCGGAAUCGGAUCACCCCUUUCCAUGGGGAUACCUUCAAGAGUACAAAAUCCCUGACCUGGAACUCCAACUCGGAUUGCCGCAUGUCUGCAUAACUCUUCUAGUGACUCUGGGUGGUCAGUAACCUCUGUCUAACCUGCUGAAUCUACUCAGUCAUCUUCAUCACUAUCUCAGUGCCACCCAUCACUCGCUAUCUUACCUCUCCCCAACAAAUGGGAGUUCGACACCUCCUCCCAUAAAUAAGCUCAAAGGGAGGCAUACCAAUACUUGAAUGAUGGUUUUUGUUGUAAGAAAACUUAGCCAAGGGAAGAUAAGUGUCCCAACUUCCUCCGAAGUCCACCACACAUGCUCAUAGCAUGUCCUCAAGCGUCUGAAUCAUCCGCUCGCUCUGUUUGUUUGUCUGUGGAUGGUAUGCGGUGUUGAAGUGCAACUGUGUACCCAACUCCUCAUGAAAUUUCUUCCAGAACUUGGAAGCAAAAGUGUACAUCUCGGUCUAACACUAUCAAGGUCAGCACUCCAUGCCGAGCUACCACCUCCCUCACAUAAAUCUCGACCAGUCUUUCCGCAGAAGAACUUUCACUAAUAGCAAGGAAGUGAGCACUCUUCGUUAACAGGUCCAAAAUCACCCAAAUCGGAUCAACCCCAUGCGCAACUCUCGAUAACUUGGUGAUAACUCCAUAGAAAUAUGUUCCCACUUCCAUCGGGGAAUCUCCAGAGGCUGCAAUGGACCAUGUGGUCGCUGGUGCUCCGCCUUAACCCGACGACUGGUCAAACACCUCUCUACAACCCAAGUCACGUCCCUCUUCAUACAGGGCCACCAAUAGUCCUUCUUUAGGUCCAAAUACAUCUUAGUAGCCCCCGGCUGGAUCUACAAUCUCGAUCUAUGUGCCUCCUCCAUCAGAAUACGGCGAGCUCCACCUGUAUAGGGCACCUAAAUCUGCCUGUGGAAGGUCAUAAGCCCAUGACUGUCCGUCACGAACUCGGGCGCCUGCCCAACCACACGCUCUCUCUUGCAGUUCUCCGACCUCAUAGCCUCCACCUGGGCCUCUCGGAUGGUAUCUAAGACUGGAAUCAUCACUAUCAUCCUCAAACACAUUUUUCGGAUUAGAGAACUCUUUGCUCUGCGGCUCAAGGCAUUGACUACCACAUUAGCCUUGCAUGGGUGGUAUAAGAUCUCACAGUCGUAGUCUUUCACUACAUCCAAUGAUCUCCUCUGCCUCAUAUUUAGAUUGGGCCAAUACAUCAGACACUUCAGGUUGUUAUGGUCUAUGUAUAUGGUACACCGGACACCAUAAAGAUAGUGGCGCCAAAUCUUGAGGGCGAACACCACUGCCCCUAAAUCCAAAUCAUGAGUGGGGUAUCUCGUCUCAUGAGGCUUCAGCUGCCUCGACGCAUAUGCUAUCAUAUGACCCCUCUGCAUCAACACUAUAGCCAUCUCCGAAAUGGACGCAUCACAGAAAACUACGAACUCCUCCACUCCCUCUGGAAGAUCCAAUACAAGAGCUUCGCACAAUCUCUGGUGAAGAGUCUCGAAUGAUGCCUGCUACUCAGGCCCCCAAACAAAUGCAACGCCCUUCCGGGUCAAUCUGGUGAGAGGAACGACAAUCUUGGAGAAAUCCUUGAUAAAUCUCUGAUAGUAGCCGGCCAAUCCCAGAAAACUCAUGAUUUUAGAUGAGGAACUCAGCACCUCCCAUUGCAUGACGACCUCAAUCUUGGCCGGAUCGACCAAAAUCCCAUUCUGAUUAACGAGGUGUCCCAGGAACUGGACCUCUCAUAACCAAAAAUUACACUUGGAGAAUUUAGCACACAGCCUCUCCGACCUCAAUACCCCAGGAACCUCACGCAGAUGCUCCUCAUGCUGCUCCCUGGACCUCGAAUAUACCAAGAUGUCGUCGAUGAACACGAUCACCGACCGGUCCAACAUAGGCCUGCCCACCCAGUUAAUGAGAUCCAUGAACGUUGUUGGUGGAUUGGUGAGCCUGAAAGGCAUCACCACAAACUCGUAAUGCCCAUAACGAGUCCUGAAGGCCGUCUUCUAAAUAUCCUCCUCUCGUACCCUCAACUGUGAUACCCAAAUCUCAAAUCAAUCUUGGAAAACCAAGAUGCCCCCUGCAACUGAUCGAACAAAUCGUUGAUCCUCGGAAGUGGAUAACGGUUCUUGACAGUUAGCUUGUUCAACUCCCGGUAACCAAUGCACAUUCGGUGUAAACCAUCCUUUUUCCUGACAAAAAGGAUCGGCGCUCUCCACGGUGAGCUAUACGGUCGAAUAAAUCCCUUCACCAACAGCUCCUGAAGCUAUGAGGAUAACUCCUGCAUCUCUGGUGGCGCAAGGCGAUAAGGUGCCUUGGCGAUUGGCGCCACUCCUAAAACCAAGUCAAUACGAAACUCCACUUGCCUCUCAGGAGGCACACCCGAUAACUCCUUGGGUAACACAUUAAGAAACUCGCACACUAUCGGAACCUCGGAAAUAGAACUCGACCUCUCUGACACAAUUCACAUAUCCAUCACGUACGCCAAGAAACCCCUUCACCCCCACUGUAAACUCUGCCUUACCUUGGCAGAAGAGCAGAAGGCUGACCCGGAUCUGGUACCCUCACCAUACACGGUAAGUACUCCCCCAUUGGGGUCUCGUAUAGUCACCAACUGACGCUCGUAGUCGAUCACUGCUCCAAAACGACUCAACCAAUCCAUGCCCAUAAUGACACAGGUACCAGGUCAAUCGGAAACUCGACACCAAAAAUCUCCAGCACACAUCCCCAUAACACAUCAGCAACAAAAACCGCAUGCUCAUCGGCUAUAGAAACCCUCAAAGGUCGACUCAACCCCUCACGUCGGAUACUGAUGUGAGGACUAAAAGCUAAAGACAUGAAGGAUUGACUUGCACCCGAAUCAAAUAACACUAAAGUAGGUAAAGAGUUCACAAGAAAUGUACCUGGAUAUAGCACAAAAUAAGCACAAUAAAUCUCAUAAAAGAAAACAAUAAAGAAAUAUGUACCAACCACGACAUCAAGUGCUGUGUGGACCUCCUCCGCUGUCAGCUGAAAAGCUCUCCCAUGAGCCUUUGGAGCCUCGGUCUUCACUGGUCAAACAUCAUCAACACUCAAAGAAGCAGAAGCGGAACCCUUAGCUGACCCCUGAACAAGCUGAGGGCAGUCGGCCUUCCGAUGGCCAGUCUGAUUGCCGUGAAAGCAGACUGCAAAUCCCUUGGGAAAUCCUUCGCCAUAUGCCCCUCCUUACCACACUUGUAGCAAAUCCCCGCCCUACAAGAUCCCAUAUGAAUCUUUCCGCACGUGCCACAAGUGUGGCCCUUCUGGCCUCCUGAUCUCGAGCCGACGGGCUUAGCCCGCUUGGCUGCCGGUUGCGGCCGCACCGACCACCGGUCUCUCCCCUGAGACUUCGUAUCCUCCCUAGCCUGGGUCUCCAACUCGAUCUCCCUCCUCCUGGCAUUUUCCUGAAGCUCCGCAAAUGUCUGAUAAGAUGAGUUCGCCACGAACUCUCGAAUAUCCCUUUUCAGAAUGCUCAAGUAACGACUCAUGCAUGCCUGCUCAGUCGACACAUGCUCUGGGCACCGACUCCGACUUCUGUCUGAGAGACAAAAACUCUUGGGCCAACCAUUGCCUCUCCACUGGGGGGACAUACUCAUCAUGGAAAAUCAUCACAAAUCUCUCCCAAGUCACUACAGUAUGCUUUGCAGGAGUAAAGCUGGUUGUCGCAAAUUUCCACCAGCCCUUCGUUCCUAAGCGAAGCUAGUUCAGCGCGAACCGCAUCCUGAAAUGCUCCAGGCAUGAACAUGUGUAGAAACAUCCCUCGAUGUCAGAGAUCCAUCUCAUUGCAGCAAUCGGAUCCUGAGUCACAUCAAACUCUGGUGGCUUCGUGGUGUUGAACUCCCGAUAUAAUAACGAGUCACCCCAUGCGGCCUGGCAGCAACGACAACUGCGGUGGCUGCAACAGCAGCCGCCUUCGAAACAUAAGCAUAUUGAUCAUCAAACGUCUCGAUCAGAGUGGUAUUAAUAGACCCAAACAACUAUGGAAUACCCUCCCGAAUAGCUGCGGUCACCUCAUCAUGAACCAUCCUGCGAAUCUCGUCAUCGCUAACUCCACUGCUCUCUGGGGUGUGGCGUGUAGCUACCAUGACGUAUUUGAAACACAGCACAAAAUCAUCAGAGACUCGCUUGUGCAUACUCACACUCGAUCAUUUACUCCUAGCAUCCUAUGGUUUCGUACUUAGGUUGCCUGUAGAUCUGGUGCUUCCAGAAGUACGGGCCUAAUACUACCUUCCACACCAGGUCCGUAGUCACCCGAAGUUAUCCUCCUAGGAUUCUAAUUCACAAAUACUCUAUAUCUGGAAGACUCCUCUCAAGCUCAACUAGGUAUCUCCUCCUAGAUUAUCUCUCAACUCAAAACUCAGAACAUACUCAGAGCAAAUAGCAGAUAUCACUAAUCAAGAACAACUCCUAGGCUAAGGCAUCACAAAUCAGGCAACACUAGCCCUUGAAUAUGAAAUACCUAGCCUAAUUUAUAUCAUGCGACCCUAACAUAACAUUUGAAAUAUCUAAUAUCACAAAGUAAGGGUAUCUUGGGAAAUCACCGUUCGGGCUCUGGCUGAUUGUACACACCGCUCCAACUCGUUUUCUCUUCAAUCUCUUUCUCGUUUUAGAAAAAUCAUUUCUUUUGAAAGUUUUUCCUCAAAUCCUCAGUUUGAGUCGAAACACACCCGGAGGUGCAUCCAAAUCCCUCAAACCAAGGCUAUGAUACAAACUUGUAAUACCGAAUUUUUUCAAAACAGAUUUUUCAUUUUUAAACAUAAAAAUCACAUGUCAUAUUUCCCGAAAAUCUCAAGCAUCAACAUUAAUACAAUUUAUUUAUCAAAAGUUGUUUAUCACAUAACCCAGGAUCCUCCAAGACAUAUCUCCAAUGUGAGUGUGUGAACAAUCAAGCCGGGGCCUUCCCACGAUCAUUGUAACUACCUGAAACACAUAACACAUAACACGGUAAGCACGAGGCUUAGUGAGCUCCCCAAAAUACCACAUACAACGCAUUAGCCACUCUAGGCUAUAACUCGAUAAGACCCUCCGAUCAAUGUGUUUCAGUGGGAACCUUCUGUCCCAACACAGCAAGCUCAUAAUAACAAUACUCAGCAUAAAUCACAAAGACAUAAUGCAGAAUAUCAAAUACACAAAUAAUCACAAUAAGCAGCUCAAUCACACAAGGUACCACUGAAGGCAAGUAUAGUGAGAAGACUCACCUUGCAAGAAGUCAGCAAAACUCGAACUCAAACCACCAGUCUAGCCUCCGCCUAAUAUACACAACAAUUUAUCCCUAAUUAAUCACGGCUCUCAAGAGGCUACACUAUCUCACAGAAGGGAAAAAGACCAUUUUACCCCUCAAUGGCCCUAAAUGUCCAUAAUUUGACCCAAACCCUAAAAGUCAACAAAAGUCAACGACAGGGAGUACGCCGCACGUACCAGCUUCUUACGCUAGGCGUACUCGGCUACCAUACAGAUAUCAGGGAUGCGCGACCCCUACGCUGCUCGUACUGGAACUACGCCCGACGUACGCUCCAGUUUCACCCUUCUCACUCGUUUAGUAUUAAUCAGUUAAGACCUUGGCUCAUAUCUCAAAUCUAGACUCUCUAAUAGCUCUUAACCCAUAAAGUCAGGGACUUAAGCCUUUGCAUGGAUGGAAAGGUCCCAAAUACACAAAACACUCACCCUCUUAUGACAAAAAGCACGUAUCUCAUGCAUGGCUUGAUCCCAACAUCCAAGGAUAGUGUAACAUCCGGGAUUUCAAGUAUAUUAAUUAAUCUUUUUAUUUUGAGUUUUGAGAAGGGACUCGGUGAGUUGGUGCGUAGACUCGCCAAGUUAAGACGCGGGUUCUCAUCCGGAUUGAUGCUCGGACUUGGCGAGUCGCCUUAGUGGACUCGGCGAGUCUGCGUCGUUUAAUGAAACCCUAAUUUCUCGGGUUUGUGGCCUAUUUAUAGGGCCUUAUGGCCGUCAUUUGCGUUCAUUAGUCCCCAGAGUGAAACCCUAGAACAUUUGAGUGAUUCAAGUGAGGGAAGGAGCCAUUGUUGAUUCUUGGAGUUAUUGUCUAGCAAGGGAAGAGAAGAUCUAGCCAAGAGGAAGCAAGAGAGGGGUGGAUUCUUGAAGAGCUAAGGUCCAGGACAUCACAUCUGAGGUACCAUUCGAAUCCUUCUUUGUUAUUGUGAUGUUCACAUAGAUUUAGGUUUUUGAACCCAUUUGUGGCUAGAUCUAGCAUCAUCAUGGUCCCUUGGCGAGUUAUGGCUCUGAAUCUAGACCCAUAGAGGUCCAGAGCACCUCCUUGCCCAAGCUUUAUGUGCAUCCAUGGAGGUUUUAGAUUGGGAUCUAUGUAUUUGAGGCUAAACCUCCAUUAAUGAGNCAGCCACAUGUCAUAAAGGCUAACUCCAUUUCGGAGAUCCAAUCCAUAACCCCAAUCGGAUCCUCCUUUCCAUUGAAGGUCGAUGGUUUACAAGUCAAAAAGUCCUUGUACUUGCAUCCCAUUCCAUCAUUCCUUCCAUCAUGGUUAUCUUGCCUAACUAUCGGUGGGUUGGCUGGACCAACAGACCCACUGAAGUUUCCACCUUCCGAGUGCCCUUCAUUCAGUUCAGGCUCUUCCACACGAAUCGACAGUUCUUCACGAUUUUGUUGAAGCAACCGUCUAGUUUCAUCCAUCUGACGAUCCAACAUCGUCUGAAUCAUCAAUUGCACACCAGCCAUGGUUAUUGGCUCAGGUGCUGCUGCUACGACAGGUAUUGGCUCAAUCACUGGUGGUUGAUUCCUGUUUUCGUCAGCAUUUCCAACUCCACUUCUUGUUCUCACCAUUUUGAUCUACACCGAAUAAGGUGAAAUUAGAUCCUCAAUCAUGAUAGAUAUUCAAAUCAUCCUUAUCACUCCGAAACGUUUACAUGCUAGUUCUAAUAUCGUAGACGUACGCUUAGAAUCCUACACACAUAAGGUUUCUAGAUCCGGUCGGCAACAGACCAUAGAUCCGAACAAAUAAUAUCAUAUAUGGCAACAUAUAACAUUUAGCACAUAAAGCAUUUUAGGCAACUUUCCUAAAAUAAACUAGUGCUCGUGUCUAAAUCACAACAGACACACAUCUCAAAACUUCACUUAGCAUUCUAAGUUUAAGUCUAGAAAUCCUACAAAUUCCUAGUUCGCUUAAACUAAUGCUCUGAUACCAACUGUGACAUCCCCAAAAUCUCGGCCAGAAAAGACCGAUUUUCAUUUAUGCUUUUAAAUAUUUUCAGAGUAAAUCCUUUUGAUUUGAAAGAGUUGCGGAAUUUGUUCCCAAAAACAAAACAUGAUAAAACAUUGUUUACCGAAGCAUUUCAUAAAAGAAAUGUAUUUUCAUUAUAAUCAAAACUCGGGGUGUCAUGUUCCGAUACAGACCAAUAAGCAUAAACGAAUACAUUACAAGUCAUAUAACAAAUAUAAACAUAUGCAGACUUGUAAACAAAACAACUUGAUGGUUCAUCCAUCUCAUGCCCUUCCGCCACUACCUGUAAUACAAUUUAAAACUGAGUGGGUCAGGCUUGGGAGCCUGGUGAGCAUAUAGGGUUUUCAACCCACAAUAAAUAUCAUAUUUAAUUUUCACCAACCAACAAUAACCCAAUUACCCAUUCCCGUUAUUCUCACUUUAAUGUCCCUAAAACAACUAACAUAAGGGACCUAGUCUAAGAAUAUUUCAUCGGGGCGACAACACAUGCUUCGGGGGUACCUCAGCAAUAUAAGUCAAAUAAGGCAACCAUGAGGGGGAUGGAGUACAGCGAAUGAACACCCAAGUUCAUUAACACCUACAGGUGGCGAACCUGCUAAUGUUUCCACAAGACUGUCUAGAAUAGCCUGUGGUCGUCAUCUAAACUCCGCUAGAUGACUAAAUCAAACAACAUCGAGGCCUCUCAUCUGUUUAUUACACACCAACUAUCUACCCAUGUUCUACCCACAUAUUAGUAGAUAAAAAUAUACAUUUUUAAACAUAGUUUAAAAAAACCUGUAUAGCAUGCUUUAAUCAACACAUAUUUCACAUAACAGAUGAGGCACACACACACAUAACACAUAUAUCAUAGAGAAUAAAUCAUAUCUAUGAGUUAGAAGAAAGUGAAUACAUAUUCACACAUAUAAACAACAAUAUACUUAAUACACUCAAACCAUACUUGUAUUAUUAUCGUGUUUAUGAAAGGUAGUAUACACUCACUUGAUCAAAAGAUGAUCGGACAGCACUACGACUUGCAGAAGUAGUAAUCCUCAGCAGAUCUGGAAGAUCUUCACAAAAAUCGAACUUCUCGCGGGCAGAGCUUCGGCUCGGGAACCGCACUUCUCGGGAUCUUCGGGAUCUCGGGACUUGCCUCGGGGCUUGAGUAUGAUACCGGGGCUUCGGGGUAUUUCUGGCACGCAAAACGAUGCAAAACGGGAGAGAGAAGAGAGAAAAUGAACAAAAGACUCGGCUGCCUUCGGAUCCUAUUUAUAGGAGGCUGGAGCCUCGGAGUACGCGGGGCGUACUGCUUCCGAAAUCGUCACUGCAUGUGUCAUCUGAGCCACUUGCUGCGAGUGUCGAUACCUUCGGUGUACGCGGGGCGUACACAAGUACGCGGGGUGUACUUCGGAUCGGAUUGCUGACUCUCCUUCGGAUAAUACCGGAUUUUCCAUUUAAAUUUAAAUAUAAAAUAUUUAAUCAACUUCAUAAAUUCAUAUCUUCUUCAUACGAACUCCGUUUUUGACGUUCUUUAUAUCCACACGAAGGUGAGACUACGCUCUACAACUUUCGUUUAGACUCCGUCGGCUAAUUUUAACUUUAUUUUUAUUAUUUAUUUUUAAUAGGCCGCGACAGAAAAACUUCGUUAUAAAUUCAUAACUUCUUCGUUUGACGUCCGUUCUCGCCUAACUUUUUAUCGCUUCGAUACCAACAACGAGACCUUCGAUCCUCGUUUAGAUUGCUUCGGCUAAAAACCGCUCGAUCUCAAAUCGAGUAUUUCAGGCUGCAUACCGCUAAGCCGAAACUUCGAUAAAUCAUAACUUCCUCAUACGAAGUCAGAUUUGGGCGUUCUAUAUAUAUUUGGAAACCUCGUUUCAACUACUACAACAUUAUUCAAAGAUAUUAAGUUUAUUUUACACUUAAAUUUUGACGCUUAUUUUUAUUCUUAAUUAAUCAAAUCACAUAAUUAAGCAAUUAAGCACAAAACACAUAAUACUCAAAUAAUAAAAUCUUAUUAUUUCAAAACGGGUUACAAAGGUUAACCUAGACUAUUACAUUGCUAAAAAUGGCAAGCCCGGAAACACAGGCGUUACAACUGGAAGGUCCCGCUGAGACAUCUUGACCAGAGGGUCGAGUUAGCCUCGAGUGGCAUAUUUGUAGUAUGUGGUAUUUUGGGGAACUCACAAAGCAUUUAUGCUUACAGUUGUUAUGUUUGAUGUCUCAGGUACCAGCGAGGACCGUGGGAAGGCAACGGCUUGACACGUACACACACUGAUGGAGAUUUUUAUAUGUAGAGAUCUUGGGAUUUGUUUUGAAAACAGAAUUGAUUAUGAAUUUUGAUUUGUGAUGUGAUACAUUAUGUGAUUUUGGAAAUGAAUAAUUAUUUUGAAAAUUUACGGUGUUUCAGAUAGGAUUUUUAUGACUCUACACCACUGAAUAUACUCAAAGGGGGUGGAUCAUGGUCUCUGGAGUACAAUAUCACAUAAAGACUCCAACUUUUGGGACAAAACCCUAGAAUACUCUACUAAGAUGCAAAAACCAAAAGAGUGAGAAAGCUUUGAGCUUUAUACCUCAAAAUGAGGCUCCAUACUAAGAUAAGCCCAGAUCCAAGUCCUAAAAUCCCACUCCUUCUUCUUCAAGACUCCUUCUUCACUCCAAAGAAACUCAAGAAUGGAUCCUAAGGAUCUCUAAUGUACUCACAAGCUCUAAGAACGAAAACUAGGGUUUAGGAGGGUUGGUGACUGAGAAUGGUGGCAAGGAAUGAGGCGAUCAUAUCCUUUAAAUGGGGGGUCUCACCCUAAAUUAGGGUUUUUACUCUGAGCCUAGUACACCCAGCGUACUAGGUGGCUUCCGCAUCAAAAGCACGCAUAUGAGUACGUUGAGCGUACACUCGCGUACGCCCCACACACUCAUUCACCACCUUUUCUCAUAAAGGGACUAGAAUGGUCAAAUACUCAGAAGACCAAAGGUUACGACGUAUACCUGAUCUCGGGAUGUUACAAUGAUCAUAUUUUAUUAUUGGAUAAAACUUAUUAAAUAGCAAUCUAAAAUGUUAUAAAUCAAUUAUAAACUAUAAAGGUAAAGUAGAUUGCUAAAAGUUAACACACUUAUAGUUUCUUGCGAUUAUUAAUAUGUAUAUUAAGAUAUUAUCAAAUCAAAAAGGUUAUUAAAGUAUAAAACGAAAGUACAUUGUUACAUUUGAUGGAAAUACCAAAAUUAUGAAAUUAUAAUAUUAAGAGUUUGAAUUAUUGAAAAUUAACUUGUAAUAUAUAUAUAUAUAUAUAUAUAUAUGAGUAAAUUACACGAAUAGUCCCUAUGGUUUAGGGUAAUUUGCAUGUUUGGUCCCUAACUUAUUUUUUUAACUCGGAAGAUCCCUACUAUUUGUUUUUGUUACGCGCAUGGUCCCUGUCUUACUUAAAAAGACUAUUUUGCCCUUGAUUUUUUAAUUUCUUUAAAUAAACACACCCCCAAUCCCACACCCCUAACCUUACCUUACUUACCCACCAUUUUUUUACUAUUUAAAUAAUAGUAUUUUUAGGUAAGACAGGGACCAAGCGCAUAACAAAAACAAACAAUAGGGACCAAGCGCGUAACAAAAACAAACGGUAGGGACCUUCCGANNNNNNNNNNNNNNNNNNNNNNNNNNNNNNNNNNNNNNNNNNNNNNNNNNNNNNNNNNNNNNNNNNNNNNNNNNNNNNNNNNNNNNNNNNNNNNNNNNNNAAAAUCUGGAAAUGUGUUAAGUCUUACAAAUCUCAAAUACCAUAUGACUUCAAUCAAUAUUUAAUCCUAAACAUCAAAGAAUUUAUAGGUGCUCGAUAUACUUAUAAUGGAGAGUUUCGGAUUGGGAUGCUGAUACUCAUUGUUAGUAUUCAUCACACCCACGAUGCGAUCUAUACGAGCUACGUUUAUUCUAAAGUCUUUAUGGGUUAGGAUCAUUUCCUAAGCUACAUGGGCUAUGUUUGUCACAAUCCUAAGACCAUACAUCUUAGUGGAAAAUUGCUUUGUGUGAUACCCAUUAAUUAGUACUGUAACGAGGAACGCCAGGUAUAAGUUCAGGAUCACAUACUUAUAUGGGUUGACAUCUCGCAACCGUUGCUAGCUACAACCAUCGGGUGACGAGUCGAAACGGGUGUUGGCAUUUCCUAAACGAUAAAGUCCCCAAGGUUGAGCAGAUUUGGGUGUAGACUUUCAGUAUUGAAAGUUAUAAGUGCUGGUGUAGAGGUGUGUAUAUCAGAGUUCGGUUAUGACCUCAUCAGAGAUCCUGGGUGUACCUUGUUACCGUAUAGAAUCGGUAUUGGAUUUAUACGGGAUUUUGUUCAACGAUACUAGUGUAAAGAGAUUGUAUGUAGUGGAUAGCUUGUGACUCAAAACGAUAACUGUCAAUACUAGAAAUUAAAUCAUAUAAUACUUAAUUAAUAUCAUGACACGACUUAUUAAGGUUUAAUAACUUACAAUUAAUAAGUUAUAUUAUAUCAAAACUUUGUUCUUGUACGAAAACACGAUAUGUAUGUGGGAGGAGUUUUCCCCACUAGUUAAGUGUCGGUUCCCAAAUUAAGUAAGAUAAUAUUUAACUAAUACUACGACACGAAAUUACAAAGAUUAUAAAUUCGAAACCUAUGUGUUUUAAAUAUGAACUAAAUGAAUGCUUGUUCUAGGUUUUCAAUGGGAAAUUUGAAAAUGUUAUGUUUUCACAAAUAGUGAUAUCGCUUUCUUUUAUAUAAAUUGGUAUUCAAAAUCUUUAUAUAAAAAUCAUUUUUUGGUCAUGAGAACCGUACAGUUUGAUAUACGUUUGUUUUACUUAUGUAUAUUUUGCCAAACUUUGUACUUUUAAAUUUGAACAAAUGGUAUUUAUAAAUGAGUCCAAUUACAUUUUUCACAACUCAAUUACCUUAUACUUUUGAUAGAAAGAUACAUAUUUAUAAAAGUUGGAUCACCGGAUAAAUUUUAUAAAACAUUUUGAGUAUAAAAAUACUUUGUGUCAAAACCUGUAGAACUCACCAACAAUUUUGUUGACGUAUCUUAACGCAUGUAUUCUCAGGUUAAUUAGUAGGUCGGAAGUUUUGGCUUGGAAGACUCAUCGUCAUCUUUAUUAUAUCUUUGUAAACACCGGAUUGUUAGACGUGUGUCUCAAUUUAGCAAUGGUCUUGUCAAUGUAAUUUCUAUUUCAUUAAUAAUAGAACUUUAUAUUUGUACUGUUCAAUGUAUAUUCAAUAGCUAUGAUUACUGAUUUACGCCGUGUACCUCGGCGUUUCCGCUGGCAGCCAAGGGUGUGACAUUCUUACUUGGGGUUUAUAUGGACCCGAUACAGCCACAUACUAUAAUAUUUAUGUGUAUGUUGUAUGUGGUAUUUUGAGGAAGCUCACUAAGCUUUGUUCUUACAAUUAUGUUUUUGGUUUUAGGUACUUCUAGUACGAAUGGGAAGGCCCGACGUGAUUGCACAUCAUCCCACCCCCUAUGUUUCUACGAUUAUGAUUUCUUUUACUCUGAUGUUUUGGAUAGUUUGUAUCUGGAUGUUUUUAAUACAUAUGAUGUAUGGGAUUGAUGAAUUUGAAAAUGAAAAUUUUAUCACUGGUUUUGGGAUGUUACAAGUUUGUAUCAAAGCCUUGGUUUGAGGGAUUCGGACACACUUUCAGGUGUGUCAGAACUCAAACCGAGGAAAUAAUAUUCUUUUCAAAAGAAUAACAAAUUUCUAAAAUAUUUUUAUAAAAUAAAGAAGGGGUGUGAUAUGUGCAAGCAACAGAGCUCAAGUAAGUGAUGCCAAAAAUACCCAUCCAUGUUUUAUGAUGUUAGGUUUUUGUAUACUACAAUAUCCUAUGGCACACAUACAAUCCUAAAUGCCUUGGGUCUAUGUUUUCUCUAAUUAUACAUGUAAUGGUGUUUCCAAAGCAUUAAGCCUAUAACUAGCAUGCAAUUGACAUAAAUAAUAUGAAAUACUAGUUAGGAUGACAUACCUCUUUUGUAGCUUGAAACCUUGUUGUAUUUGGCCCUAAGAGCUUAGCCCCAAAAGUAUGAAUGCCUCAAAUGGCUGACAACUCACCUAGGAGAAAGGAUGACAUUUGAGAGAGAAUUCAUAUAUAAUGCCCCGUUCUUGAAAUAUCUAAUUUUGGGUUCCCGAAAGCAAAGUAAGGGCGUUUCGGUCCUUGAUGUGGAUAUAGAGUUUGGCAAAAACGGCUUGAGGGAGGAGAGGUUGUAAAUUAAAGAUGUGGGCAGCAAUGGUCCCUAAAGGGGGGAAAUUUAGCAAAGGGGUCCCAUGCAUGCGUGCUUGUGUUUCGUUGGGUACGCCCAGCGUAAGCUGGACGUACGCCCAUCGUAGUGAAGGAAAGAAACACGGAGGUCUCUCGACGUACGCCCAACAUACUGGAUGUACGCCCAGCGUACGUCUAUCAUCCAGAAACCCUAAAUUUAGGGUCAGCCGCUAUAUAAGGAACAUAAUGGUUCUUACCCUAGCCUCCAUAAGCACUCUCAUAACCUUAGAAACCCUAGUUAGCCGUCCCACCUCCAUUGUUGGGUGUGUUUGGCCUUGGAAAGAUUGUUUUGGCAAAAGAGAGUCUUGAAGAAGAAAUAAGGAGUUGUCAAAGAAGGAGUUAAGUGGCUGGAGCUUGUAGAUCUGGAAAGACAUCAUAUUCUGAGGCUCUUUUGAGGUAAAAAGUCUCUAGCUUGAAAAUCAUAUUGUGUAGAUCUAUGUGUUGUGAAGUUUUGACAUCAUUCUUGUCCUAAAAACCCUCAUCUUGAUGCAUGCUUUGAGUUGGUUGAGAUUAACUGUCCUUUUAGACCUUAAGAGAGGUAUUAAGUAAGAAAAAUGAGGUCCCAAGGGCUUUGGUUGUCUCACAUGUGUUAUAGAUAGGUCUUAAUGGAUUAAGACCUUGGAUUAAUAGCUUUAUGGAUGUCCCAAGUAAUAAAGUUUGAGACUUUAUGAAUCCUAGGCAUAUUUGGUCUAUGAAUCUGAAUUUUGGACUUAACAGCUAAAGCUAUUAAGAUCUUAUGAGAAGUUGUAGUUCAGCGGAGUUACGACCAGCGUAACUGGGAGUACGCCCAGCGUAGUGGGUCUGUGUCCCAUUUGCAAUUCGCGAGCAUCGUUGUACGCCCAGCGUACCAAGGCGGGUACGCCCAACGUACUCCCUCUAUUGGCUUUUCAUUUUGGGCCAUAGGAUAUUGGGCUGUUAUUGGGCUACUAGAUCUUGGGCCGUGACUGGACAUUAUGGAUGGAGUACUAUGGACUCACUAAUUAUUAUGGACCUUGGAUCUAGGCCCAUUUGGUGAGGUGGGUCCAAUUUAGUAAAUUGGGCCAAUAUUGGGCUUUGCUUCGGACUUUUGGUCUUUGGGCCAUUACUGGGCUUGAGAGCUUAUCUAGUGAUGGGCCUUUCAUAUUUUGAUUGUGGGCCUUAGUCAUGGACCAGAUUGAGUUAAGGGUAAAUUGGUCAAUUUACCCUUGGAAGGAUAUUGUGUUUGGUCUAAUGGUUAUUUUGCUGCUUCGAAUAGUUCGGGAUUUUCGGUGAGGCGGUGAUUCGGGAAUCUGCUUCUUCAGUUCAUAGUUUCGGCAGUUGCAAGCUGAGUUAUCCUCACUAUAUCAACAGGGUCUAAGGCACCAAGGACGGCCCUUUAUCGAAUUGUGAUCCGGGUAUCGUUAUGUGUUAUUAUUUUGUUAUGUUUGCAUCCUGGUAGUCAGGAUGGUAUUGUGCAAGUAUCCUGGUAUAUAGGAUGAUGCAAUGCUAGUGAUCGGUUAGGUCGGUAUCCUGCUUAGGAUGAUGUUAUGUUAUGUGAUCUGGUAGAUCGGCUUGAUUGAAUGUAAAUUGUUNUUUCAGAUGACACUCGAAGUUGCGAAAGAAGAAGCCGACGUCGCUUCAGGUACCUUUCUCGUAAACAAAUUGCCUGCCCAAAUUUUGUUUGAUUCUGGAGCCAAUCACUCCUUUAUAUCGCAUGAAUUUAGUAGAAAGCUAACUUUGCGUGUAGANAUAGGCUGUAGGCCUCAAGAGGGCGGACCAGACGUGCCGAGGCUCGGUGAGUAGACCAGGCCGACUGAAGGCCCAGUGCGGGCGGACCAGCCAUACUAUAGACUCAGAGAGUAGACCAGGUGGAUUGAAGGCCCGGUGCGGGCGGACCAAUCACACUAUAGACUCGAUGUAUAUGGCUAGACUCGGAGGGUGGACCAGGUGGACUGAAGGCUGGUAUGGCGGACCAGUUACACAGUAGACCUGAAGUGCAUGGUUGUUCUGUGUUCUGNUGGAAUCAUUUCCCUAAUGAAAGCCAGAAAGUGUUUGGCCAAGGGAUGUACAUCAUAUCUAGCGUUCAUGAUCGAUGCUAAGAUGGAAAAGAUGGAAGUGCAGAAUAUUCCAGUGGUGUGUGAUUACCCNGCAGGAGACCGUGGCAAGGCAAAGGCGUGAUCGUACCACUCCUCGUGAUUUUGUUUUAUGAUGUGAUUCUAGGAAGACUCUGAUGAUAAUUGUAUUGAAAACCUUUUUGUACNCAAGUAGAAUUUCGUAUCGACUUGUUACCAGGAACGACGCCAAUAGCAAAAGCACCUUAUCGAUUAGCGCCAACCGAAAUGAAAGAACUUACGACACAGCUUCAGGAGUUAAAUGGACAAAGGUUUCAUUCGACCUAGUUCAUCGCCCUGGGGAGCCCCUGUGUUAUUUGUAAAGAAGAAAGACGGAAGCAUGAGAAUGUGCAUCGAUUAUAGAGAAUGGAACAAAGUGACGAUAAAGAAUAAGUACCCGUAGCCAAGGAUCGAUGACUUGUUCGACCAGUUUCAGGGUUUGAGCUAUUUCUCGAAGAUCGAUCUUAGGUUGGGAUACCAUCAACUAAAGGUGAGAGAACAGGAUAUCGAAAAGACUGCGUUUAGAACGAGAUAUGGACACUAUGAAUUUUUGGUUAUGUCGUUCGGACUAACCAAUGCCCCAGUAGCUUUCAUGGAUUUGACGAAUAGGAUUUGUAAACCAUUCUUAGAUAAAUUCGUGAUAGUAUUAAUAGACGACAUCUUGAUUUAUUCGAAAAGCAAGAAGGAACAUGAAAAGCAUCUAUGUGAAGUGCUAGAAGUCCUGAAAAUGGAGAAGCUGUAUGCAAAGUUCUCCAAAUGUGAAUUUUGGAUUCAAGAAGUCCAAUUUUUAGGUCAUGUGGUUAACCAAGAAGGAAUAAUGGUUGACCCAGCAAAGAUUGAAGCUGUAUUGAAGUGGGAACAACCAAAAAGUCCUAAAGAGAUUCGANGGAGCAGGAGAGGGAGGUCAGGGCGGGUCAGUACCGCCCGAGGUUAUUGGUCAGAUGAGCACAGGCGAGUUGGACGCUAUGAUUCAUGAGAUCCUGAAUGAUGAGGUUGCUGCGUUGUUCCGAGCUGAGUUGCCAGAACUGUUCGGGUCAAUCAAGACCGCCAUGAUUGAGUAUUUUGAUGAGCGCUAUGCGGCNNNNNNNNNNNNNNNNNNNNNNNNNNNNNNNNNNNNNNNNNNNNNNNNNNNNNNNNNNNNNNNNNNNNNNNNNNNNNNNNNNNNNNNNNNNNNNNNNNNNNNNNNNNNNNNNNNNNNNNNNNNNNNNNNNNNNNNNNNNNNNNNNNNNNNNNNNNNNNNNNNNNNNNNNNNNNNNNNNNNNNNNNNNNNNNNNNNNNNNNNNNNNNNNNNNNNNNNNNNNNNNNNNNNNNNNNNNNNNNNNNNNNNNNNNNNNNNNNNNNNNNNNNNNNNNNNNNNNNNNNNNNNNNNNNNNNNNNNNNNNNNNNNNNNNNNNNNNNNNNNNNNNNNNNNNNNNNNNNNNNNNNNNNNNNNNNNNNNNNNNNNNNNNNNNNNNNNNNNNNNNNNNNNNNNNNNNNNNNNNNNNNNNNNNNNNNNNNNNNNNNNNNNNNNNNNNNNNNNNNNNNNNNNNNNNNNNNNNNNNNNNNNNNNNNNNNNNNNNNNNNNNNNNNNNNNNNNNNNNNNNNNNNNNNNNNNNNNNNNNNNNNNNNNNNACCGAAAGGAAGAACGUUUGGGCAAAAUGUUAGUGUUCGGUACAAACAACCAAGGGUUGAAGGUAUUCCAAGAUAGGAUUUGGGUACCUAAGACGGGCGGAGUAAGAGAUCUUCUGAUGGAAGAAGCUCACAAGACCAUGUACUUGAUUCUUCCCGACAGUACAAAAAUAUAUAGGGAUUUAAAGCCCUAUUAUUCGUGGCCGACGAUGAAGCUCGAUGUUGCUAAGUAUGUGGCUGAGUGUGUAACUUGUGCUAGGGUUAAGGCACAACAUCAGAAACCAUAUAGGGGUUUAGAACCUUUACCCGUACCANUCAGGUUGGACACUUGAGGGCCAACUGUCCACAGCUUGCUACAGGACCGGUGCAGGCUCCAGCACCGGUCACUUUGAGGAUUACGGGUGGAGGUCAGGGUGGAGCGGAGCCCCAAGGGCUCAGGGUCGUGCUUUUCAGCUUACAGCGGAGGAGUUCAGGGCAGUGCCGGAUGCAACUGCGGGUAUGUUUCUUUCUUGAUGUCUUGUUAUUUGGUGAUUAUUGUGGAGUAUUGUUUAUCUGUUAGUCUCGAUGUGUGAUUUUUUAGUAUUGUAUUCGUUGUUCCUUGAGGAUUGUGGUAUGGUUAUGGGUUUGGUGUUGGAAAAUUCGUUGGUUGUCAUUCAUGAGGAUUAUCUGUGGGAAUCUGACUUUUGGUCGGGAUGUCGGGUAGCAUCUGCAGUCGGAGGAGUGGUUAGCUGAAGAUCGAGUUUCUUUCGAGCCCGGGAUGAUCAGUGUUGUUAUGUAAAUUUGUGAAGAUUGCUCGUUCUGGUGAGAAUCAGUUCGCGUGUAAGGGUUUGUGUUGUGUAAGGUUGUCGAGAGAGGUCGGUGAUGGCGACCGGUGGUCGAUAGUUAGUGCUUUAAGUGGGGGAGAAUUGGAGAAUUCUCCGGAAGAUCGAUAAGCAUGUGAGGUUGUAUAGUUGUUGGGAUUCAACAGUGGUUCUAUCAGCCGAGCAUAGGCUGGUAUGAGCAAGUGAUAGACAGGCGGGGCACGAUGCAGACAAAGGGUGCUUGAUUGUGGAAGGCCUGGGAUCAGGCCGGGUUUGAGUAUGAAGGGUGGAGAUAGAGUUCGGAACCCCUAGAGGGCUAGAACAGUAUGCAUGAGAGAGUUUUCUGGAGAGAUAGCGCGGGAUGAUGAAUGCUAGAUGAGCGGUCCGGAUAGACUGAAGGCCGGUGGGCGUACCAGUCAGGCCAAAGGCUCGAAGAACGGUCCAGAUAGGCUGAAGGCCUUGGAGGGCGGUACAAACCUGUUGAAGGUUCUGAGAGUGUUCCAGAUGGGCUGAAGGCCUCGUAAGGCGGUCCAGUCAUGCUGAAGACUCUGCAUGUGUUGAUAGAUCUGUAUGAGGAUACGGAAUGAGUAUGUCGCAAUGUGAUAUCAUCAGAAGGUCUGGCCCCGGAUAUUGAUCACGAUUAGGGUAGGUCGUGCAUGGACUCAAGGAGUCCCUGCGAGCGGAUUCAGAGUAUGUGUGGUGCAUGGGAUAGCGGUUAUGCUAUAAGGAAAUGGUGUAGUAUUGGGUGAGCGUUGUGGCACUUGUGGUAGUGUCAAGGCAGCCAAGUGGUUUUCCUUGGUAAGGAAAGGGAAAAGAAUGUAGCUCCGAGAAGGAGUGUAAGUUCACAAAAGUGAAGGCAGUAGUGCGAAGUUAUGAUUGGGGUGUUCCAAUUAUGGUCAUUGAGUAGCGGGUUUGCGGUAGUGGUAUGGAAUCACAUCCAGAUUGGAUGUCUGCUGAAGUCACGGAAGGAAUUCCGAGGGUGUAGAAAUUCAUCCUGAGGGAUGUGUAUGUAGUAGAAAUUCAUCCUGAGGGAUGUGUCAUCCUGUCAGCAUGGAGUGGAUAAAGUUGGACUCAGAUCGGGAUUCCGGUGGUUCAGGAUUCCGGUCGUACCAAGGAGGGUACACCCAGCGUACUCCCUCUGUUGGGUUUUCAUUUUGGGCCUUAGGAGAUUGGGCUGUUAUUGGGCUACUAGAUCUUGGGCCAUGACUGGACAUUAUGGAUGGAGGAUUGUGGACUCACUAAUUAUUAUGGACCUUGGAUCUAGGCCCAUUUGGUGAGGUGGGCCCAAUUUAGUAAAUUGGGCCAAUAUUGGGCUUUGCUUCGGACUUUUGGUCUUUGGGCCAUUAAUGGGCUUAAGAGCUUAUCUAGUGAUGGGCCUUUUCAUAUUUUGAUUGUGGGCCUUAGUCAUGGACCGGAUUGAGUUAAGGGUAAAUUGGUCAAUUUACCCUUGGAAGAAUAUUGUGUUUGGUCUAAUGGUUAUUUUGCUGCUUCGAAUAGUUUGGGAUUUUCGAUGAGGCGGUGAUUCAGGAAUCUGCUUCUUCAGUUCUGAGUUUCGGCAGUUGCGAGUUGAAUUAUCCUCACUAUAACAACAGGGUCUAAGGCGCCAAGGCCGGACCUUUAUCGAAUUGUGAUCUGGGUAUCGUUGUGUGUUAUUAUUUUGUUAUGCUUGCAUCCUGGUAGUAAGGAUGGUAUUGUGCAAGUAUCCUGGUAUAUAGGUUGAUGCUAUGCUAGUGACCGGUUAGGUCGGUAUCCUGGUUAGGAUGAUGUUAUGUUAUGUGAUCUGGUAGAUCGGCUUGAUUGAAUGUAAAUUGUUAUAUGAUUGAAUGUUUAUGUGCACAUGGUUGUUGGACUGGGGAUUGGGUUGAGGUGGGUCCUGCUUUGUGUUGUAGGCCAACAUACCCAGGGCGGAAGGGUUGUCCCGAACGCAUAGCGAGCGGUCCGGAUAGGCUAUAGGCCCCAAGAGGGCGGACCAGACGUGCCGAGGCUCGGUGAGUGGACCAGGCCGACUGAAGGCCCAGUGCGGACGGACCAGUCAUAUUGUAGACUCAGAGAGUCAACCAGGUGGAUUGAAGGCCCUGUGCGGGCGGACCAAUCACAUUGUAGACUCAAUGUAUAUGGCUAGACUCGGAGGGUGGACCAGGUGGACUGAAGGCCAGUGCGGCGGACCAGUCACACAGUAGACCCGAAGUGCAUGGCUAUUCUGUGUUCUGUGAUGAUAUGGCAUGUUGUGCGUGUAUGGUAUAUGUGGUUGGUAUUUUGGGGGUAUCUCACUAAGCUUUUGGGCUUACAGUUGUGGUUUAAUGUUUUUCAGGUUCUGCAGGAGACCGUGCCAAGGAAAAGGCGUGAUCAUACCGCUCCUUGUGAUUUUGUUUUAUAAUGUGAUUCUAGGAAGACUCUGAUGAUAAUUGUAUUGAAAACCUUUUUGUAAUAACUUAAUGAGACGGGGUAGUUUUUGAAAAGUGUAAAUUAGUUGAAAUUUUAUGGUCGUUACAUCAUACACCAAAAACGCCUCAUGGAAACUCCAAGAAUAACUAGUUGUGAUUUUGGCUAUGGAGUAACAUAUUUAUAUAUGGGAUUCCAAAGGUCACGGGUUAACCCAAUCCAUACCCAUGGGUAUAGGAUCCAUGGUUCAUGUGGCCCAACUCUUAGUCCAACAUAGAUCAUUAGCCCAAUCCAUAUGUUUCACUAAUUACGAUAAUUGGUCCACAUAGAUUUAUUUAGUCUCUUUUGAUCACUAAAUUAAUUCCAAACUAAUUCUUGAUCAAUACUAAGUAUAUCAUGUUAUUUCAUAUUAAUAUAUUAGAACUUAUAAUAUAUUAAUAAAUCGUAAAUAACCUCUUCUCAAAAGUCCAUCCUAACAAAUUGUCCUAAUGAUAUGCAACCCAAAUGGACCAUGCUACUCUCGGGUCACGUACAUAACAAUUAUAGUUAUGGGCUUAACACCUAAUCCAACAGUCUCCUACUUGGAUAAGUCUAAUAACUAUUAUUGCAAAUAUGAAUCUAAAACCCGACCAACAAUCGUAGCUCUUAAAAGCUGUUGUCGAACUUUGACCUAGUCAAUGACAUGUAUAUUAGAUAAGGGAUCAUAUAUUCCUCCAUUCUAGAUAUCAUAUGAACUGAGACAUGGAUUAUAAUUAUUCUCUCUGUCCAUCUGUUGUUUCCCGAUUUCUGAUUUAUGACGACCGACUAAUUGAACAAAUCAAAUCAGUCCAGGCCCGACCGAGCACUUAGGGUUGUCAUCACUAAAUCAUCGAGGGGCCCACAAACAUCGCUUUUAUCCAUCCAAGGGUAAAAGGAAUGGAUAAACUUCGAAUCAUAUGCUUGCUCUAUUUACUCAUCAAACCACAUAUAACAAUGUGUUUUAUAACACCAAGUUACUGGUGCGUUUUCACAUUAUCAAUGUGCAACCGACUUGUAGACUGCAACUCAUAUCUAUCCGUUUGAAGAAUAUAAGAUAUUAUCGUCUCAUGAUCACUCAUGAUAAAAUCCAUGAAGUGAUUCAAAUGAGCAUGGGCUUAAUCAAAUACUCGAAUAUUAUUCCAGGAGCACUCAUGAAUACUGCAGCUAUGUCUAAAACACCUAGACAUACUACAGACCCAUUCAUGACAGUCUUGCCUCAAUACCUACUUCCAAAGUAUGAUCGGCUGUGGACGGUUUGAAUAACAUAGUUAUUCGGGAAAUCAAAACAUGCAAAGUGAAAUACAAUAAUAAUACUAAUCCUAUAUGACCCCACAAAUUUUGAGUCAUAUUGAUUACUCAUUAUUCAUUGUAUAAUGUUUCGAAUAAUCAACUUUAUACUUGAAUUAAAGCAAUAGUUAUACCAUUCUCCAAGCAUGCACACUAUGUUUACCUAUGCUCCUUUCUUUGUGGAAUAGAUCAAUUGAAAACAUUUCAAUGAUGCUCAUUUCACAGUUCCAAAUCCUUAUGAUAAAUGUAAAAAUACAAGAUUCUUUUCCAUUUAUUGAAAUCUGUUAGAUUCUAAACUUAUAUGUAACGGUCCUCUUGUAUUGACUAUGCACAAAAGUCACAAAGACUUUGCAACAGACAUUACAAAGUAUUCCAAUGGAGAGAAAUUCCAUUGAAAUGAAGUCUCACAUUCAAAGUACAUUCCUUUAAACAUCCUUCUUGCAUUUAGUUUUCUAAUCUUACAUAGAUUUAAUAACUUCCACCUAUGGAAACAGUUCCAUAUUCCCAUUGUGAGUAUCACUUUUGAACAAGAGUUGCCCCUUUUCAGAAUAUGUCAAUAUGGUCCUACCAAAAAUUUACACCAUACUUCCAAUUGUCCAUGAGCAACCAAUAUUUUGUAAACCUCAGAUUGUCCUCGACAAUUGCUUAAUCAAUUUAGUCAUAUCCGGUUCUAUUCCUUUUUCCUUCUUAAUGCCCUAGGCAUUUGGAAAUUUACAACGGAUGAAUAUUACAACACAUAUAAUCGAUCCUAUAUCCGAAGCAUAUGGGACACGAUUCAUGAUGUCUCACAUAAAGACAUGAUACUUGACCAGUCUUUUGCUAUAAUUUUUCUAUUUGCCAUGCUCUCACAAUUCGGACUAUGAAGAGGGAUGCCGUAAUCAUAAUCGAAUUUUGAGAAUGCAGUUAAUAUUUCCAUAUAUAGAAUUUCCUUAUGUUGAACCAUUCCAACAUAACAUUCAUAUAUAUACUUGACUAAAUUUGAUUAAAAUCUCAAUCUAAGCUUUUUAUUUCCUCUCCCUUAAUUAUAGCAAAACAACUUUUCAAACCCUUCAACUUUGCAAAUUGAAACUUUUUUUCCCUAUAAUUAACAUUGCUAACUUGCAUUACUUAACAUAUAUAAUAAUAAUCAUGCUCCCACUAACAUGAUGAUUAUAUCCUUAUUAGCAUAACACUCAUGCUCCCACUAGCUUUGAUAUGUAUCCAGAAAUCAGCUGGACUUCUAGAAAUCAAUACUUAUCGACUUUCUUACAAAAGUUCAGAUUUUUGAUACUUGAUGCUCUGAUAAGUCUUUACAAGACUUCUCAAGCCCAUACACUUUUCAGAUUAAAUAGCACAUGUGUGUGUUUGAACCUUUUAGAACUUAAACUAAUAACCCGAAUGUUCAAACUAUUUCCCAUUUCUCACAAUUCGAACUAUGAAAAGGGAUGCCAUAAUCAUAAUCGAAUUUGAGAAUGUAACUACAAAACUGCCAAUUCUAAUUCUUUAAAAUCUACUUAGUGAAAGUGUUUCCUCACCAUCAUUUCAUGAUUCGAAGAGAAACCUUAUGACAUUUAGAUUUUUAUAGUGUAUAUGUUCCUAUCCAUAUGAACUUGUCAAAACCAUAAUCACAAGACAAGGUUAGUGACAAAUCUAAGCUCAUAUAGACUAAACUUGUUCAAUCUUAACUUCUUGCCACUUGAUAGCACAAGGGCCUACCAUGUCUUCCAAGUUGUCAUGCAAUCAAUUAAGAACUCAUAGAACUCCCAAGCAUAGUCAACUUUAACUGGAAAAGGCACAGAAAUAUGAAUAUGUCAACACGAUAGGUUACAAACCUCAAGUCGUGUGCUAGUGAUUUACAAUAGGUUUUAUUCUUGAUUAGUUCUUGAAACUAGUCCAAGAUCUUUAAGGCUCCCACUGACCUCUUGACAUAUAAGAUUCUCUUUGUCAAGAACCAUUCCUUGACAAAAAAAAUAUAUUCAAGAGUUAGUGCAGAUUCUUAUCAAGACAAACACUUCACACAAUUAGCCUUAGUUGGUCUUUGUUUUAUCCAAAACAUCACAACUCACCAAUCUCAAAUGUACAAGAGUAGAAAACAUUUUACUCUACAUUUUUUAAGUGUUUUAAACCUUCUUAACAUUAUGUCACUCAAGGAUAGAUCUUGGAGUGUUACUCUAAGACUCAAUUUUGGAACAAAGUAUGAUUCAUCUUUUGAUUUAACCAUUUCAACAAUUCACAUUCCUCUUCUUAGUCAAACAAAUGCACUAAGAUGUCCUUAGAGGAUCAAUUGUGAUAUGGUUUUUCAUAAUCAUUAAGAUGAUCAUAAAACAUGAUACUAAAGUGCUCUCCCAUCUUUUCAGAUUGGAUAAACGUUUAUCUUUCUGCCUAAUUUGAUUCUUCUCGUUCGUCCUGCCAUACGUUGAAACUUUUCCAAUGUUUUAGAAUUAUACUUAAACUUGUAAGCACAACCAGAUUUACUAAACUUUAGUAAAUCAUGACGAAUAGCCUUAUCGUUCUUUGUGGUGGACCUGAUCAACACACAACCAAGUGUAUCCGAUCUCCUAGUCCUUCACUUGACUCACAUAUACAUGUGUACAAGGAUAUAGUCUUAAUUUCCCAAAGAUGAAAAUUCUCAUCCAUCACACAAUACAAGUUGUAGGAUUCCAAGUUUCUAUGCAACUGAAACUUGGGUGAUGAGAAUCUUUUCUUAUUUGCUAAAUUAUGACACUACCACAAACGAAAGAAUCAAAUCCAUUUUCCAAUAUUGCUAUCAACAGAAUCAUAUAAACAACAAUUUUUCACAAAUGUCAUUGUAAGGAAACUUAAAAUAAAAUAAAAUCAAAAUUUUCUUUUUAUUUAAAAAAUUGCGGAAAAAACUUAUCCUUACAAUGCAAAUGCAUAUGAAAAACUUUGUUGUUAUCUAUUCCUAAGAAAUAUAUCAUAACUCUGAAGCAGCAACUCAAAAUUCUGAUCAUCGAACCAUGCGAUCGAAAUCCAUCUCUUCACGAUCAGAAUCAACAUACUCUUCCUUUAAGCUUCCUUUGAUUCUACUAAAAAUCAAAAUGUAAUUACAUUACAUCAUGUAUUAAGAAUCUCCAAAUAGGAACUUCAUAGAGUUAGAUAGUGGACUUUACCUAAAGCAUAGCCAAAUUUUGACUUAUACCAUCCUAGUGAACUUUAAGGUAAAUAAGGCAUCUUCGCAACCAAUUCCCCUUCUUUAGGCAAUAGAAACAUAUGGACUCUUUAGUAAUGGUACAUGGGACUAUCUCAGACUUAUCCUUUCUCUUUACCUUUUGGUCAAAUGACCUGACCAUGGCCGAUCCCUUUCCAUUGGGAAGAUAAAGCUUUUAUGGACUUAUAAUGUUACCAUUUUCAAUGUCCAUGGAAGUUUGGGAAGUAGAUCUUCCAAUCAAAUUUGCUUUACCAGUGCUCCAAAUCAUUGCUGAUUCAGCAGCCACAAACAAAUAGGUAAGAUCGAUAUGUGUCAUGUCGUGAUCUAUCAUCAAGGAGUGACUAAAGAACCUAGUCAACAACCAACUUCUUCGAGACUUCGACACCCAGCUCUCCCAGCUUGUUAAUAUGUGACUUCAUCUCCAAGAUGUGAACAUAUACAAUGAUUGCUUGCCAAUAGGGAUUGAGUAACCUUGAACUUUUCAAGAACUUGUGGGUUAGGGAGAACAAUUGGAGGGGGUGUAGGAAAUGAAGUAUGAUUUCCAGUCCUAUUAAUGCACAACAAAGGGAUUAAUCUUUCACCUUGACCGCCAUGUGGGAUAUCAUCUUCAUUAGGAAAGCUUCUUCCAAAAGGAUAAGGAAGACCAUAGUUGUCUGAACUUAGACAUUUAUGAGGGAGAAAUUCAAGUUUAAUUGAUUUAAGUCCUUAAUAUAACACCCAAUAUGAAAUAUUAAGGCUAGGACCCAACACAAUAUUUUAUAACUUGGAUGAGGGAUGACGUAAUCUAAACUACAAAAUAUUUGAAGGUAGGUAAACGACGAUUUACCAAUUUCCAUCAUGAAAAACAAAAUUUAACAUUAGGUUUUAAAUGAAUUGAAAUUCCUAGAUCCUUUGAGAUUCAUUGAAAUUUUCAAUGGCAUGUUUAAAUCUCGAUUGUGCCCUUCAAGUUUGUGACUAGGAUGUCAAGGAUCACAAACAAGGAGUGAAUAACCAUGCAAAUUAACUUGGUACACUUAAUGUUCCAACCAUCUAAUCAAUGUGUCGGUUAACCAUACACGCUCCAUUGAUCUAUGAUUAACAUCAAGCUACCCUUUGCCACACAUUGUUAGUCCCAGAUUAGUGUUCUGGUUAACCACACAUGCUCCACUAACGACUUAACAAGGUGCAAAGUGCAAUUUCAUGAGUUAGCACCAAAUUCACAUUUUCCUAAAGUAACUAAGAUUGGGAAUUUAAUAAAGUUUAGUUACUUUAUAUUUAUCGUUAUACUUUUAAUGAAUGGAAUUAAUGUACUGUCCUACCCGUUCGGCUAAUGACCCUCCACCAGUCAAGGAAGCGGUGGGUGAGAGUGGACACCCAUUAAACUGCCAUUUUAUAGGUAGUAACCUUAUACCCCCUUAUAAUCCGGCUUCGUGCAUGAGACCUACUAAUGGUAAGAUUGACUUUGUUCUUAUANUAUAUAUAUAUAUAAAUAUUAAACUUUUAAUAUUAUAAUAGUGUAAGGGUUAAAUUUUAAUUUUUAAUUUCUAAGGGUUGGAAUUAAAGUAUACGUGGGGGUAACUUUACAAAUUCCAAAACUUGAGGGAAAAAUUUGAACAAUUCAAAAAACUUUUGGUUUCCAUAACUUAUGAGUUUAAUAUGGUUUUAUGGAAGACUAUUCAAGUUCCAUAACUUGAGGACAAGUUAUCGAAGACAUAAAACUAUUUUAUGAUAACAUUAAAAAAAUAAGAGACUCUUCCAUUUUCAUAACCUAUGAGACUUAAUGUGCUUUUAAAUGAAAAACUCUUCAUUUUUCAUAACUUGAGGACAAGUUAUGGAGUUCAUAAAAACCAUUAACAUCAAUUAUUCCAAUUAAGACAGUAAUCAAAUAAUUUUUCGAUGAACAAGAUUAAACUCAUAAGCAAAGAUAACUCACAUCAACAAUUUUCAAGAAAUUAGCUAAUUAUAUAAACUAAUACAAAUCUUGAAACUUUAACAAUUAUCAUUAAUUUGGAAGACGAUAAUCAUUACCAUAGCAUCAAAAUCAAAUUGUAUGAACAAAAACAUUUUGUGGUAAUGAUCCUAAUCCAAAAUAGGCCAAAAAACUCGAAAAUCUGCAUUCAGGACUGCCAAAUCGUCGAGCCCCUUGAUGCACUCGAUGAGUCCAAGACAAUCUUCAACCAACUCGUCAAGUCACCCAGUGGACUCGGUGAGUCCAGCUGACAGAAUGCAGAAAAUUCAAUUUUUUUUCUUCGAAAACCGAUAAUAACAUCAAAUAUAAUAAAACAACCCAUGGCUCUGAUACCAUUGUUGGGUUUUUGUAUACUACAACAUCCUAUGGUGCACAUACAACCCUAAAUGCCUUGGAUCUAUGUUUUCUCUAAUUAUACAUGUAAUGGUGUUUCCAAAGCAUUAAGCCUACAACUAGCAUGCAAUUGACAUAAAUAAUAUGAAAUACUAGUUAGGAUGACAUACCACUUAUGUAGCUUGAAACCUGAUUGUAGUUGGCCUUAAGAGCUUAGCACCAAAAGUAUGAAUGCCUCAAAAGGCUCACGACUCACCUAGGACAAAGGAUGACAUUUGAGACAGAAUUCAUACACCAAAAACGCCUGAUGGAAACUCCAAGAAUAACUAGUUGUGAUUUUGGCUAUGGAGUAACAUAUUUAUACGUGAGACUCCAAAGGUCAUGGGGUAACCCUAACCAAUAACCAUGGGUUUAUGAUCCAUGGUUCAUAUGGCCCAAAUCUUAGUCCAACAUGGAUUAUUAGCCCAAUCCAUAUGUUUCACUAAUUACGAUAAUUAGUCCCCAUAGAUUUAAUUAGUCUCUUAUGGUCAUUAAAUUAAUUCCAAACUAAUUCUUGAUCAAUACUAAUUAAAUCAUAUGAUUUCAUAUUAAUAUAUUAGAGCUUAUAAUAUAUUAAUAAAUCAUAAAUAACCUCUUCCCAAAAGUCCAUCCUAACAAAUUGUCCUGAUGAUAUGCAACCUAAAUGGACCAUACUACUCUCGGGUCAAGUACAUACCAAUUAUAGUUAUGGGCUUAGACACCUAAUCCAAUGUAUGAUUAGUAUACCAGAUAUAUGAAUUGCAUGUUAGAGUAGGGCCAAGGAUACCUUCAAGAAUCGUAUGAUAGAAUUGCCUGAUUUGUGUGAUGCUUUAUAGCCUAGGAGAAUUGGAUGAUAUUUUCUAAUUCGAAUUGAUAUCAGCCUAGUUAAUUGCUAAGUGUAUGCUUUAAAAGUUGUAUACGAUUAGGUUUAUAUAGCCCUAUAAUGAUCGAUUUAGCCUCAUUUAUUGUUCCUUGGUUGGUUGUUGACUUAGGGUAGAAUCAUUAUUUGAUAGUCUAUAUGAUCCCAUUUUAUAUACAACUUUCAUGCAUAAGGCAAUUGAAACUGUUGGUUGAGGUUCCCUGUGCUGCAAUGCAGUUGAGUUGAUAAAUCCUAUGAUAGUCUAGGAAAUGUCGAAGUAGGAUAUGUAUGAUGUUUAACAUAGGGAUAAUGUGUAUGAAUUUAAUGUGGUGACUUAGAGGAUUCAGGAUGGUCCUUGAGGAAAGUACAGAUAGGUUUGGAAGGUAGUAUUGAGCCUGUACUACUAAAAUCACAUGAUCUGUACUCGAGACAAGGAUUAUCUUAAAAAUCCUAAGGAGCCUGUGGAAUGGAAGUUCCCCUGUGAGUGUGCUGAGCGUUUAUAUGUUUGUAUUUUAGUUGGUUAUGGAGAUCAUGCAUAGAGGAGCUUCUGGAUCGUGAUUUGGCUUUGGACCAGAACCAAUUGAUAAGCGGUUGCACGAGUUUAUCACAUCUGAGAUUACCUACGAUAUCUUGGAGGCCACCCCUAUGAUUUUCGAUAUUAUCAAGGAAGGGAUUAUGGACCUGAUGGAUGAGCGACUCACGACCCUUUAGGUAGAGAUCGUUACGGUUCAGUGAGUGCUUCGAGGGUUAUCAUAGGGAUGUACUGGUUAGGCCCCAAUGGGGCGAUGAUUGACUGUGAGCACCAACUAGUUAGAGUUUGAACACCUACUGGUGGAGAACUGGUUAUUUGUGGAGAAGGGAUCCAUGUGGAUCGACCUUUUGGUCAAUAGCAAGGGCCAAAAGAUGUCUGUAGCAGGGUUGUUUUGGGUUUUUGGCUUAUGUGGCGGAUACUCGGAUUAGGGCACAAUGACUUUGAGUGAUGUGCCCAUCGUUCGGAAUUUUCCUGCCGUAGUUCCUGAGGAUUUACCUGGAGUGCCUACCAAGAGUCAGGUUUAGUUUCAGAUCGAUUUAGUUCUAGGUGCGGCCCCAAUAGACAAAGCACCAUAUCAGCUGGCACCGCUAGUGAUACAUGAGUUAUCUAUGCAUCUUCAGCUGCUGUUACAUAAUAGGUUUAUUAUAUCGAGCAAUUCAUCAUGGGGAGCACCGAUCAUGUUCGUGAAAAAGAAGGAUGGUUCACACAGGUUGUGCAUUGACUACUGAGAGUUGAAUAAGUUAGUGGUGAAGAACCGUUACCCACUUCCAAGGAUCGAUGAUUUAUUUGACUAGCUUUAGGGUGUAUAUUGGUUUUCCAAGAAUGAUUUACGAUCAGGCUACCAUCAAAUGAAGGUCAGGGACGAGGAUAUGUAGAAGACGACCAUCGGGUGGGACACAUCGUCAACCAGAAGGGUAUAUUGGUCGAUCUGGCCAAGAUUGAGGCCGUGAUGAGAUAUGAGGUUCUGAGGACUGUUAGAUUAGUGUCUAAGCCCGUAACUAUAUUUGGUAUGUACUUGACCGGGUUGUGCAUGGUCCUUUUGUGUUGCCUUCACCAGAGCAAAUUUACACGGUGAUUUAUGGAGAGAGAGAGGUUAUUAUGGUUUAUUAAUAUAUUAUAUGAAUAGUAUAUUAAAAGAGAAAUCAUAUAGUUUAAUUAAUAUUAGACAAUAAUUAAUUAUGAAUUAAUUUUGUGGCUAAAAGACAUUAAUUAAAUAAAGGGGACUUAAACUGUCAAAUGUAUGAUAGAUGAAUACUGGGCUGAGAAGCUUUAUGGAUUAGGCAUGGGCGAAAUUAGGGAUGUGUCCAUCCAAAUUUCGGCCAUAGAGGCCCUAUUCCAGAAGUUUCCUUGGACUGCUUAAGGCCUAAGCUGUCCAUUAGGGUUUUGACUGAAACCCUAGCAGCACAAGUAUAAAUAAACCCCUAGGGCAUCAGAUUUCUCCCACUAGAAACCCUACAAGAGUUCAUAGCCGAAAUUGUGCCUCCUCCCCUCUCUCCAAUAUCAUCCUCUUGCUUGUGUGGUGUUUGUAAGCCAUUAGAGGAGUGGCAUUUGUGACUCUAAGCUCCAAGACAAGAAGAUUCAAGCCAUUAUUGAAGAGGUAAUCAUCUAGAUCUGUUUUCGUAUGGUAAUUUCGAAAUAUGUAUGCUAGAUUUAGGGUUCAUAAGUCUUGGAUGAAUUGCAUGUACAACAGAGAAACCUAGAUCCAAGCUUUAGGGUUUGCAUGAGCACAUAUGAUGUUGUUUUGGCUUAAAACCCAUCAGUGGUAUCAGAGCCAUGUUUGGUUUCUAUUGUAUUUGAUGCAUUAUGAUUUAUUUAUUGCUUAAAAAUUCAUUUUUUUUGGCCCUCUAACUGACGAACUCGUCGAGUCCCAAUGUGAACUCGACAAGUCCACAUUGGGAACUCGGCGAGUUAGGCUGCCAGACAGAGGAUAUCUUGGGAUUCUUGUUGUUUUGCUGAAGCAUAAUUACGAAAACUGUUUUUGACUAAUAAAAUCCGAUUUUUAUUAUUAUUAUGUGAUUAUUCUUACCAAAACAAAAGAUAAUUACCAAUUAAUUGAUUAAUAAAUUCCUUAUGUGAUAAAACUUGAUUAUUUAAAUUAUUUGAUGAAAUAUCUUGUAAAUAAAAUGGAAUAGGUCAAAUUUAGAGAAUCAUUAAAUUAAAUGUUUAAUUUUAAAUUAUUUGCUAUUUGAUCCUAUGUGUUUUGAAAAAGUUUAAAACUUGCCCUUAAGUUUUGGAAUUAAAAUUUUUUAAUUAAAAGUUUAAUUUUGAAAUUAUUAAGGUUUUAGAUAUUCAUUUGAUAAUGAGAAGGGUUCUAUUAAUGCUUAUCUUAAUAGUGUUUUCUUUUUUGAAGCAUUGCCUUGUAAUGGAAUAUAUGAAACUGUGAUGGUUGUAGACAAUUUAGGAAAUGAUGUGUUGUGUAUUGAUUCUUCCAAUGGUUUGGAUAAAGCAUACUUGUGGCAUUGUUGUCUUGGACAUGUCAACAAGAAACGCAUAGCCCAACUCCAAAAGGAUGGAGUGUUGGAGUCAUUCGAUCUUAGGGACGAUGACGUGUGCGAGUCUUGUUUACUUGGAAAGAUGACCAAGUCACCCUUAACUGCCACUUGUGAAAGGGGUGAGGGUUUAUUGGAUUUCAUACAUACCGAUGUGUGUGGGCCCUUUAGAUCCAACACAAGGGAUGUGGGCCGCUUCUAUGUGACUUUCACCGAUAAUUAUAGCAAUUAUGGGUAUAUCUACUUAAUCAAACACAAGUCAGAAACCUUUGAAAAUUUCAAAGAGUUUAAACAAGAAGUGGAGAAUCACUUGGGCAGGAAAAUCAUGAUGCUUCGAUCCGAUCGAGGUGGAGAGUACCUAAGUCUUGAAUUCCAUGACUACCUCAAGGAAUGCGGAAUCAUUUCGCAAUCGACGCUACCUAGGACACCGCAGUUUAAUGGUGUGGCUGAGAGGUGUAAUCGAACCUUGCUAGACACGGUUCCUUCCAUGAUGAGUCGUGCUUCACUACCUAUCUUAUUCUGGGGGUAUGCCUUAGAGACUGCCGCCCAUAUCCUUAACUUGGUCCCUAUGAAGAAGGUUGCCAAAACACCUCACGAGAUCUGGACAGGGAAAGAUCCGUCGUUGGCACAUAUCAAGGUUUGGGGUUGUAAGGCCUUCAUAAGACGAGAGACUCACGACAAGCUCGAGCCUCGUAGUGAGCGGUGUAUUUUCAUCGGCUACCUGCAAAAGUCCUUUGGAUAUCUCUUCUAUAGACCGAGUAACAAUGUUGUCUUCGUUGCGAGGAGAAGGGUUUUCCGAGAAAAAGAACUCAUAAGCCAAGGGGACAGUGGGAGGCAAAUCGAUCUUAAAGAGAUUCAAGAGUCGAGCGAUGAAGGAACCUCUAACGAUGGCGCUCAACUCAAGGAGGAAACUCCGGUUGAACCGAUUGACGAGUCCUUACCUCUAAUACAUUUCGAAAGAGUUAGGGUUCAACCCCAGUUUUAUGGUUUUCAUAUUACUACAGAAGGGGAUACGUUCAUUAGUGAUAGUACACUAGUGAAUUUGGAAGAACCUAACAGCUAUAAGAAAUCCAUGUCAGGUCCAGAGUCUGCAAAGUGGAAAGAGGCAAUGGACAGCGAGAUUCAGUCCAUGUACAAUAACCAAGUUUGGAGCUUAACUGAUAAUGUGCCAGGUCGUAAGAUGGUUGGGUGCAAGUGGAUCUUCAAGAAGAAGACCGAAAUGGAUGGGAAUGUGCACACUUAUAAGGUGCAAUUGGUUGUGAAGGACUUUAAUCAAACUCCUGGAGUUGACUAUGAUGAGACCUUCUCACCGGUUGCAAAGAUAAAGUCUAUUAGGGUGAUGUUGGCCAUUGCUGCAUUUCAUGACUAUGAAAUAUGGAAUAUGGAUGUCAAAACCGCCUUCCUUAACGGAAAGUUUACUGAGGAUGUUUACCUGAAUCAGUCAAAGGGUUUUGUCAAUGCAAAACACCCCAAUAGAGUGUGCAAGCUUGAAAAAUCCAUUUAUGGAUUGAAGGAAGCGUCUCGCAGAUGGAAUCUUUGUUUCGAUGAGAAAGUCAAAGAGUUUGGUUUUUUGCGAAGCGAGGAUGAAUCAUGUAUAUAUAUAAAAGCUAGUGAGAGUAUAGUUAGCUUCCUCGUAUUGUAUGUCGAUAACAUACUACUCAUAGGAAACGACAUCCCGACGUUGCAGGAAGUCAUGUCCUAGCUCGGGAAGUGCUUCGCUAUGAAGGACCUCGGAGAGGCUUCAUAUAUUUUGGGAAUAAGGAUAGUGAGAGACAGAAGAAAAAGACUAAUAGGACUUAGUCAAAAUACUUACUUGGAAAAGGUAGUAAAGCAUUUUAGUAUGGAGAAUUCAAAGAAGGAGGAGUUACCGAUCCAAAGUAAUGCCAAGUUGAGUAAGACUCAAAGUCCGAGUACCGAAGUCGAGAUAGCAGAGAUGAGUCGAGUACCUUACACUUCUGUAGUUGGCUCGAUCAUGUAUGCUAUGAAUUGUACUCAUCCUAAUGUGACCUUUUCUUUGAGCAUGGUCAGCAGAUAUCAAGGGAACCCUGGCAAAGCACAUUGGACCGCAGUCAAGAAUAUUCUUAAGUACCUUCAGAGAACCAAUGAGUGGUUUCUACUCCUCGGUGGGAGUGAUGACUUAAAAGUGUGAGGGUACAAUGACACCAGUUUUCAGACUGAUAUAGACAACUAUCAUUCGCAGUCGGGCUGGGUCUUUACCCUUAAUGGAGGAGCAAUGACUUGGAAAAGUUCCAAGCACGAGACCAUAGUUGAUUCAACAUGUGAAUCAGAGUACAUUGCAGCGAGCGAAGCGUCAAAAGAGGCAAUAUGGUUGAAGAACUUCAUUGGAGACCUGGGAGUUGUCCCAACCAUAAAGGAGCCCAUGGAAAUUUUCUGUGAUAAUGAAGGAGCGGUUGCCUUGACCAAGGAACCGAGGAUCACGACAGAUCUUGACAUAUCGACAGAAAAUAUCACUUUAUUCGACAUCGGGUGGAAGAAGGACUCCUCGUAGUAAAUAGGGUAUCGUUAGUGGAUAACCCAGUAGAUCCGCUUACGAAGGGACUGAGCAGGGUUAAGCACUUGUAGCACACUAGGAGCAUUGGGCUGCAGGACGAUAUUAGUUUCGAUUAGAUAGUUUAGAAACGUGUAAUAGAUAAAUUGUAAUUAACAUUUGAUGAUUAAAUAAAAGAGUAUUAUUUAUAAGUAAUGAUACUAUCUUAUAUUAAUUGUUUACCUAUUGUUUCAAUUUGCAUGUUUUGACUUCCUGAAUAAUAAGAUUAUCCAAAUAGUCCACAACGUUCAUAUGUUGGAAGUAGGUAUGAAUGAAGACUGUUGUGAAUUGGUGUGUAGAUUAUCUAAAGUGUAUUAGACAUAGUAAAAGUUUGCUACAACGUUUAUGAGUACUUAUGAGUUUGAUUUGAGCAUUGGAAUAAACCCAUGCUUGCUGGAAUCACUUCAUGGAAUUUAUCUUGAGUGAUUGCAAGAUGAUAAUAUCAUAUGGUCUUAAAACCUAGAUAUAUGGUUUAUUGUUUGCUAAUUGGUUGUGCAUUGAUAAUGCGUAAACGCAUCCAUAACUUGAUGUUAUAAAACGCAUUGUUGUGUAUAAUUUGAUUAGUGGAUAGUAAAUGCAUAUAAGUCGAAGUUUAUUUGUUCCUUUUAUCCUAAGAGGGUAGAAGAGAUAUCAAGGCCCCUCGAUGAUUUGGUUUGACUUAUGUGUCGGGCCCGUUCAGGACUGAAUUCAUGUGUUCAAUUAAGUUCUAUGUUAAAAGAAUCUGAAGAUCGAGAAACAAACUGCUAGACAAUAAGUAUGACUAUGUUCCAUGUGAUUGUCCACACGAUAUCUAGAACAGAGAUGCUCUAUUGAAACUUUGCUACUUAAAACAAUUUCAUGGUAUUGAGCUAUCAAAUUCAAGGUAACCCCUUGAAUAUCUUCCUUGCAUUAAGGUUUCUAACUCAUAUAUAGAUUUUAACAACCAACUCCCAUUAUGGAAACAUUUCCAUAUUCCCAUAUGACUAUCAAUUAUGAUCAAGAAUUAUCCCAAUCAGAAACAUGUGAAUAUGGUCGUUCCAAAUAUUACUAUACUUCCAACUGUCGAUAAGCAACUAAUCUUUAGCGAACCGCAGAUUGUCCUUUAACAUUUGUUUAACAACUCUAGUCACAUCUUGCUCUAGUCCUUUUUCCCUCUUAAUUCCCUAUGCAUUUGAAAAAAAUUAGAACAAGUGAAUAUUAUAGCGUAUGUCAUCAAUUCUAUAUCUGAAGCAUAUGGAAUUCGAUAUAUAAUGUCUUACAUAAAGACAUGAUACUUGAUGAUUCUCAUGCUAUAAUAUUUCCAUAUAUCGAAUUUCCUAUGUUGAAGCAUUUCAAUACAAUCUUCAUAUAUGUCCAACACUAAGUUCCAAUAAAAAUUUCAAUCUAAACUUUUAGAUUUGAAAUGAAGUAUGACUCCCCUCUCCCCUAAGCUUAUUAUAGUGAAACAAUUUCUCAAACAUUACAACUUGCAAAUUGAAAACUUUGUUUCCUACCAAUAGUAUUGCCAACCCGCAACACUUAGCAUAACAAUUAUGCUCCCACUAGCUUUGACAUGUACCCAGAAAUCAACUGGACUUCUAGAAAUCAAUACUAUUGACUUUCUUUCUAAAGUUCAGAUUUCUAAUAUGUAAUGCUUUGAUAAGUAUUCAUCUUGACUUCUCAAGCUGAUACACCUUUCAUUAGGUAGCAUAUGUGUGUGUGUUUAAACCCUCUCUGAACUUACAACAAUAAGUCUGGAAUGUUCAAACAGUCCUUUGUCAUUUCUCACAAUUCGAACUACGAAAAAGGAUGUCAUAAUCGUAUGCGAAUUUGAGAACGCAAUUAUCACAACUGCUAACCAUAAUGAUAUCAAUCAAAUUUAAAAUCUACUAGCGAAAGUGUUUCCUCAUGAUCAUUUUAAUGAGUUAGAGGAAUCUUUUGCCACUUAGAUUUUUGUGGUGUAUGCAUUCUUAUCCAUGUGAAUUAUCAAUUCCAACCUACAAUCAUAAGAUAAAGUUGAGGACAAAACCAAAAUCAAAUUUAGUUUUCCUUUCAUGGACUGAACUUUCUUAAUUCUAAAUUCCUUGCCUUCUGGCAGCACAAGGCCCUACCAGUGCUUCCAUGUUGUUUAAGCAGAUCACUUCCAUUGACAAAUGUACCAUCACUGACCAAUGUGCUCUGCCUUUUUGCAGUCAAAUGAGAACUAUAGAACUCACAUGCAUUGUUAACUCAACUGGAAGGUGCAUAGAAACAAGAAUGUGUCAACACGAGAGGUUAUCAACCUCAGGUCGUGUGCUAGUGAUUACUAAAAGGUUUAUUGUUAAUUGAGUCUUGAAACUCUUCAAGACCAAUAAGACUCCCACUGACUUCUUGACAUAUAAGUUUCUCUCUCAAGGAGCAAUCCUUGACAAGCAAAAAAAAAUAUUCAAAAGUUAGUGUGGAUUCUUGACAAGAAAACACUUCAUGUUAGUUUAUCCUUUGUUUUAACCAAAACAUCACAAAUACCAAUUUCACAUGUGCUAGAGUAAGAAAACUUUUUUCCACAUAUCAUGAGGUGUUAUAAACCUACUUAGUUUGAAAUAAGCUUCAAGAUACGAUUCGAAGUUACUAGAGUGUGACUCUAAAACUUGAUUUGAUACGAAGUAUGAUGAAUCUCUCGAUUAAAGCAUUUCAACACUAUCUUAUUCCUCUUCUUAGUCAUACAAAUGCACAAAGAUGUCCUUAGAGGAUCAAUUAUGACAUGGUUCCAUAAUCAUUAAGAUGAUCACAAAACAUGAUACCAAAGUACUCUCCUUUCCUUUCAGAUCAGAGAAACUUUUAUCUCUCUACCUAAUAGAUUCUUCAUAUUCAUUCUAAAAUUCUUUGAAACCUUUCAAAAAAACAAAAUUACACUUAAUCUUAUAAGUAUAACCAUAUUUACUGAACCAUCAGUAAAUCAUGAUGAAUAGAAUUAUCAUCCUUUGUGGUGGAUCUAACCAGUCCACAUCAAUGUGUACUAGAUCCUUUAGUCCUUCACUUGUCUCACACAAACAUGUGAACAAUGAAUUAGUCUUAAUUUUCCAAAGCCCAAGAUUCUCAUACAUCACACAAUUCAAAUUGUAUGACUCCAAGUUUCUAUCCAACUGAAACUUGGGUGAUGAGAAUUCUUUUUCUCUUGGUUGAUUAUGACAUUUCCACAAACAACAUAACUAUGAAUCAAAUCCAUAUUUAACAUUGCUAAUAAUAGAAAUAUCAUCACCAAUUUUCAUAAAUGCCAUUGAAAGGAAAUAUAAAGUAACAAAAAUUCACUUUAUUGAUAGAGUGCGAAAUUUUUUUUCCUUACAAUGCAAAUAUAAAAACUAUGUUUCUAGACAUUUCCUAAGCAAUCUCUUAAUCUAUCAUAGCUCCUAAGCAGCAACUCAAAAAUAUGAUCAUCAAACCAUGCGAUCGAAAUCCAUCUCUCACGCUCAGAUUCAAUUCACUCUUCUUAAGCUUCUUUCUUUCUCUUAGAUAUUGAAAAACAUCAAAAUAUGACUAUCACAUCAUGUAAUAAGAAUCUAUGAAUAGGAACUUAAUAAAAUAGAGUUAGAUAGUGGAUGUACCUGAAGUAGAGUCAUACAACUUGACUUUACUAUCUCUGCGAUCUUUCAGGUAGAUAGGGCAGCUUCGUAUCCAAUGUCCAUUCAAUUGGCAAUAGAAACGUAUGGACUCUUCGAGAAUGGCACAUGGAGCUAUCUCAAAACUAGCAUUUCUCUUUACUAUAUUGUCAAACGAUUUGAACUUGGCCGAUCCCUUUCCAUUGGGAAGAGAAACCUUUUCUGGACUACCAAUCUUACCAUUGUUAAUGUCCAUGGAAACUUGGGAGACAGAUCCUUCAAACACAUUUACUUGACCAAUGCUCUUUAGCAUUUCUGCUUCAGUAGCAAUUAGCAAAUAUGUUAGAUCAAUUAGGGUUAGGUCGUUGUCAGUCAUAUAGUAGUCCCUAACGAACUGACUAUAUAAUACAGGAAGCGGGUGAAGAACCAAGUCAACAACCAAAUCCUUUGGGAAAACGACAUCCAACAUUCCUAAUCUAUCAAUGUGUGACUUCAUUUUAGAACAUGUCCACACACAGAAUUUCAUCUACGUGUUUGUAUGCCAACAUGGCUUGAGUAACUUUGAACUUUUCAAGUUGAAGAAAACAUGGGUCGCGGAGAAUUACUAAAGGAGGUGGAGGAAGAGUUGGAGAAGCAAGAUUUCCAGUUCCACCAUUUGAAGAAGGGAACAUUCUUUCACCUUGAUCAACUUGUGGAAGAUCAUCUUCAGAUUGAGAAGGAAAACCAUUUCCAAAAGGAUGAGGAAGACCAUUGAUGUCUGAACUCGGCAUCUACAAAGGGAGAAAAUUCAAGUUAGUUUAUUUAUUUAAUCCUUAAUUAUUAACCUAAAAUUUAAAUUAAAGCUAGGAUCCAUAUUUUCGAUUCGAAUUCCAAAGAGGGAUGUCGUAAUCAAAUUCGAAUAUACUUUAGGUAGGUAAGCAAUUACCAGUUUCAAUCAAAUGAAACUCCUAGAUAUUUUGAGAUUCAUUGAACUAUUCAAUGACGUGUUUAAUCUUGAUUAUGCUCUCACUUUGUGACUGGGAUACCAAGGAUCACAAACGAGAUGUGAAUAACCAUGCAAAUUAGCUUGGUACUCUCGAUGUCAUUUAUCGCACAAUCAAUGUGCCUGUUAAACACACAUGCUCCAUUGAUCAAUGAUAAUUUACGAGACACCCAUUUCCAACAAUAUUAGUCCACAUUAGUGUGCCGGUUAACCACACACGCUCUACUAACGACCAAUAAGGUGCAAUGUGCAAUUUCAUGGGUUAGCAUCAAAUUCACAUUUUCCUAAAGUAACUAAAAAUGAGAUUUUAGAAAAUGGUUUAGUUACUUUAUCAUUAUACUUUUAAUGAGGAUUAAUUGUCCUAUCGAACCCGUUCGGCUAACGACCCUCCACCAUACAAGAGAGCGGUGGGUAAGAAUGAAUACCCAAUAACGGUCAUUUUACAUGUCACUUCCUUAAACUCCCCUUAUAGUAUGGCUUUGCGAAUGAGGCAUACUAGUGGUUCGACUGACUCGUCUUAUAUAUAUAGUAAUAUUAGACCUUUAAUGUUACAUAUAAUAUAAGCAUGUAUUUUAAACUUUUAAAAUACUAGGGAUUUAAUCUUUUAAUAAUUAAACUUUUAAUUUGAUUAAAUUUAAACCCUUUAUGGAUUUAUUAAUUUUCUUUUAAUUAAACACUUAAUUAAAUUAUUAAUAACAUCCAUAAGGACGUACUUUAAACCUUUUAAAAUACUAGGGUUCCAAAAUUUAAGAUUUCAAAAUUAAACUAUUUAAUUAAAUUUUAAAUUAUAAAACCAAAUGGUGUAUUUUUAAAACUUUUCAAAGAUACCAGGUUAAAUUUUUAAUAAUUAAACUAGCUAUUAGUUUUAUCUUUAUCAAAAAUUAAACCAAAUCAUUAAAUUUGACAAGGAUAUAAAAUUACCUUUUUUUAUAAAAAUUCAAUUUUAGGCAGAAAAAUGAAUUAAGGUAAUUAUCCUAGUAAAGCCAAGAUUAUUGUAACACCAAGAUUUCCAAAAACAAAAUUUUCAUUCAAAUAAUCAAUUUAAUAUCAAAAACACUUGUUUAAAAUCUGAUUCGCAUUCAAAUUACAAAACAUAGUUUCAUUUUCAUUAUAAUAGAAGACCAGGAUCCUCCAAAACACAACUCUUUCUUCGGUGUGUACAAUCGAACCGUUGCCAUCCCGCGUUACUGUAAGAACCUGAAACAACAUAACAUAAACAACGUAAGCACGAAGCUUAGUGAGUUCCCCAAUAUACCUUACGCACAUACGCCUUCCGGCCCGGACCUCUCGGUCCACAUAACAUUGCCUUCCGGCCCGACCUUCCGGUCCAUGUGUCUCUGGGGACUUCCGUCCCUGCUGGGUAAACCUUCCGGCCUUACCCACGCCGACCUUCCGGUCCAUCACACAUCAUAUCACCUUCCGGCCCAUAAUAUAUUCGCCUUCCGGCCCGUAACAUACAUAGCACAUAUAACAUAUAACAUACCACAUAUAGCAUACAUAUCACAUAUCAUAUCCGACCUUCCGGUCACACAGUCAAACCCUUCCGGGUACAGUAUAGUGAGAAGACUCACCUCGCGGACACUAGAAGAUAGCAACUCCUAAAAUCCCUUGCACUUGAUCCUCCGAGCUACAAGCUCCCUGUAACAUCAUAUAUCCCUUAUUUAAUACUUCUAUCUUCCACGUUAACUGACCCUAAGAAUCACACCAGUCAACUCUGGUCAACAGUCCAAUGUCAGCUCGACUGGACUCGGCGAGUUCCCUGGCGACUCGGCGAGUCUGGUCGUCCUUCAAUCCUCUAAGAUUCCCCUUCUACUCGUCGAGUAUCCUCUUUGACUCGACGAGUCACUCCUGGAAGAAUCGCGGGGCCACCCCGACUCCACUCGCCGAGUCUGAAGAACAACUCGGCGAGUCCCAGUGAAUCUUCAAGCUACUCGCCGAGUCUGAUCAUCCGACUCGGCGAGUCCACGCCAUGCAGUCGAUCAAACUGCUUCCUGAGAUACAUAUUUUCCCGAAUAUACAAACAUAGGACCUUCUGGACCUCUAAGGGGUACUAAUACAGGGUUAUAAACGUUGGAUAAUAACACAACAAUCCAUCUAAUCCCAAAUGGGUUUCAUAAACCCUAAAUUCGUGUACACAUCAAAAUAACAGGAAUGAUCCGAAACAUAACCUGAAAACGUACUCUCUGUGUCCCCAAACCUCAGAACUCGACCCCCUUGCUCUUCCUUUGGCCAAAAUCCUUCCUCUUCUUGCACCACAAUUCCUUCAAAGUCAAUAAUGGCCUUCAAGUUUGCUCUAGAUGCCACAGUCGUUUAGGGUUCUCCACAAUCGGCCAAAAGACGUGAAAUGACGACAUAACAACCCUUAUAUACGACCCAAUACGAAACGGCUAGGGUUUCCGCUGAACAGCGUCGACUCGCCGAGUCCAUAUCUGGACUCGUCGAGUCCAGUCGUGAACCCGCGACCAAACCUGCGACCCUACUCGGCGAGUCUGGCUCCAACUCGUCGAGUCUCCCCUUUAAAACACCCCCAAAAUGCAAUUUAACAAUACUUGAGAUUUUGGGCUGUUACAAUUCUCCCCCACUAGAAUUAGACUUCGCCCUCGAAGUCUCACUCUGAAAAUAGCUCUGGCUGCUGCUCCCGCAUCUCACGUUUCGGCUUCCCUAGACACUACCGAUCUCUCCCGAGACCGCUACUGAACCAAUACCAGAGGUACCUCCUUGUUCCUCAGAACCUUGAUCUUCCGAUCUCCGACGGCCACUGGCCUCUCGACGUAACACAGGCUCGCAUCCACCUAAUCGUUCUCUAGUAGAACCACUGCUGACUCAUCCGCUAUACACCUCUUCAACUGCGACACAUACCAGUGUCAUGGAUCCGUCCCAAUUCCGUUGACAGCUCCAAACGAUAGGCCACCCUUCCUACCUUCGCACCUUCACGAAAAGACCCAACAUACCGGGGCCCCCCAUUUACCCCUCUUCCUAAAUCGAAGCACCCCGUCAGAAAUACGAAGUCGCUGACCUGAAUCACAUGCUCGUAACGGCGUCUGCCUGCAUAACUUUCCUGUUAACUCUAGACGAUCACUAACUCUCUUUAACCUGCUGAGUCUGCUUUGUCAACUAAAGUACGAACUCUGAACUGCUCAUCACUCUCUGUAAUCGGAAAUUACCCACGAUGCACUCUGCUCCAAAUCUCAACGAUCACUCAACCCAUAAGGGUUAGGAAACCCUGAACCACCGGAUCCCCGAUCCAAAGCCCACUUUGCCCAUUCCGGACCGACUGAGAGAUCCGUUCUCCCUCUCAGAUCAACUCUCACAAGUUCCCUCUUGCCAUCACAUACACAUACUGAACUAGUCCCAACACCCGCAGGUGGAAAGACCCGAUACACUGAUGAUAUCCUCGAACAUCUCCCAAGAUGAACCACUACAUCCACCCUACACUCUGAUCAGAUUCACACUGAGAAUUUAAAAUUUUCUCUCUCCAUGCAUCCCUUCUGAGCCUCAACAGACAUCCCAACCGGAUGGGUUCCUACUCCACUGCCGCGAACACGAUGCUCAAAACCAUACUCGAAAUACUCUAACCAUAACUCUGCUCUGCAGCUUUCACUUUCGUGAACUUGCACCCCCUUCGGAGUUACAUACCCUCCUCUUUUCCUUUUCCACGGAACUCUCUUGAACAUAAUGCCACUCCAACCGGUGCCACGGUGCUCGCCCCAAGCGACACCACCCUUUUUGCGUAACUGCUAUUCACAUACUCUGGUUCUCAUUGCAGGGGCUCUCAAUCCCAUGCACUCUCUCCACUCAUCAAAAUCACUGCCUCCGCUAAACAAGAUCAAUAACCCGGGGCCAGACCUUCCAAUGCAAUCACACUGCAACAUACGCGAUCCGCAAAUCUCAAACUAAUCCAGCAAUACCAACAGAGUCUCCAGUAUGACUGGACCGACUCUCAUAACACAUACUAGCCACUCGAGGCUAUAUCUCUGUGGGUCCGUACACCCAAACUCUGCGAACCCUCAGGUUCUAACUCUGGGAACCUUCCGGUUCCAGCUCUAGAAACAUGCACAACAUAAUCCCGUGGGAUUAAUGCAGUACAACCCAUCACGUACCUCAAACGUACCAAUACUCUGAUCGCAAAAUUCCGAUUACUUACUCAAGCUUGAUCCCGACCUCCUCUCAGGCCUCCACAAUCAAAUGCCCUAGGUCUGUAUCUCGCCCCGCAUACUCAACACUCGCUCUCGUCGGCCUAUACUUUGCGCUGACAAACACUGCUGAAUCCCAACAGCUAAGCACCCUUACAUACUCAUCGAUCUCCCGGAGAAUUUUACAAUUCUCCCCCACUAAAGCACUGACUAACUGCCACCGAUCGUCAUUAACGACCUUUCAGAACCAUCCUGCACAAAGAGAACAUUUACCCACUGACUGCUUCCCACAAGCGUAAGCAACCCUCAGCAAAACACAUCUCCUCCCUGAUCAAUCCGCUCAAAAGAAUCCGAUCUUUCAAUUAUCCACUCCACAACUGCAGAUGCUACCCGUCAUUCAACCCAGUGCCGCAUCUCCACUAUCAACCCUCACGAACGAUGACCAACGGAAUUCCCAAGCAAUAACCCAUAACCAAACCCACAACCUGCCAAAGGUUGAAUAUCGCAUCGAAAACCGCACAAGGCUACCGGUACCAAAACACCAAACUAUAAUCAUACUAAACCAUCAGGGAACAACGAAUGCCAAGCGAAAACCUGAAGCACCAAUCCAUAACCAUGCCAAACCCGCGAAACAACGAAUACCGCAUCGAAAUCCACACCAGACACCAGCACAAACAAUACGCCACAAUCAACGCAAGCUACUCAAGACAUCAAGAGAGCAUCAUACCCGCAGCUGCCUCCGGCACUGCUCCGUCUCCCUCUGCCGCAAGCCGAUAAGCACGACCCUGAGCCCUUGGGCUCUGCUCCAUCCUGUCCUCCUCCUGAACUCCUCAAGGUGGCCGAUGCUAGAGCCUGCACCGGUCCUGCAGGAAACUGUGGACGGUUGACCCUCAAAUGUCCAACCUGCCGACACUGAUAACAAAUCCUGAAAUCCCGAAUUGGCACUGACUGCCGACAAUCCCGUGCACCAUGCCCCUCCUUUCCGCACUUGCGGCAUGCACCACUGGGCCAACAAGCUCCGGUGCCAUCUCUCUCACACUUCCCACAAGUGUGACCGCUCCGAUCCCCCAUUCUAACGUCUACGGUCAUGGACCGUUUCGGCGCCGACUGCGACUGCAUCGGGGCCUGCCUCAUCUCACGCUACUGCAACUCAACCUCUAACUCACGCCACAUGGCGGCCUCCUGCGAUACCAACACGGUCUCGCGCCUCUGCGCAGACACGAACUGUCUGAUCCCCCCCCUUGAGCAUACUCGGAUAUCGGGACAUCUGAGCCUGCUCCGAAGCGAACUCAGGGCAAAACAUCGCCCUCUCAAUAAACAUCCCGGUGCUCUCAGUCACCGACUCCAAAUCCUGCUUCAGCUUAAGGAACUUCCGAGCCAAUUUCUCCUUUUCAUCCCGCGGAACAUAGCGAGUACUGAACAUCCCUCUGAAUUGAUCCCAUGAAACCGCAGCCCUCUGCGCAUCGGAAAAUGACCUCGUGGUCAAUCUCCACCAAUCCUUCGCCCCGAGCCUCAAUAGGUUCAGAGCACACCCCACCCUCUGAUCAGCAGGGCAUAAACUCGUGGAGAAACACCCCUCCAUGUCUGAUAACCAUCUCAUAGCAACAAUCGAGUCCUGAACUCCAUCGAAUGUGGGAGGCUUCGCAUAAUAGAAGUCCCGAUACUGAAAACCCCGACUAGCCCCUUUCUUUGCCGUUGCUACAGCCGCUGUAACCGCCGCGGCAGCCGUCUCUGCGAAAGCCGCAUAUCGCUCAUCAAACUACUUCAAUCAUAGUGGUCCUGAUCGACCCAAACAAUUCUGGCGACUCAGCCCGCAACAAUGCAGCAACCUCAUCACGCCGGAUCUCGCGAAUCCUCGCAUCCCGCUCGCUCGUGCUCGUCCGAUCGAUAACCGGAUAACAAGAUAGCCACAAGCAUCAUCCACUACGAACCAUGGUACUCAUCCCAUGACAUCCCUCCUCAACAUGCUUCGGUGUAUGGUACCUGAACCAUAGCACCACUCCUCAAUCUGCUCCAAUGUAUAGCACUCGAACCACAACAUCUAUCUCAAUCUGUUCCGAUGUAUGGUGCCCUGACCAUAACAUCACUCUGUAUCCGCUCCGAUGUAUGGUAUCCGAACCAUAACAUCACCCCUCAAUCUGUUCCUUAGGACCUUCAGAAUGCCCCCUGUAUCAAGUAUGGGUCCUCUGCUUUCAGUAGUACGGGCCCAUACUACCUGCCACAUCUACCCAUACUUUCCACACGGACCAUCCCAGAGUUCCUAAGUAGCUGAUAAACCUGCUCUUUCACCCAUCUCAUCGCGCGUGCUCGCUUUCCAGCGAAAUCCUCUACUCUACCAGCGCACUCAUCUGGCUAGGUUUACUCCCUAGUCCCUUCCGCUGUCCUCCCACUUCUUUGCUAUCAGCUGCUGAAGAGUUCCUAAUGAUGCCAGCCCUCUACCUCCUGAGUAUCGUCAUACUCACUUAGUAGCUGACUCCCAUCAUCGAUAACUCCACAAAGCACAAAGCAAGCAGCAUUCGAGCAUUGAAGCAUACAUAGGACUCCCCAUCUGUGGUAGCUCCACCUUCUCGGCUCAUCCUCGGAAGUACCUCUGUACCCCGUAGCUUUACCCCUUGUGCGUUCUAACUAGAUACUCUCACUCAUCACAUACACACAAAAGCAUAACGCACAUAUAACAGCAAACCCUAGACUAAGGCAUCACAAAUCAGGCCACUCUAGUCCUAAGAUGUGAAAUACCUAGCCUGUCUCUAGCAUGCAAUAAUGUCUCAUAAAGUGCAUAAUAGAUAUUUCAUAAUACAAAAGUAAGGGUAUUUUGGGAAAUCACCGUUUGGCUCUGGCUGAUUGUACACACUGCUCUUUCUUGCUUUCUCUUUGAACUCUUAUUCACUUUUAGAAAACCAUUUAUUUGGAAAACUUUUUCUUACUUCCUCAGUUUGAGUCCAGAUUUACCCGUAGGCGCGUCCGAAUCCCUCAAACCAAGGCUCUGAUACCAAUUUGUAACACCGUGAUUUCCAAAAACAAAAUUUUCAUUUAAAUAAUCAAUUUAAUAUUAAAAACACUUGUUUAAAAUCUUAUUCACAUUCGAAUUACAAAACAUAGUUUCAUUUUCAUUAUAAUAGAAGACCAGGAUCCUCCAAAACACAACUCUUUCUUCGGUGUGUACAAUCGAACCGUUGCCAUCCCGCGUUACUGUAAGAACCUGAAACAACAUAACAUAAACAACGUAAGCACGAAGCUUAGUGAGUUCCCCAAUAUACCUUACGCACAUACGCCUUCCGGCCCGGACCUUUCGGUCCACAUAACAUUGCCUUCCGGCCCGGAUCUUUCGAUCCACAUAACAUCGCCUUCCGGCCCGGAUCUUUCGAUCCACAUAACUUUGCCUUCCGGCCCGGAUCUUUCGAUCCACAUAACAUUGCCUUCCGGCCCGGAUCUUUCGAUCCACAUAACAUUGCCUUCCGGCCCGGAUCUUUCGAUCCACAUAACAUUGCCUUCCGGCCCGGAUCUUUCGAUCCACAUAACAUUGCCUUCCGGCCCGGACCUUUCGGUCCACAAGAUAAUUGCCUUCCGGCCCAUACACAUAUAUAACACAUAAUACAAAUACUCUAACACAUAAAGCACAUAUAUCAUAUAUCAUACCUGACCUUUCUGUCACAUAAUACCUUGCCUUCCGGCCCAUAUAUAAGCAUGUAUAUCACGCGUAGCAGCUAACUUUCCAUUUAUAGCAUAUAAACAUAACACAUAACAUACUUGACCUUCCGGUCACACAAUCAAACCCUUCCGGGUGAGGUAUAGUGAGAAGACUCACCUCGCGGACACUGGAAGAUAGCAACUCCUAAAAUCCCUUGCACUUGAUCCUCCGAGCUACAAGCUCCCUGUAACAUCAUAUAUCCCUUAUUUAAUACUUCUAUCUUCCACGUUAACUGACCCUAAGAAAUCACACCAGUCAACUCUGGUCAACAGUCCAUUGUCAGCUCGACUGGACUCGGCGAGUUCCCUGGCGACUCGGCGAGUCUGGUCGUCCUUCAAUCCUCUAAGAUUCCCCUUCUACUCGUCGAGUAUCCUCUUUGACUCGACGAGUCACUCCUGGAAGAAUCGCGGGGCCACCCCGACUCCACUCGCCGAGUCUGAAGAACAACUCGGCGAGUCCCAGUGAAUCUUCAAGCUACUCGCCGAGUCUGAUCAUCCGACUCGGCGAGUCCACGCCAUGCAGUCGAUCCAACUGCUUCCUGAGAUACGUUUUUCCCGAGAUACACACUCAUGGGACUUCUGGACCUCUAAUCAUCCUAUUACUAGGGUAGAAACCUUUGUAUAACAACAUAAUAAUCCAUCAAAUCUCCAAAUGGGUUUCAUAAACCCUAAAUUCGUGUACACAUCGAAAUAACAGGAAUGAUCCGAAACAUUACCUGAAAACAUACUUUCUGUGUCCCCAAACCUCAGAGCUCGAUCCCCUUACUCUUCCUUUGGCCAAAAUCCUUCCUCUUCUUGCACCACAAUUCCUUCAAAGUCAAUAAUGGCAUUCAAGCUUGCUCUAGAUGCCACAGUCAUUUAGGGUUCUCCACAACCGGCCAAAAGACGUGAAAUGACGGCAUAACAACCCUUAUAUACGACCCAAUACGAAACGGCUAGGGUUUUCUGCUGAACAGCGUCGACUCGCCGAGUCCAUACCUGGACUCAUCGAGUCCAGUCGCGAACCCGCGACCAAAUCUGCGACCCUACUCGGCGAGUCUGGCUCCAACUCGUCGAGUCUCCCCUUUAAAACACCCCAAAAUGCAAUUUAACAAUACUUGAGAUUUUGGGCUGUUACAAUUAUCAAAAUCGAAAAUCCAGGGAUCUAACCGGCCAACUCUUCGAGUCUGUGCAAUGCACUUGUCGGGUUGGACCAACUCGCCGAGUUCCAAACAUGAACUCGUUGUGUUCUAUGAACUAAUGACGAUUGUACUCCCUUCUCCUUUGAAAGAUUCACAAUCGCAUCAAGUUCAACUGAAAAAUAUCCUAGGCUCUGAUACCACUGAUGGUUUAUGAGCAUAACUACAAAUCAUAUAUGUUCAUGCAACCUUAUAAUUAAGGAUCUAGGUUUUCACUAGUUGAACAUGCAAACUUGAAUAUCAAAAAGAAAACCCUAAUGGCAUCUAUAUAAUCGAACUUGAUGAAAUAUAAAAGUUUAGAUGUGUACCUUACUUAUUAUGUAGUAAUAACAAGAAAACCUUGUAGAUCUUGAACUCUUGAAAGCAAGUGACUUAAAUGUGACACCUCUAAUGGCUUACAAACAUUCUUUGCAAGAGGAUGAGAAGGAGAGAGGAAGGAGGCACACUAUAUUUUUAGCUCUUCUAGGGUUAGGGUCAAGUGGCCGAAAAUCCAAGGGGUACCCUCAUUAUAUACUUAUGGUUGCUUAGUCCUAAAGUUAGGGUUUGCAAGUGGAAACCCUAAUUCUCUGCUUAAGGCCUAAGUAACCCAUGGACUCCUCAUUAGAAGGACUUGGACAAAAACUUAUAGGGCCACCCUAUAAUUUUCGUCCACUCCUAUCCAAGGAGUCCAAGAGCCCAGUUUCACACCUAUCAAUGAUUUGCAAAACAACCCUUGUACUUUUAAUUAAUUCCUUUAAUCCCAAAAUUAAUUCCAAAUUAAUUUCUGAUUAAAUAUUAAUUAAACAAAAUGAUUUCCAUUUAAUAUAUUAUUUUCAUAACACAUUAAUAAAUCAUUUACAUGAAUUUUUUAUUCCAAACAAUAAAUUCAACUUCUCUCCAAAAGUCAUUCUGUCACGUUCCAAGAGUGAAGGCAACCCAAAAGGACUUGUGCUUCUAUCAAUUCAAGUAUAUAUAAUUUAUAGUUAUAGGCUUAGACACCUAAUCCAAUAGUGACCACCAUGUCUCACGUUGUGACCCUCUUCCCAAAAGCUAUAAUUCAAGAAAUUGAGUACCUCCAUGAUCCAGGUGUUACACAGCCGUUACCCAUUCCCAUGUGGAAAGCGGAAGAGAUCACUAUGGAUUUCAUCACAAAUUUGUUGAGGACGACACGUAAGGUUAAUUCUAUCUUGGUCAUUGUCGAUAUAUUGACCAAGAGCGCAUUCCGAUUGUUGAGAGUAUAUAUUAGUCGGGAAUUGGUCGACCUUUACAUUUGGGAAGUGGUGGUUCGACACGGAGUGUCUGUUUUGGUGGUUUUGGAUCGAGAUAUUCGUUUUACCUCCAAGUGUUUUAGGAAGUUUCAUGAGGAGUUGGUUACUCAACUGCAUUUUAGUAUAUCAUACCACCCCCAUACCGAUGGUCAGAGUGAGCAAACCAUUUAUACAGUCGAAGAUAUGCUCAUGACGUGUAUGCAUCGGGUCAUGGGGAGUACUGAUGUAGUGCUCAAGACUACCAGGAUGAUACAAUAGGUGCUUGACAGGUUGCGGGUCACACAAAGUCGACAGAAGAGUUAUAACGAUCGAUAUCAUUCAGAUAUCAAGUUCUAGUGGGGGAUUUGGUACUAUUGAAAGUGUCACCUUGGAUGGGUGUCAUUCAGUUUCAGAAACGGGGGAAGUUAGGUCCUCGUUUUAUCAGUCCUUUCAGAAUUAUCGUCCAGGUAGGCAAGGUUGCAUAUAAUUUCGAGUUUCCUCUUGAGCUUCGUCAGAUACAUAACCAUUUCCAUGUCUCUUAGUUACGGAAGUGUUAGCUGAUGAUUCUGUGGUGAUUCCUUUAGAUGACAUUCAUGUUGAUGAGCGCCUGAAUUAAGUAGAGAUACCAAUUACGAUUAUCGAUAGAAAGAUAAAGCCUUUGUACAACAAAGAGGUGAAACUGGUGAAGGUGCAAUGGCAGCACCAAAGGGGUUCUGAAUGCCAUGUGGGAGUCAGAGGACGAGAUGUGAGAGAAUUACCCCAAAUUAUUUGUAGAGGCAUACUUCUAGGUUGAAGCCUGAUUCUAGUAGGGGAGAGUUGUAACAUCCAUAUCACGAGGUACUUUCUAUUUUGCAAAUUUGGCAUUUUAUAGGAUCUCCACGACAUGGUGGUAAGGCACCACGACGUAGGCAAGUGAAGGUUAGCCCACAUAGUUUAUUUAAGCCCCAACGACAUGGAAGUAUAGGCCACGUCAUGGCAGCUGGCAAAUAAAAAAAAAACCCUAUUUUUCGGGUUUUGCUCCCUAUUUAAAGGAAUGUGAAGGCUAGGGUUUGCACACCCUCAGCCUCCAUCAAACCUGUGAAACCCUAAAUCCCUAUCUCUCUCUCCUCUCUCUUUCUUUCUCAUUUUGAGUCUCUGUUGGUGUUCUUGAAGCCUUAGAGGGAAGAAAGAAGAAGAAGUGAGCUAAGACUCAGCAAGCUAGUCCUUAUCCUUGGUGUUAACAAUAUUCUGGACCUUUGUAAGUGUCCAACACUUAAUUUUUAUUAAAACAGAUUGUUGUAUCUUAUGUUUUGUCCCUUAAUCUUCAUAUUUUGUGAGAUGGAAUGAUGGGAUCUGAUAAAGCUUGCAACUUUAUGAAUCUAUGGGACUUUUGGGUAUGCUUAUUGGUUUGGAUAUGGUUUCUUGAUGGAUUUUGAGCCAUGCAUGGGAUUUCCAUGGAAAACACUCUUUUUGGCUCAUUAUGGCUUCAAGACAUGAAUUGCACAUGCAUGUCUAUAAAGCACUAACUUUUAUGUUGGAUUAGGUAUUAAAAUAUGUUUUUGGAGUAAAUGAGCUAUGGAUUUGUUUUUGGAAUAAGUGCUUAAUGGGGAAAUCCAUGUCAUAUUUAGCUACUUUGAAUCUAGGGCUUGAGAUUUUGACCUUGUGGAUGGUCUUAUUGGGUAAAAUUGGAAACCUUAUCCUUCUAGACCUUGUUUCAGAUCAGAUCUGAAAUUUGGAGCCUUUGGGAUCGAAGAAAACAACUUAAUCCAUUAAGCUGUUGAAAACCCAAUACUCACAAUGUGGCUCAGCUUGUCACGACAUGGCGGCGGGGAAACUCACGAUUGACUGUUAUUGGAGGGCCACUGUAUGGCCAUAGGUGUGGCAAUGACGUCACGAUUGACAAAAGUCAAUGUUGACCGUUGACUUUGACCAUUGACCUUUGACUUGAGUUAACUUUUGGUCUAGCACCUAUUUUAGAGGAAGAGCUCAAGGUUUAUUUGGUUUGACUGAUUAGUUGGUGCGUAGCAACGAUACUCUGUCAGUGAGAGCAGUAGCAAUAGAGCAUUUUUCUGUGAGGUGAGUCUUCUCACCACACUAGUGGGUCAAAGAUACCAAUGCUUGCCCACGGAUACAUAUGUAUAAGAUGUAUGUGACUAUUAAUGAUAUGAUUGUAUGAUUAAUGCAUGGAGCCAAACUGGGCUCGGAGUCAUUAUAGACUCGGGGUGGAUACGGACCCAACACAACUACUAUCUGUUACAUGGGGUUGAUACAGACCCGACACAGGCACAUGCUGUUAUAUUUAUGUGUAUGUUGUAUGUGAUAUUUUUGGGGAGCUAACUAAGCUUUGUGCUUACAGUUAUGUUUUUGGUUUCAGGUACUUCCAGUACGAAAGGAAAGGGCCCAACGUGAUGGCACAACAUUCCCCCGCCUUAUGUUUCUGCGAUUAUGAUUUUUUUCCUCUGAUGUUUUGGAUAGUUUGUAUCUUGGAUAUUUUCGAUACAUAUCAGGUAUGUGAUUGAUGAAUUUAAAAAUGAAAAUUGUGUCACUGUUUUGGGAUGUUAUAAGAGGUUAUCCAUUGUUACAUGAAACAUAUUGUUUAGUGAUAUUUCUGGUUUAAUUAAAAAAUCAUUGUUGUUCUACUUUUGGCUUUAGUUUAGUAAUAAGUAUUUGUUGCAGAUCUUCGCUUUGACAAUGGAACUAAGAAAGAAAUUUUAGUGUGUGAUUUCUAGGUUUAAUUUCAUCUCUGCGCCCUUUUCUUUCAUAUGUGUUUGAAUUCGUCCAUGAAAAUAUAUUUUUAGAUUUGUGUUGUAGCAAUUGUGAUGGAAACUAGUGAUGGUUGUUUAUGAUGUUGUUUACCGGUAGAGAGUAUCGAGGUGGUGAAUGUGGUGGGGAGGAGAAAAUAUGAAAAAGAUGAAUUAGGGCCAGGGGUACGAUGGAUGGGGACAAAUUAUUUUUCUAUUUUUUUUUAAAGAUAGCAAAAUAUGGAAAUUAAAUGAAAAGGACAAAAUAGUAUUAUUAAAUACUAUUAUUAUUAUUAUUAUUAUUAUUAUUAUUAUUAUUAUUAUUAUGAUUGUCACCAAAUCCUCAACCAAACUAAAUGAAAUUGACAAAAUGUACUAUUUUUUUAAAAGGUUUUAACCUUAGCCAUAUAAAAUGCCAUAUAAAAUGAGAAACCAUAAUAUCCGUUUUUGUAAUUUUGUCAAAAUAAAAUACAACGAUAUAAAUGAAAGUUUGCACUCAAUUUGUGUGUGUGUGUUGUGGCCCCCUACAUGGGUUGUCAAGAUAACUUUUUUUUAGGACCGAUUCCAUGCAUGUAAGGAGUAUUUGAAGAAAACAAUAGUUAGAAGGUGAUAGAAUGAUGUAUCUAAUAAGUCAGAGUUGAUAUCAAGAUGAAAGGGAAAGAGAAGAAGGGACUUUCUUAGCUUAGAAGAAUUCCCACUUGGACCGGUAAUGAGAACCCGAUCUCCAGAUGAUAAUUGGUAAGGUUCGACUUCAGAAUUCAGAGCGGAUCGCAACUUAAGCCAACUAUCAUGCCCAAUACUUGAUGUGAUGAUGGUAGUAGUAUCAUCAAUAUUUGAUAAUUUCAUUAUCAUCUGAUUGUUUUCUAAUAGGAUUAUUAGAUUGCAAAGCAAACGAUGCUUCAAAACUUUAUGUUUUUUGAAAGUUUAGACAAAAUUCGUUAAAAUAAAUUUAUAAAGGAUGAAUGUGUCAAAAAACUAACUGUUACAUGCUUUACAGCUGAACAUGCAUAAAAACAAAUUAUAAAAUGUUUAAAAAAAUAUAAUAUUAAUUAAAAAAAUACAUAAAAGUAAUAUAUAAAAGUAAUUUAAAAGAAUUCCGUAAAAUCGAAUUCUUCAAAAAUUAUGAAGGAAAUCUGUUUAGGACAUCAAGUCCAAGUUAAAAAAAUAUAUGGCAAACCACUAACCUUCAAUAAGAAAUUCUUAAAAAUUGAUAUAAAAUAUUUAUAAAGAAAACAUAAUGAGUUAAUGCUAGUGCUUAUACAAUUCCAAACCGUAAGGAUUAUACGAUAAAUAUGUUGUAGCAAAAUAGUCUUUCCUUGAAACUAAUCUAAAACUAGGCUAUGUACGUAGGGACCGGGUUAUUGACGUGAGAUGGGUCACUUGGAUUUGGUAUUCCAUAUUUUUGAUCAUUUAUUAAUAAUUAGAUUUUGAGUAGAGUAGAAAUCCAAGUAUAUCAUUACGAUGACACUAUUUCAUUUGAUAUACGAUGAGUUAUUUCAUUUUUAGUUGAAGUUUCAAUCUUGUUUUCUAUAAGGCUAUUUUGAGUGGUCGCAUAAGACCCUCCAUAAGAAAAUGUGGCAACUCAAGUCAUUUCCUGAUGUUGAUGGAUCAGUACUGUUGGUGAUGAUAUGGCCAUAUGCAUCUUGACCCGUUAAGCACUCCGUAUGACCUAAGGUAUUGGGUGUGAGCAACAACUCAACAAACUUAACUGCUUAUCACUUUUGCAAUGUAAAACUAUCAUCAAAUUGUCUAUAAAGCAAAUAUUAUAUAGUUCUGAAGAUAUAUUAGUUAUGAAGAGAAGGUGUUGCUAUAGCCAAAAGAGGAGUCUUCUUACGAAUAGCAAGGCCAGGUCGUUCAGUCAUAUCUAGAUCCUCUUCCUUCCCAUUGGGUAACUCCCAGUCAAACUUGAGCAAAAGAUUGGCCAACACAUUCUCAUUUGUAGUCAUUGCAAACGCAAUCCCAGGACACCCCCUCCUUCCAGCACCAAAUGGAAUCAAAUCAAAGUCAAGACCUUUGUAAUCAAUUGCACAAUCCAAAAAUCUCUCAGGUUUAAACUCAUCGGGUUCAUCCCACACUUUAGGGUCUCUUGCAAGGGCCCAUGCAUUAAUGAUAACACUAGUUCCUUUCAUGACAUCGUAGCCCAUGAUUUUGACAUCUUGGCUGGCAACACGAGGAACUAAGGUUGGGAUUGGAGGAUGAAGACGAAGAGUUUCUUUAAGCACGGCUUUUAAGUAUUUCAUGUUGUCGAUAUCAUCCUGGUUUAUGUGUGAUUUGCCUUUAAGAACCAUCCUUACUUCAUCCUGAAGUUUCUUGAGAAUCUUUGGAUGUUU